AUUGAACAAAUACAUGCACAACAGUUUCAGCACGAUGGCUCUCACCUCCCUCCUCCUCCACCUCCUCCUCCUCCUCUCUUCUCUCCAUGUCAGUAAUUUGUCAAGCUUUUACUCUCCAUGCGUACCCAACUGCCCAUCUCUCUCUCUCUCUCUCUCUCUCUCUCUCUCUCUCUGUUUUCAUGCAAAGACAGGGCUAUAUGUUUAAUUCGUUAUCUCGUGCUUAAUUAGUAUAUACUUCUUACCUAAGAAUUGCUGAAAAAUUUUUGCGGCCAUUUACUCCAUUGGCAAUUACUUCUCAUCCAUUAUUUGUUAACCUAAUCUCUCUAUACUGGUUUAGAGUGCACAGGUUAUCGGAUCAAAUGGGGAGCCCGGGCUUCAUAAGAACUAUUCAAUUUAAUUUACGCAUGCAAGAAGCUAAACAUGUUAGUGUGUAUCAAAUUUAAACCUCAUAAUAUUAUAUAUAUCUUCAUACCAAAUAUAUAUAUAUAUAUAUAUAUAUAUAUUAUAAUAUGUAUAUCUUGUUUGGGUUAUCUUAAUGCAUGUCAGAAGAUCAAUUGUGUUUAUGUGCUCUUUAGGCUAACAAAGAAAUGUGAACGAAAACCCACUGGUGGGCAGCUGAGUUGGUCCGGCUUUGGGCAUUUCAUCGCAAAGGUCCCGAGGUCGAAACUCUGCAGCUACUAAUACGUCUUAAGUGGGGGAUCAUGGUGGUGGGAUCCUGUGCUAGCUUCCCCUCAAGUAUUGACGCUUGGUUUGAAGUGCACCACACACUGUACGAGCCGUAGGCUGGCUUAGUGUAAGCAAAAGUCAGGCUUAGCGGAUCCUACGUCACCAAAAAAAAGAAAAAAAGAAAUGUGAAUAAAAUGUAGAUAAUCAAGUGAACAUAUAAUGCUUUGAUAAUAUGAAAGCAUGUAAGUUGCAAAAGUCAUUUUAAGUGAUUGAGCACGACGUUACUACUUUAAGACACAAGCAUCAGAUAACAUACGUUAAUGAUUGUUAGGAAUAAAUUGUUGGGUCAUCUAUGUUCAUUGUAAAGAUAAUUCCAAUCAUGCUAUUAUGCGGUUCUAAUUUCGUGUCACGUGACUUGUACAUUUUUAUAUGUUCGUUACAUUUAUCUGUAUGUCUAUUUUACUUCCAUAAUUAUGUCAUUACUCAGUUACUUAAGUCCAUGACGUCCAUUCUAAUCGUGAUUAUAUAAACUUCUAGCUCACAGUCACUCUUUGAUUUUCUUUUGUGGAUUGUCCUGCGGUAGGUCCUCACCACCGUCGCUAGGGCCACUCCCGAGGCCGACUCCCUCGCCGACGAGGCUAACUCGAUCUCUCCCAAAGCAUACCUUGUCCAUUACUGGAACAAGCAAAUCACCAACAACCUUCCCAAGCCACCAAUCCUCUUCACCAAAGCGUCACCUCUGACGGCCGCGUCAGCGACCAUCUUCGCCGAACUCGUUGCCAAAGGCGCCAUCUCGGACCACCUCUUAUCGUUCUGCGAGGAGGCGCAAUUGCUCUGCUUCAUGAACUCAUCAUCUUAUGGGGUCGCAAAGACAAUUGACGCCCAACUAUACAAAGUAUACCCCCGCGGCCCACCCCCGGAUACAAUUGUGGCAACUGAUGACAAGAAAGUAAAUGGGGGCAUGGAGCAGGGCUUGUUCUUUCGAGAGUCGAUGCUGAAGAGCGGGAAUGUGAUGCCAAUGCCCGACCUCCGGGAUAACUUUCCCAAAACGUCAUUUCUGCCUCGCCGCAUUUCCUCCAAACUGCCAUUCUCAACCUCGAAGCUCGCUGAGUUGAAGCAAAUCUUCCAUGCCAUUGAAAAUUCCACUAUGGAGAAGAUCAUGGCACAAACGCUAGGCCUGUGCGAGGGUGCAGCACUCCAAGACGAAACCAAGAGGUGUGUGGCCUCCAUCGAGGACAUGAUCGACUUCGCCACCUCGGUUUUGGGUCAUGACGUCAUGGUCCGAUCCACGGAGAGUGCCAGAGGGUCGAAGCAGGAGGUCUUGAUCGGGGUGGUCAGGAGAAUCGAGGGCAGCGAAGGGAGCAAGCCCGUGGCCUGUCACCAGAGUCUAUUUCCUUACAUUGUCUAUUACUGUCAUGCAUUUCCAAACGUCCGAGUUUACGAAGCAGACAUACUAGAUCCCAAAUCCAAGGCUAAGAUCAAUCACGGUGUCGCCAUUUGUCAUAUGGACACAUCAACUUGGAGCCCUGCCCACGGGUCAUUUCUGUUGCUUGGAUCGGGUCCUGGCCAGAUCGAGGUCUGCCAUUGGAUAAAUGAGAAUAACAUGAUGUGGACAAUUGCCAAGUAAUAAUGGAAGAACGAAGUGUGGUCAAGAUGGAAUAAACAUGGGUUCGGCCUGGUGAUCAAGAGAGAACUUGGUCUCUAGCUACCUCCGACCGAAAGCCUCUCUUGCUUUGCAUUACAAUCUAUUUUGGUAUCUGAAUUUGACAUCAAUAAUAACGUGUUUGUGUUUGGUGUGAAACAGUCGUUAUGGUCAAUAAAUGUCGAGUGUUUUUUUAUUUAUUUGAGUACCUGUUCAAGUCUGUUGCAUUCUCCUGUCCUUUGCGUUUAGAGAUCUUCCUAACUCCUGUCUCUCAAUUUGCGUUACUAUCUUCGAGAAUUUUCUUCAACUUUCGACGAGGACCAAUAAUCAUUUUCACAGUAUUAUUAUUAUAAGAACGAGAGACGGAUAAGAAUGCAGUGUUUUUCGAUAAAAGAAAAAAGUGAAAAAGCUGCAAAAAAUAGUUCAAGUGGCCCAGUGGUUGGGAGUCCCAACGUGAUCGCUUUUUACGCUUGACGUUGAACAACAAGUGCUGCCUGGUUCAAUCUUGAAGUGGCACUUCCCACUUUUUCUUCCUCUCAAUUUUGCUUUUAAACUUUUCUGCAUUUAUCUUUUGUUUGCACUUUCUCGGUUACAUAAACUACAUAUCAUCAGAUUAUUGCUUGCUUUUUCUUUUCUGUUCUUUUCUUUUUUUGCUUUUUUUAAGCGUUUGUCAUUGGAAAAUGAUAAUUCAAUAAGAACCCAUAAUACGGGAUUAGACUUCUAAAAUCCUAAAAACUUCACAUGAAUGAUUCUCAUAUGAUGAAAAUGUAAAAACUAAAUUUACUUUUGUUUUGCUGGAAUUGCUCUCACAAUGAUGUAUCUUGCACCGAAAUUAUUUGAUUUUAUUAAAGAGGAUAAGGGUUAUGUGCCAAUCCCAGACAAUGGAAAUCUUAUUCAAUAAGGAAUUGAACUUCUUUGGUCCAAACAUCACUAAUUUUAGGCUGAGUUGGAAUUUAAUCAAUAACAAGGCAAAAAAAGUUACAGGACCAGUCUCAAACUAUCUGGAAUUUGAUCAACAACACAAAUUAAGGAUAGUAAGAUGUGGAGUCGGAAUUUAAUCAAUGACAAUGUACUAGGAUAGUAAGAUACAAUACUGGAAUUUAAUCAACGACAAUGUACUAGGAUAGUAAGAUACAAUACUGGAGUUUAAUCAAUAAUGAUGUACCAAGAUACAGAAACACGUUGGAAUCUAAUUGGCGAGGAGAAUCUAAAAGCUAUAGCUAAGAAAAUUAAAGUGCAGUAUAGGAAAAGCAAAGAUAAAAAGAUAACGUUUUGAUUGAUUUGUCAGGUGGCUUCUAGUUGGAUGACUAGUGGUAUUUAUGGUGAAUGUAUGAUAACUGUCCGAUAGUUACAUCUACUCUAGUACCUACUACUAGCUUUGUCCAUGAUCCUUUAUUCUUGUAGAUCACUUCACCCAUACUUCAUAUAAUUGUCCUAGUCAUGUUUUGAGGAUUAUGCAACCGUUGAUGCCAUUCCAUGACUGGGGCUCCAAAUAGCAAUUGCUUUUUUACAACGUGCGCCUUUGAUGCUAACUACCUUAGCACCUUGAGUAAUAUUCAAAGUGUCUCCAUUGAAAAAGUUGUUGCUAAAGUUCAUACGGGCAGCUACUAAUCGUCCAUCGUCAUAUUUCAACAACUAAGCAUGUGGCAUUUCUUUAUCUCAUCAUCAAUCACCGGAUAUCUACCCUAUGUUUGUUGAUAGUCCGGCAUACAUCAGACAUCACCCAUCCAUUAUGCACAUGACUGUAACUUAUUUCUAAAGAGCUACAGCCGAGGUAAAUCUCAACUUUAAUAUCAGCUAUACAGUUCACAAUGUCACGAAAGAUCCUGUCAUGUAACAUUUUCAAUUAAGAUAAAUAUUUGUCACUGUGCAUUUCCUUGUUUAUAUAAGCGACCCAAUUUGUCAUGCGAUUGAAAAAUCUCCUUGUUUGUAGCUAUACUUUUAUCUUUUAACAAUCUUAGCCCAUGGACCUGCAUCGCUGAAUGGCCACUUCUGAUGUAUUCGUUUCUUGGAUGAGCAUUUUUCUAGCUUGGCAGUGAUCGACCCAUGUGGCCACGAUGAAUAGUGGAAGCAAAAUUGACAUUGGCGAACAUAGCUUAAAAGAGAAGAUGUCGAGUCCAAUUGAAGAAAUCGUACAGAAGAGGGGUGGGACCGUGCAUCGAUAAAUCCAGGUUCUUUCUACGUAUUCUGUCGUUGGGAUGCAAGAGAGAUCAUUGAGAAAGCAUAUAGAUGAAGUUCCUAUUAUCUUUUAUGAGCUAAGGACACGAGCAUAGAGGCUCGGUUAUCUAAAGGUUCAUGAAAUGCCCUAUGAGCCUCAUAAAUUGUUUGAGCCCUAAUUUUAUAAUUAUUGGCAGGUUUGUAUAAAAGUUAUAAGGCUUUGAUUGAGAAGUCAUGGGAAAUCGGGUGAAUAGGUUAUUUGCAUAUGGACAGUUCUAGUAAAAUUGUUGACUGUGGAGAAAUCAGCUUAAGGUUCUUCAUGGGAUCCAAGAACCACAUAGAUUGCAAGUUAUAUUAAAAAAACAUCAUAUGAUAGAAAAUACGGGUUAUACCUAUUCUCUGAUGUAGUUUCGUUUUGUAAAUAAACCAAUUAGUCCUUUCCUCUCCUAAUCCCUAGAAAGUAAGCACCCAUCCUAGAGAUUUCAUUUAUCUCUUGUGGAAGUGAUUAUAAUUAGGUUUACUCAGAAUGGCAUCCAUUGGAUUUAACCCUAAUUCAGGAUUAGCUACCCAAUUACAGAGUUUCUCUACUGGAGUACAUGCACAUAUAUGGAAAAUCAAAGUUUCACAUCUUAAAAAUUUAUCAGAUCACUGUCCAACUUGAUUAAUUAACCGAUAGCUGUCCAAUAUGAGAUACAGAUGGAUGCCCUUUUGUUGUUUAAUCACAUUAAUACAAAAGAUUUGUCCUUUUGCGAAAUUGGCAUUUUGCAUUAAGCCAUUUGUUUUGCAUUACCAAGACUUACCAUGUCUGAAGCAUAGAUAACUGCUUUUCUUUAAUCGCGUUUUUAUCAGUUAGAUUAAUGUGACUUACUACCUAAAUGGUUUUUGUUUGUAGCUAAUUCCGAAGUGUUUGUUCUUAUACUCUUCCAGCCUUUCAUCAAUCUCAUGGGCUUUUUUUCCCAUCACCCUACCCUACUUUGUUUUGUGCUCAAACGCAAGACUGAUGGCAAGUGUAUCUCCAAUCGAUAGAAUCUUUUAGGAGGAAAUUCUAUCCAAAUCUAACUUUUAUUUACACUUUCCCUUCAAAAUUUGAAACAUAUGUGUUUCUUGUGGGUGAUAUCCAUAAAUGUAACUUACCCAUUAGAAGAUUGAGCAAGAGGAAAUCAUGACCUUUUUCAAAAACAAAAGAAGGCAGAGAAUAUUCGAUAUGAUACUUAUUAAUUGCAAGUUAUAUUAAAAAAACUAAUUAAGUUUUAUUUCUUCCACUUGGUAGAGAACAUUUGAUAUGAAACUUUAAUUAACUGCAGAUUGCGAAACUAGUGGUUAAGAGUCCCAACUUGAAAGUUUGUAUAAUAAUGUCCAACAAAAAAUUUACGAAACUAAUAGGGGUGGACACACAUUUACGAUAGGGACACCCCCACCUUUGUCCCAACCUAAUAAGCCCUCACUAUCGUCAAAUCUAUCAAUUGAUGAAUGGAGCAGAUUGGAGCCCUUUGAUUGGUCCGAUCAUAUGAUUGAGAAAUCUCUAUGUUUGUAGCUAUACUUUUACCUUUUACCGAUUUUCUCCCAAAAUUUAUUACGCAUGGAAUAAUGAACGGCCUAUAAUUAUUUGAAAUUGCUGCGGAAACGGACGGGAUCUUUCUAGCAUCACCUUACUACGAAGACAUUGUUGUGGGCUAAGAUUAGAGCAGCCCUUGGGCCUGCAUCGCUUGUGAAGGGCACUCACGAUGUCCUCGUUUCUUGGAAAAGCAUUUAUCUGGCUCGGCAGUGAUCGACCCAUGUGUCCUAGAUGAAUAGUAGUAGCAAAAUUGACAUCGGUGAAGAGGGGUCGACAGAGAAGAUGUCCAGUCCAAUUAAAGAUACCAUACACAUCCGGGGUGGACCCGCCUUUGUCCAUGCGAUCCCAAACUUUAGGGACUGUGCAUCGAUAAAUACAGGGUCUUUAGAUGUAUACUGUCGUUGGGAUGCAAGAGAGAUCAUCGAGAUCGCAUGGGGACCAAGUUACUAUAUUUACGAGCUGACGGCAUGACAGCAGAGGCUUGGUUACCUGGAAGCCUAUAGAAAACCCUGCAAGCAUCAUGAAUAGUCCAAGUGGUCUGCUCAGGUGGUUCUGACUAGAGCGGCUUGUACACGGUUAUUGGAAUUCAAACAAAUGAACUCCAAUUUCUGACUUACCAAUCUCUAGAUUUGCAAUAGGCAAAUUGUUUCCCAUUUUAUCCAGUUCAGUGGGUCAAGUUACAAAGAUAAUCUAAUUCGUUUGGAUAAAAGUUCUUAGGCUUUGAUUGAGAAGUCACGGUGAAUCGGGUGGAUAGGCUAUUUGCAAAUGGAGAGUACUAGUGAAAUUGUGGACUUGGGAUAAAUCGGCUUAGGGUUCUUCAUGGGAAUCAAGAACCACAUAAAGAGAUAUAUUCUAUCAUAUGGUUAAAAUUUUUCCACCAAAACAUCAUAAGAUAGAAUACGUGGAUUAUGCAUAUUCUCUAAUGUAGUUUCAUUUUGCAAAUGAACCAAUUAGUCCUUUCCUUUCCUAAUCCCUGGAAAGUAAGCACACUUCCUGGAGAUUUUCACUUAUCUCUUGUAGAAGUGAUUAUAAUUAGGUUACUCAUAAUGGCAUCUUAUAACAAUGACUUUAAUCCUAAUUCAUGACCAGUUAGCCAGGGACACAGUUUAUCUAUUGGAGAGCAUGCACAGAUAUGGAGGCAGCGGGAGAAUCUCAUCUGCACGUGAAAUCACAGCUUCCCAUCUUGAACAUUUAUCAGAUUACUGCACAUUUUGAUUAAUUAACCAAAGCCGCUCCAAUCUCAGAUAUAGAUGAAUGCUCUUUUCUUGCUUAAUCACAUUAUUAGAGAAGAGUUGUACUUUAGGAUAUCGGCAUAUUGCAUUUUUCCAUUUGUUUUUCAUAACCUAAGACAUGUCUUAUUGGAGGCAUAUAUGGAUGCUUGUCUUUAAUCAAGUCUUUUUCAAGUAGAUUGAUAUAAUUUACUACCUAAGUAGCUCUUGUCUCUAGCUAAUUCUUAAGUGUUUUUUUUUUCCUAUUCUAUUCCAUCCUUUCACCAAUCACGCGGGCUUUCCCAUCACCUUCUUUUAUUUUGUGCUCAAACGCCUUACAGAUUCCACAUGAUAAUAGAAUGAUUAGAGUCCAACAAAAAUCUAAUGCCUUGCUCUUUAUUAUUUAGAACUUAGGAGUUCCCCACACACCAACUUAUUUUUUGAGCUUAGGAGUCCCUAGACACCAACUCAUUUUUUUGUAUUUUGUAUUUUCCUUUAUAUCAUGUUUUUGAUUAGUAGGUCAUAGCUUAUGGACAUCAUCCACAUGUAUGCUCAAUUAAAUUUCAAUAGGGGCAAUAUCCGUAUAUGUAACUAACCAAGCAUAACACUAAGCAAGAGGAAAUCAUGACCCUUUUUAAUAACAAAUAGAGUCAAGGGAUUGCAAAGGGGAAAAGUGCCAAAAAAGUCCUAAACCUUUUUUUUUUGUGCCGAUUUAGUCCUAAACCUUUUUACGUUAUGCCAAUUUAGUCAUUUCCGACCAAUUUUAGCCGGAAUUUGCUAACUGGACAUUGGUCGACUGACUUGGCCAGAUCGGCAUUGACGUGGAUAAUUGUUAAUAAUAUUUUUGAAUAUUUGAAUUUUUUUAAAUUUUCUUUUUAUUUUUUUAUUUUUCAUUUUUUUCUUCCUCCAGUCGGUCGCCGGACCUAGGCGACCGGCCAAAGGUGACGGCCGACAAGGGCAAGGCUGCCCUCGUUGGCCACCUUGCGAGCGAGGGUUGAGCCUCGCGCUAGGCAGCGAGGCUCGCCCUUGCCAAAUUCGGCUAGGGUGGAGCCUCGCCCAUGGCCGGUGAGGCUCGACCUCGCCAAAUCCAGCGAGGGUGAGCCUUGCCUGCCCGACGUGAGGCCGCCCUCGAGGCUUGGGCGGCGAGGCUUGCCCUCGUCGGAUCUGGCAAGGGUUGAGCCUUGCCCAUGGCUAGUGAGGGAGAGCCUCGCCAGCUUGGUGCAAGGCCAACCGGCCUGAGUUGGACACUAAGAAAACAAGAAGAGGAGUUGGCGUUUGUUACCAACUCUUGGAAUAAGACCGUGUCUUGCGCCGAGCUGGCGGGGGCUCGCCCUCGCCGGUUGUCGCCUCUGGCCGAUCGCUGAGGUCUGGCGAUUGGCUGGAGGAAGAAAAAAUAAAGAAAAAAUAAAGAAGAAAAUAAUCCAAAAGUAUUAAAAUAAUAUUAAAAGUUGUCUAUGUUAGCGCCGAUCAGGUCACGUUAGCCAGCCAACGUCUAGUCAGCAAAAUCCGGCCAUAAUUGGCCUGAAAUGACUGAAUUGGCACAACGUAAAAAGGUUUAGGACUAAAUUGGUACCAAAAAAAGGUUUAGAACUAAAUCGGCACAAAGACAAAAGGUUUAGGAUUUUUUUGGCACUUUUCCCGAUUGCAAUGAUAUACCUCACUCAAGCCUUAGGUUCAAAUCACCCCAUUUGUGCAAGUAUAGGCCUGUGUAUCAACAAUAAUUACUCGAUUGACGUCAUAGAUUUGUUUAAGAAUUAAACGGAAUAUGGUACUUAUUAAUUGCAAGUUGAACUAGAAUAACUAUCGAGUUUUAUUUCUUUCACCUGGUAGAGAACAUUUGAUAUGAAAUUCUAAUUAACUGCAGAUUGAACUAACAUUCUAAGUUUGUUUCCUUCGCUUCAUCCAUUUGUCCUAGAGGAAUCUCUCUCUCUCUACCAUGGUCCUAUAAAUUUCGUGCUCAAUCAAGCGAACUCUCCAACAACAUCAGCAUUCCCUCUUCCUAAAGAAAUGAGCGAGAUCAGUUUUAGCAAAAUGUCUCUGUUCUCCCUCUUCCUCGUCCUGCUGUUGUCACUCCAUGUUAGUUUUCUCAAGCUCUCUUCCUCCCCUUCCACACACCAUAAUUAGUGCUCAUCCUAUCUUCUAACUUCGCAUGCAUUAACACUCAUAGCUCGUUGAUCUUGUUUGUGUUCCUAUAUAUGUUAAAAGAGACAUGCAAAACACGAACCCGGAAGUGAGAGACAUGUAUAACGCUGGAACGCAUAGGAGGUUUGUGUGUUCGCUUGUUUCUGUAUUGUAGUGUCAGUCUCCAUCGCUUAUGCUAAAUCAGACAUGAAGCAUUGACCGAAAGAAAAGGGACUGUAUAUUAUUCAGAUUGUGGACAUAAAUCAAAGGAUCUGUCAGAAAUAUUUGUCAUGUUAUCUAUUCUAUCCUCAAAAGUUGAUUUCAUUCUUGUUAUCUUGCGGGUAAAACUUUUUGUUACUUUGAUUACAACCAUUUGCACGUUCAUUGCAGUUUCAUCCAUGUCCCAUGUAUAUGCUGCAUAAAUAUUUGACCACUUCUGUUUGGCAUUGUACUGCGAUUGUGAUGUAGCCUUGUUUGUCUUAAGACUGAGUUGUGAUGUAGCAUUGUACUGCGAUUGUGAUGUAGCCUUGGGUGAACUAUCCUAGGUCGGUCGCAUCAUGCUAACUUUCUAGUCACUCACUGAUUUUCUCUUUUGUCCCGCUGUAGAUUGUUUUGACCACCGCGAGAACCGCCGCCAACGCCAACUCCCUUGCCAGCGAUGCCAACUCAAUCCCUCCCAAAGAAUACCUUGCCCGUUACUGGACUGAACAAAUCACUAGCAAUCCUGCCAUGCCACCACUGCUCAUAUCCAAAGUUUCCCCCUUUAACUGCUGCAGAAACAACCCUUUUUGCCCAGCUUGUGGCUAAAGGUGCCAUCUCCGAUCACCUCUCAUUUUUCUGCGGGGCAGCACAACUGCUUUACUUCCCAGCCUCACCACACUAUCCAGUUAGUUACUCUUUCCCACUAGCAUGAACUGCCAAGAAGCAAUUGAAUUUGAUAUUCAUGCAGUCCCUAGAUUAAUCCACAAGAUGACGUUGAACUCAAUACUCACGUGAUACCGUAUGGAGAGAGAAAUUUGCUUUGCCUGCUUUGACGUCAACAUCUGUCGGAAAUUUUUGAGGAAGAAGCCUGCGUGAAAUGACAAUUCACCAAGUCAGUAACUUAACCACGGAAAAUUCAGGUAGACAAAGCAUGAAAUCAUCAUAGGAGCAUAAUUACCAUUGACUGGUCCUCUUCGUGGCAGUAGAGUUCCCAUUAUUGCUCUUCACAUGAAGCCAUGACUCAGAUCAAUCUCUUACUCAGGAAGAGUUUUAUGUUAAGAGUCUGAGCUUUUCGGGCAUUUGACCAAACGCAAGGGUGCUCCUCUAUCCAAGUUGAGUUGAGCUCACUCGUGCUGCCUCACCCUGGCUGGCAGUUAGUAACCAGAAAGAUUGAACUUUAAAGUUAGUCAACUCCGACGGUAUUCAGUUAAAACGUGCAAAAAGAGAACCAAAAUCUAGCGGAAUCAGGUUCUUCUGUUGAUAACAAAACAAUCAUUUUGCAACCUGGAAUCAUUAGAAAUUGCAGAAUAUGGAACCCAUUCAUUUACAAUCAUCGCCUUCACAGCUCGUUUGGUGAUUUAUAAUCGUCGUCGUCAUAAGCUAGCCUGUUUUUCAUUUGCAACGACUCGUGCAAGGAUGCCAAAUAAGGGGUUCUGCAAUAUUAUUCUGUAAGAAUGCCCAGAAAAAAUACAUAGAGUUUUCUUUUUCUCCAAAUUUGCUAAUCUAUUAAUGAAGAAACGACAACCUAAUCUACGAUCAUGCCAUAAAAAUAAAAUUUCUGACCCAAAACGAUCAGCUAGAUGAUACAGGGCCAAAGUGUCAAAUUUCGUUCCUUAGCUGGGUUGAUAAAGAUCUUGGUUAACAUUAGGUAAAGAGAGAAGCAACAUUGCCAUGAUAGGGGAAAGAAUGAAAAAUAAGAUUCGUACCCUGCUCUUCCAAGUUCCUCUGUUCCUUUUUCGAGCUACUUCUGAACCCUGUUUCGAUCAGGUUUACUUUUCUUUUUCUUUUUUUCUUGUGGAUGAGAAUACCAAGAACCUCUUGAUGGGAACUUAUAGAGAAUGGCUUCAUGCAAGAUUCAGCAAUGUCUCGCUCAGUCAGCCAAACGAAGUGGACCCUCUUGGUCUAGUAAUAAGCUGAUUUCAGACGCCAAAGUCCGCUUGCUCUCUCGAGCGUUUUGUAAUUUUCCCUUCUUUUGGAGUCCCCACUCUGCUUUGAGGGAAAAAAACAAAUGUUGGACAAGAUAAGGCUUCCCAAUCGGGCCAGCCUUCCAACUUGGAAGGGGGAGGUGAGGGGUUCAAAUCCCCACCUUCUCAGGGGGGAUGGAGGGUAGGGACGCGUAAGUUUCGAGAGUGUGUUGCGACUCUCACGCCCUGCAAGAGGUAGGGCACAAGUCUGCGAGUGAGUGUAGAGUAGGCAUAGAGUAGGACUGACCAAAAAAAAAAAAAAAAAAAAAUCGGGUCAGGGUCCCACAGCAAUCAACCCCCGGUCGCUGUCGGCGAAUGAGUUACUCCCACAUGGCAUUCCCGCCGCCAGGUCAUCCACUCUCUCCUCCCUCUGGUUUCUCUGGAGUUAAUAGAUUGGUUUCGCCACACAGCGGAUCCAUGUGGAUUGAAUUUAGUAAGCUUCCGUCCAUCUCAUAGGACUAGUCACCAUCGACCAAUUUGGAAGUCCAUGAGAGGGACGAUUUGAGGAUUUGGGAGUUUAUUCAUUAGUAAUAAUUUGGUCCCUUAGUCACUUACAUGCACAUCAAAUUUAUUUAUAAAAAAUUAUCGUGUUUUGCAUAAUUAACUUCAAAAGAAUCAUGUACAUGAGUUGGUAUGUUUCUCAUAUAAAGAGUCUCGUUUUUGGUGAUAAUUUGCAUUAAUAAAUCUUUUAUGAAUAGGGAAAUGAUACAAAUAAUCUAUAAACUUGAGUUCAAUAUUGUCACUAUACCUCAUAUUUAUUCAUUGUGAUCUUUAGGUUAUUAGUAAAUUUUCAAUAAAGUCAUUCCAUUUGCUCAAACAACAAAUCAAACUUUAUUUAAUUACAUGAAUUGUCAUUUGUUGAGCUGAAUAUUUUUUAAUAUGAUGAUUCAACAUGUCGAUAUUUUCAUCCACCUACUUUAGAAAGGGAAAAAAAAUUAUGGCGUUAAUAUACAUCAUUAGAUGACGUGGAUCAUUAUAUCUUGAUUUGAUAUGAAUAUAUUAAUUGGAUUAUUCACAUGUAACUUCUUCUUUUCUUUUAUUAUCCACCGUUCAAACUCAACAAAUUGAAAGCCACACCAGAACAUUCCACUAACUCAAACAGCACAGAACUUUUUUAUGUACUCUAGAGACUAAAUUGAACAUUUAGUAAUAGUUUGGAAGCCGCAUUAAGCAAAUUAAAAGUCCACGGAUGACAGUACACAACAGGCCAAAGUUGGGAGACAUUUAAGUCAUUUUUCACUUCUAAAUCAUGUAUGAAAAAUCAAAAUGUCGAUUUUAGUGGUCUGAAUGGAAAUAUCCAAUUUGUUGCUGAUCAACAGCAAUAAACAAUCUGCAUAUUAAUACACACAAGAAGGAAUAGGGAGAGAGCAGGCGAAGAAAAUAGAUGUAUUAUCAUUUCAUACAUCAUCGGUAGGCAACAGAUAAGCACCCGACUUCACCCAACUUCACGACAAAGAGAAAACACCAUUGUUAAUGGGGUUUUGCAUGGGAGUUUUCGUCCACAACCACCAUCUGGAAGCCCAAUAGAUGGAAGUGGACCGGACAGAAAGAGAUAUAUAUAUAUAUAAAGAAGACUUUGGACCUAAGUGCAACUUGAACUUAUACACCAAAGUCUAGUCCCUUUCGCUAGACCCCAAAAAUGGGACAAACCUUGAAUUUGUGGAUGUCAUGGAGACAUACUUUCCGGUCAUUCCUAAUCGAUGUCCCCAGUUUUGGACGCAUGCACAUGGUACAUGUGCAGAGACACACAUCUUCCUUCCUUUACUGAUUACUACACCGGAUAAGGUGGAUAAGAAUCUGUCGCCAACACAAUCAUUCUCACAGGAAUCCAUCUUGAUAUGUAAGAGACAUAAUCGGGCGGGCCUAAGAAUGGCUUUAGUGAGAGACGUGAGGUCGCGAUGGGACGUGGUAAAAAACUCAUCAAGAUAGAUUUAUAUGACGCACUUGUCCAAUCAGUGGCUUGCGGUUUCUCCUGCGAAUUCGUAGGGUAAUUUCUCCAACUGAUCUCUCUUACCACGACCAUUGGAUUGACGUGAAAAUGAACGAGAAUCGGUCUGGGUGUGGCGUUGCCUCGGGCACCCCUUGAUUGGUGUGGGCUCUUGACGGACAUGAAGUUUGGAAUUUUUGUUAAUUGGGCUAAGCCCAAAGAAAGAUGUGAAAUUCAGCUCAUGUUCUAAAAGCCCAGAUAAGCUUUGUUACUUCCCUGGCUUCUUCAGGAUGGCCGCCCGGCGAGACUUUAGAGGAGGGUUCGAAACUUAUGGGGAACAAAAUCUUGCUCAUUGAAUCGCUGAACUUGCUCCGUUGUUCGACGAGGUCCCCGAAUUUGUGAUUCGCGUGACCAAAUCAUUGAACCGGUGGAGAAAUAUGUUGAAUCAAGGCCAUCUAUCUUGAGUUCCAGCAAAAUCAAGCUCGUGUCGAUUGGUUUUUGAUUAAAAGCCUGAUGUGGAUAUCAUUAAUACCCCUCGCGCAUUUGAAAGCAAAUGAAAUAAGUUUAAUUGUAUCUUUUAUUAUCUUACUUGUAUUUGGGUCCUUGCAAAUUCAUAGUCCUAAUUGUGAAAAGCCUGAUGUGGAUAUCAUUAAUACCCCUCGCGCAUUUGAAAGCAAGUGAAAUAAGUUUAAUUGUAUCUUUUAUUAUCUUACUUGUAUUUGCGUCCUUGCAAAUUCAUAGUCCUAAUUGUGAACGUUCCUUGUUCGUAUAGAUAUUAGAGAUUUAGGUCAUCUAUCAAAAUGAUUCUAAAUGAACGUUGAGAAUAAAAACACUCUAUCAUCAAGUUUUGUAUCAAUAUGGAAGGGAGCGUGAAUAAAUGAGAUAAUAAGGGUAUAACUUUACGAGAAGAUUAUUAUGUGCAUAUGUAUAGAGUGUGACGACCCUAAAGAACUAGCUAGUUACGAGCAAAUUUAAUAUUUUACUUUUAUAAUGGCAAGCUUUUUGUGGAGGAGUGGCGUGAUGAUUUUAGGUGAGCCAACUCUUCCUGGACUUAACCACUGGGAUUCGCCCCAGUGGCCACCCUUCCAACAUGGAAGGGGGAGGUGAGGGGUUCAAAUCCCCACCUUCUCAGGGGGAUGGGGUGGGGACGCGUAAGUUUCAGGAGUGAGUUUCGACUCCCACGCCCUACAAGAGACAGGGCAAAAGUUUGAGAGUGAGUGUAGAGUAGGAAUAGAGUAGGACUGACAAAAAAAAAAAAAAAAAACUCUUCCUGGACUUUUUUAAUGUAUUGUAUUUGUUUGAAUAUUGUAUCAAAUUAAUAACUAGUGGUGUUAAAAUGAAGAAGCAUAUGUAUAUUUAUUAAACACGUUAUAAGGAAAAUUAUAAAAUUUUUAUUGAGCUUCUACUUGCUAUUAAUAAUUUGAAGAUAAAAUUAAAAAGGAUUGUGUGGUGGUUACAUUCUGGGGCGUCACAAGUAGUCCUUUCCUUUCCUAAUCCCCGGAAGUACGCACACAUCCUCGAGAUUUCAAUUAUCAUGUAGAAGUGAUUAAUUAGGUUACUCGCAAUGGCAUCUUAUCAUUAUGACUUUAACCCAAAUUCAUGACUAGCUAGCUGGUUACACGGUGCAUGCACAUAUAUUAAGGCCAUGUGAAGAAUCUCUUCUACAUGUGAAAUCACAGUUUCCCAUCUUGAAAUUUAUCAAAUUACCAUACAACUUGAUUAAUUAACCAAGGCUUGUCCAAUCUGAGGUAUAGAUGGAUGCCCUUUUCUUGUUUAAUAACAUUAUUAGGGGAGAGUUGUCCUUUACGAUAUUGGCACAUUGCAUUAAGCCAUUCUUUUUUAAUGACCAAGACCUGUCUUGUCUUGAGGCAUAGAUGGAUGCUCUUCUUUAAUCAAGUCUUUAUUAAGUGGAUUAAUAUAACUUACUACCCAAAAGUUUCUCUCUCUAGCUAAUUCUUAAAUGUUUUUUUUUUCUAUUAUAUUCCAUCCUUUCGUCAAUUAUGUGGGCUUUCCCAUUACCUUCCUUUGUUUUGUGCUCAAACGCCAUACUAAUGGCAAGUGCAUCUCCAAUCGGUGGGAUCGUUCGGGAGGAAAUCUAUCUGCCUUUAACUUCUAUUUAUGACUUCCCCUUCAAAAUUUGAAAUAUUUAUCUAUGUGCGUGCGCAUUAUAAGUGAUAUCCAUAUGUGUAACUUUCCAAUAAGAAGACUGGGCAAGUGGAAAUCAUGACCACAAAAGAGUGAAGGGUGUGCUUAAGUGAUCACCGUAAUUAUAUCCCUCACUUAAGCCUUGGGUUCAAAUCACCGUUUUCUCUUUUAGAUCAAACGGAGUAAUUGAAGCAUCAUUUGUAAUAUGGAUGUGCUAAAUAAAACUUUUGUAAGUAUAAGCCUAGGUAUCAACAGUAAUUACUUGAUGUGUAUGGGAUGAGGGAACUACCACAACUAAUAGAGAUUAAAUAAUUUUUGAAAGAGUCAUGGAAGGUCGUGGGGUGAAUUUUAUAUAUAUAUGUAGAUUUAUUUGAUAAUCAAAGGGAAAGCAGAGAAUAUUCACUAUGAUACCUGUUAAUUCAAGUCGAACUAGAAAACACUAUUAAGUUGUAUUUCUUUCGCUUGGCAGAGAACAUUUGAUAUAAAACUUUAUUUAACUGCAAGUUGAACUUACAUUAUAAGUUUUUUUUUUUCGUUCCCUCCAUCCAUUUGUCCUAGAGGAAUCUCUCUCUCUCUCUCUCUACCAUCACUCCUAUAAAUGUCGUGCUCAAUCAAACGAACCUUGCAACAUUAUCAGCAUUCCCUCUUCCUAAAGAAAUGAGUGAGAUCAGCUUUAGCAAAAUGUCUCUCUUCGCCCUCUUCCUCGUCCUGCUGCUUUCACUCCAUGUUAGUUUUCUCAAGCUCUCUCGCCUCCCCUUCUACACAUCAUAAUAAUCACGGCUCAUCCUAUCUUUGAAGUUCGCAUGCAUUAACAUUUACAGUUCUUUGAUCGUGUUUGAUUUUGAAAAGAGACAUGUGAAACACAGACCAUGAAGUGAAGAGACAUAUAAAAUGCUUGAAUAUAUAGGAGGUUCAUGCUUACGCUUAUUUCUAUAACGUAGUGUCAAUCUCAAUUACUUGUCUAAGGUAGACAUAAAGCAUUAACAAAGAAAAAAUGGACUGUAUUAUCAUUCAGAUUGUGGACAUUAGUUAAGGAUUUGUCAGGAAUAUUUAUCAUGCUAUCCAUUUUAUUUGUAAAAAUUGAUUUCAUUCUUGUUAUCUUACGCGUAUAGUUUCUUGUUACUUUGCUUACGAACAUUUGCAUGUUGGCUACAGUUUCAAUAAUGUCCCAUUUAUACUGCAGGGAUAUUAUACUCAAUCUGUUUGGUAUCCUACUGCAAUUGAGUCGUAGCCUUGUUGUCUUAUAACUGAGUUGUAAAUUGCAUUUUAGGGUUACGACAUUUUUAAACUAGAUGAAGCAUCCUAGCUCGGUUGUGUCAUGCUAACUUUUUAGUCACUAACUGAUUUUCUCUUUCAUCCCACUAUAGGUUGUUUCCACCACGGCUGGAACCACCACCAACGCCGACUCCCUUGUCAGCGAUGCCAACUCAAUCCUUCCCAAGGAAUACCUUGUCCAUUACUGGAACGAACAAAUCACCAACACCCUCGCCGUACCACCGCUGCUUAUAUCCAAAGUGUCACCCUUAACUACUGCAGAAACGGCCCUUUUUGCCCAGCUCGUUGCUAAAGAUGCUCUAUCCGACCACCCCCUAUCUUUCUGCAAGGCAGCACAACUGCUUUGCUUCCCGGACUUAUCAUCCCAUCAAGUUGGCAAGGACGGUCGUGUUUUCUACGAUUUCAUUAACGGUGCCACAACACUGGUCGGUGGCAUGAACGUGAACAAAGGCGUGGAGCCAGGGAAAUACUUUCAGGAGUCGACACUGAGGAGUGGGAAUGUGAUCCACAUGCCGGAUCUUCGUUCCAAAACUCCCGAAAGGUCAUUUUUGCCACGCAGUAUUUCCUCUGGAUUACCGUUCUCGACCUCGAAGCUCGCCGAGCUGAAGCAAAUCUUCCAUGCUGGGGACGAUUCGACUAUGGAGAAGAUAAUGGUACGCACACUUAGCCUAUGCGAGAAAGCACCGAUACGAGGUGAGACCAAGCGAUGUGUUAGUUCUGUUGAGGACAUGAUAGACUUUGCCACCUCAAUACUAGGCCACGACAUCAAGCUUCAUUCCCCGAAGAGCGACGAAGGGUCAAAGCGUGAUAUCUUGAUUGGACGAGUGAAAAGGAUAGGUGGGAGUAAAUUGAGUGCGCCUGUGGCAUGUCACGAUAGUCUAUUUCCUUACAUGGUUUAUAACUGUCAUGCGGUUCCAACACUCCAUGUUUACGAGGUAGAUAUACUGGAUCCCGUGUCCAAGGCCAAGAUCAACAACGGCGUCGCAGUCUGUCAUAUGGACACGUCGGCAUGGAAUCCAAACCACGAGGCAUUUCUUGCGCUCGGGUCGGGCCCUGGUCGGAUCGAGGCCUGCCAUUGGAUCUAUGGGGAUUAUGCGGUCUGGACUAGGGCUAAUUAGUAAUGGAAAAAAAAUUGAAGUGUGGGUCAAAUUGAAUAAUAUAGGUUGGACCUAGAGGCCGAGAAAAAUUAGCCGAUAGCUCCAUCGCAAGUCAUCAUUUACUUGAAAGUAUUAUCUAAUAUGAUAUAUGCUGUCUGAUAUACACGACUAUGAUCGUGUGUGUGUAUAACUGUUAUUAUGGUUAGUAAAUGUCAAGUGUUUGUGUGACUUUUAUCUAGCAUUUGUAAUUAUUGUGGUGUGCAUGUGAAAAAGUUUGUCAUGUGAAGUACUUAAUCUCCUUCCAGAACAUAACUUGACUACAUGUCUCAAACUGUAAUAUACAAUCGUUAGAUUUUUCUUCUUUUAUAAACUUGGUUUUCCAUCUUAUAUCUCUACCAUCAGCGCCUUGACAUCAAAACAAAUGGAAUUUUAAGAGAUUAAUGGACAUAGGGUGAAGCACCUCAACUGAUCAAUAUCGCUUGAUUCGAGAUGUGCAAAUACCAUUUGCUAAUUAUUUUCAUUGAUUGUAACACAGAGCUACUUCUAAUCAUUUUUGCAAUUUUUUUUCAUGUCUAACAUCAGCAUUAUUUGAUAACUCAAGAUGAAGGCUAUAUCAAGACUGAAAAUUCUUUUUUGUCCCAGUUAUUAGUCUCUAUUGCCAUUAUGGAUCAAGUGAUCUACUAAUUGAAGUUCUUUUCUUUUGUGUUUUCUCCCUUCGAUGAGUAUAUGUUGUUAAGGAAAUCCCUUAUGAUGUUCUGAAGAUGACAAAUAAAUCAAAGGCUACUAACGUGUUUAAUGGUUGAGUAAUAGACCAUGCAAAUGAUAGAACAUGUAAAUGAUAUUAUCAAAGUUUAUACUUGGAAUAACCAGAAGACUGAACGUAACUUAUGUUCAAAGUCUAUUAUGAAGAUUUCCAGACUUCUGUGUCAAAGUAUGUUCUACAUCAGAAAUUUGUCAACUCUGACAAAUUCUAGACUGCAUGUGAAUGAAGCUGAACUAGAAGACAGACUUUAUGCUGAAGUUGAACCAGAAGACAAACUCUAUACUGAAGCUGAAUUUAUUCAGACUGUGUUAAGACCUUAAAACCAAAUCUGUUCAUAAGCAGAAUAUGUUCAGACUCAGAUUGUAAAGUCUAUUGCACUCAGACUCAGGUUGUAAAGUCUAUUGCACUCAGACUUCACAUCUAGAUUCGAUAGAACGUAACACAAGAUUGAUUUGAUUGACUUAAUCUAAUUGAUUGACAAUUGGAUCUUAAAGACAAGAACUUUCUAUACAAAGAAGCUCUACUUAUGGAAACCAAGAUUCUGUUUGUAUGGGCGAUCGGAAUCAAUUUGGGAUUAUACUUUUGUCACUCAAUGUCUACCAAAUCUUCUAGAUACAAAUUUGUCAAAUUGGUAGAUUGGAAGACGAUCCUCAAGAUACUGUCCAACAACUAGUUUGGAAGUAAAUGAGUAUUUAAGGAGAUCAAGGACUGAUGAGCAAGUAAGAGACGGAGCGUAGAAUUUAUAAUUCCAAAGUCUGAGCGAUCUUCGAUCAUACACUUGUCUCUUGUGAGCUUAAACGUUUGUGAUCGUGAGAGAAAUACCAAAAGAGUGACUUAGUGAGAUAGUGUGAUUUACUACUAAGUGUUUGUACUCAAAGUUGUAAUCUUUUGUUGAUUGCAUAGUGGAAUCUAGCCAAGAAGGCUGUUAGCGUGAGAGAGUAGACGUAGGCUUGGAUUAAGCCAAACCACUAUAAACAUUAUGUUCUUAUUCUCUUCACUGAAUCUCUUUAUUUUGUUCGUAAUUAUAUUUAACUGCUAAAGUCUGAUCUCGCUCAAAAUCUGCUGCUCUUUAGACUCAGUUUCAAAAGUCUUUUGUUAUUCAGACUCAGGUUAAAAGUAAAGGUUUUCAUUGUAUUUUGCAGAAUAUGUUUUUACACCUAUUCACCCCCUCUAGGUAUUCAUACUAGCACUUUCAUAUGUGACCAAAGUUCAAUAGCUUAGAAGAAGAUUAAGCGAGUGGCACUCCUCAAUAGAUCAACUCACUGGUCAAGUCUUUGAUUUAAGUUCGGUAACUCAGGUCUAAAUCAGAACAUUGUCCCCUCAAAAUAACGUCGGGAACAGCAUCUUCAACCGAUGCACUUAGGCAAAGCUUUUGCAUGCAUUGUAGAGAUUAGCCAAGACGAGUUCGGAUAGGCCGUCGUCGCCGAGGAACAAAGAGAGAACGGAAAAGGCUCGCGUCCACACGAAUGUUCCAAGAUCUUGCUGUCGGCGAUAUGAAAAACAACCCUUGGGCCAGCGUAGUCGAAUGCCCCAUGACUAUUCAUUCGAUCGACCCAUGUGGUAAUGAUGAACUGGAAGCGCAUUUGACAAUUGAUGAAGGGAUCAGUGAUGGGUCCAGUUGAAGAAAUCAUCCAACAUCCAGGGCGGACCCGCAUUUUUUCUCAUUUACGAUCCAAGGUUCGUUGGACGGGCAGUAACAAUUCCAGGUUCCUUCAAUGCCAAUUUUGUCCUUGGGAAGGUCAUCGAGACACCCUCACCAAUUGCAUCUUCACCCACUUAUCAAUCAUUCAGGUGAUGCGCAUGGUAAAUUGAGCUUGGUUUUCCCCCUAUUGGGGGCAAAUAGAUAUCCAUGAGGAACAUCAGUCUAAAUAUGGUUUGCUCGACUCUUAGUUGCUUAUUGAUUUUACACUUUGUCGUUGGAGAAUGACGAUGUUCAGUUGCAAUUACUUUGUGCGAUAUCGAAACAAAUUAUACAUACACUAUGAUCGAACCAACUCACUAUUGAAUUUGAUUAUCUAGGCAAAUUCGAAUGGCGGGUCCUAUGUCGAAAGUUACCGUGCACCUUGUUGGAGAAAUCCUCGUGAAGAGUUUUGAAGUUGACAAAAUGUUUCCGUCAGUCUAGUCUGAAGGUCAGCAGACUCUGUUGGUUAAAGUCUGAAGACUUCCGGACAGCCAGACUCAAGACUCAAAGUCUAUCCUCAUUGACAGUCACUGAUCCGUUGAAGAAAGGUUAUCCCGAACUGGAUGUUUUGUUCAGGAUUUAACUUUGUCAUCUGGAGAAGAUCUCGUGGCUGGAGAAGACGUAUCAGAAUCCUUUGAUUGAUCAAGAUUGAUUCAAUGACUGAAGAUUCGAUGAUUGUCUAAAUAUUAUUGGAAGGUUCUACUUAUGGAAACCGAGAUCCUGAUUGUAUGGGCGAACAGGAUUGAUGGGCUAUCAACACGUUCCUUUAAUAGCUCGAACGAUCUUCUUAAUUGAUUCCGUCCAACGGGUAGAUUGGAGGAAUUCCUUUGGAAAGUGCCAACGGGUAUGAUGGCAUAAAGGAGUAUAUAAGGAAGACGUUCUUAGUUGUUUAAGAAGAGUGUGCGAUAGAAGAAUUCCAAAGUCUGAAGCUCCUAUUUGUUUAGAUAAAUCUCUUGAGCGAAUACUUGUAUACAAAAGAGAGUCUAUAUUUGUGAGAGACCUUGAGGAGGUGUGAUAGAACAUCUACACCGUGGAAUCAAGGCAAAGCUGUGCUGUAACUUCUCUUUUGAUCAUAGUAAAAUCCAGCCGGUGGGCUGUCAGUGUGGAAGAGUGGACGUAGGCUUGGAAUAAGCCGAACCACUAUAAAUCCUGUGUUUGAUUUUCUCUUCCUUACUCUCUCUACAUCGAUCGUAUUUCAAUCUGUUGCUUCCGUAUAUCGAAAAAUUGUUUGUGCGCCUAUUCACCCCCCCUCUAGGUGUUUAUACUAGCUAUAUCACACCUAUUGUUCUAGAUCAUUCGAGAAAGAGUUGAUCGUGAACUAAACGGCUGCCGGGUUCAUAAACUAGUGUGGAGCUUGCCACCGUUACUUAACAAAUGGAUCAAAAAAGGGAAUACAAUUAAGGCACUAUUUGUUUCUUGGAAAAUAUUUUAUUUUUGGAAAAUGUUUUUCUAGGAAGUCAUUUUUUGGAAAAAUGACAAUAAAUUUCAGUGUUUAGCUGAAAUUUGAAAGAUAACUGAAAAAUAUUUUUCAUUAGAUGAAAAUGACAAUAUGAUUUUUAAGCGUUAGUGACUUGCACGGGGGUGGCUGACAAAACCAGGCAUGGACACCAUGACUUCAAGUUCGGUAUUGAUGGACCUAGGCUAGAGGGCUAGUGCCUUGAGUUUGGGUGCUCCCAGGUGUGGGGAACCGAACAUGGGCUUCUAGAUCCUAGGCCCAGCCUCGAUGGACCUAAGCUCGGAUGCAAGGAAUCCGGGCAAAAGAAUUGAGGUUUUGAGCUCGAGUAUCAGGGACUCAAGCAUGAACAUUGGGGUCUUGAGCUAGAGCUAGAGCCUGGUCUUGAUGGACUUGAGCCUAAGUGUCAGGGACUUGGGCACAAACACUAAAAAGUAAAAUAAAUAAAUAAAUAUAUAUAUAUUUCUCUGAAAAAUAUUGUUCGCGAAACAAAUGGAGUCUAAAAAUAUUAACAUCAUCCUACAAACUCGAUAUACCAACCGAUGCCUAUCUUGUACUCUACAUUGAUAAUUGCAUGGGAACGGAUCACAUAAAGAUCGCCACGCGUUCACGAGCUCCCUCACGGUUCUUUAAUAGGAUGUUCCGUCCUUGUCGUUCCCAAUAAUGCAUUAUUAGCGUGAAAGAGAAGGAUCACCAAAAUGUGCAUGGGACUAGAACUUUGCCGUCACAAGGAAACAAGAGCAUUAGCGGCUAAACGCGUCAACGAAUAUGCAUUGAGAGCCACGUUCGAGCCAACAAGACGACGCCUCGUAGUCCGAAAACGCAGCAUCCUCGAGAGCAGCCAUUCAUGGAUGUGGGAGCUGUCGGCUUCAACGAGAGAGGGUAAUGAACCGAGGAGUCAGAGCUUCAAAAUCCUACCGAUUGGUCAUCGGCAGCGUCUGCUCUCUGUAGCUUUUGAAGCAUGCAAUGCUCGAAUCGACUCAUUUGAGAUGAGGUCUAGGAAUUCCAUUUCUCCAUCUUUUACGAGUUACCUACUCUCCAUCCAGCCUCUCGUAACUAUUUCUUGGGCUCUCCGUUAUUAUUGCCUUGACAACGGAUUUGAGGGAGAAUUUAAAAUAAGCUAAGCUAUCCAAAUCAGGCAAACUUAAUGAUCUAAGGCUUAAGAAACACACAUCAUCUUAAAUAGAAGUUAAAAUCAGGAACGUAAAUCUAAAAAGUACCAAUAAUGCCAAGAUUAGUAAUUGGCAAAAUCCUGGUAAAUAACCAACAUCCGACGAACUUAGGAAAUAUUUGUUUGGAAGAGUGUGUAUAAUCUUUAAAGCUUUAGAAGAUAACCCAACAGAGAUUUCCCAAUUAUAUCAUCUAUCCACUUAUAAAUAACAAGGGCUCAAAUAGUACAACAAAAACCGCCAACUCUCUGACCCAGUCCCGGAUUUCAAGCUCAAACAUAAUGGCUCUCUUCUUCCUCCUCUUGCUCUAUUCUUUCAGCGUUAGUGAAAGCUCUCUCGCUCCUGCCUCGACUGUCUUCAGUAUUAGGAGAAAGUAUUGACUGGAACUCGAAUUUCACUAUAUCAUCAUUUGGGCAAAAGAACGCCUCAAGUGCCAAAACUUGAUACAAAAUGGACUCUUAAGUGCUAAAACUUACGAAAGUAACACUUAAGUACCAUUUUUUUAUGAAAAAUUGGAUACUUAAGUGCCAUAUCCAACAAACCCCGACGGAAAUCCUACGUGGUAAUUUUUUUAUUAAUUUUCUCACUUACGUGGCUCGCCAGAGGCUAACUUAGCAAAACACACCCAAAAACGACGUCGUUUUGAUAUAAUUCGAAUUUUAAUAUAAAAAUUAAAUUAAUUUAAUUUAAAACAAAUUGAUUAAUUUAUAAUUUAAAAAAAAAAAAGAAAAAAAAAGGGAGGAGUAGGAGGGAGGCAACCGGCAGUUGAGGGCUCAGCUAUCGCCGUCACCGGAAAGGUGGGGGAGGGUUAGCCGGGGCCGCCGCAGGGGCCCAAGUUUUGUCUCGUCAUCAUCAAACUAAGAGGGGUAGUAUUUUUCUAAAGAAAACUGCACUAAAAGUCUUAAAAUUUAUUUCAAAAAUGCAUUUAAAUUCUAAAACUUUCAAAAUUAUAAUCAGAUGUUAAAACUGGUUAUAAUAAUGUAAGUAAGUCCUAUGUGCUCUAUUACCCCCCCCCCCCCAAAAGAUCUAAUCAAUUAUUGCAAGAAAAGAAUUUUUGCGAAGGCAAGUGACAAUAGAUUUUCGAUUAUUCAAUGGCCAUUAAUCCUCUUACAUGCGUAAGGUGACAAUCAACAAGGAAGAGUCUAUGACAUGAUUGAUGGUAAUGGAUGUGUAUCCCUCCGAACAAUCCUACAUGCUUGUCUCAUAAUGCUUAAAUCUUUAAAUUGUGAGCUAGAUAAUUCAUAAGCAUUUCCAGAUUUAUCGUUGUCGCUCUAAAAUAUCUCAAUUUGCAAGUUGGAGCACUUCUUGCCAAAAAUGAGGAUGCUGAUGUGAAAUUGACACCCUAAAUAUCUAGAAGUGAGUGCACACAUCCUUUUCUAAUAUUUCCUAUCUAACAAUAGCAUAAGUUAAAAUUAAACAAUGCUAAGAUAGGUGGCAUGCAUUCACAUGUCAAAUCAAUGCACAUGUAAACUUAAUCUAGACAUAUUUACUCUCCGUUAGGCUUUUCCAGAUUUAUCGUUAUCACUCUAAAAUAUCUCAAUUUGCAAGUUGGAGCACUUCUUGCCAAAAAUGAGGAUGCUGAUGUGAAAUUGACACCCUAGAUAUCUAGAAGUGAGUGCACACGUCCUUUUCUAAUAUUUUCUAUCUAACAAUAGCAUAAGUUAAAAUUAAACAAUGCUUAGGCACAAGUUUUGUCUCGUCGUCAUCGAACUGAGAGGAGUAGUAUUUUUUUUUUAAAGAAAAGUGCACUAAAAGUCUUAAAAUUUAUCAUAAAAAUGUAAUUAAAUUCUAAAACUUUCAAAAUUGUAGUAUGAUGUUAACACUAGUUAAAAUAAUGUAAUUAAGUCCUAGGUGCUCUAUUUUUUUUUCCCAAGAAAAAGAAGAUCCAAUCAAUUAUUGCAAGAAAAGAAUUUUUGUAAAGGUGAGUGACAAAAGAUUUUCAAUUAUUCUAUGGCCAUUAAUACUCGUACAUGCGUAAGGUGACAAUCGAUAACAAAAGGUCUAAGACAUGCAUGAUGGUGACGGAUUUAUAUCUCUCCAAAAACGUCCUAUUAUGUGCAGUACAAUCCUAGAUGCUUGUCCCAUAAUUAAUCCUUGAAAUUGUGAGCCACCUAAUUCAUAAGUAUCUCCAAAUCUAUCGUCAUUGCUCUAGAAUAUCUCAAUUUACCAAUUGAAGCACUUCUCGCCAAAAAUAAGGAUGUUGAUGUGAAAUCGACACACUAGAUAUCUAGAAGUGAGUGUGCACAUAAACCUCAAUCGGUCCUUUUCUAAUAUUUUCUAGUUAACAAUAGGAAAAGUUAAAAUUAAACAAUGCUAAAACAGGUGGCAUGCAUUCACAUGACAUGUAAUUGCACAUGUAAAUUUAAUCUAGAAGAAUUUACUCUCCAUCAGCUUCUCCCACAACUACACCAAUUGCACUAGCAUUGGCCUCCAUAGCAACACCACCGAUCCUGGCAUCUUUCUCCCAAGCGUAACCACCUAGACCGAGUACUGGCUUACACUAGUUCUAAAAUUUGUCGAAAAGUGCAACCAGACCAUAAAAUUUUCAAAAAAUAUAAUAAGGUUGUAGAACUUGUCAAAGUUGUGUAAUCAAGUCCCUUUGUCAACUCUCUAUAAUUUGACUGACAAAAAUGCCGACAUGAUUAUGUUAAUUACUUUUGUUAUGACCAAAGCUGAAACUACUACGAAAUUAAAACUAAGAAAAAUAAAAGAACACAAAAAUUUACGUGAAAACUCUCAUGACAAAAAACUACGGGGAGAGAAGAAGCAAAAUCUACUAGUGAAAUUUAAGGAUUAUCAAAGAUGGCUCGAAAAACCUUAAGACUCUUUUUAUCACUCAUUUUAAACCUAAUAACUUGGGAAAAAAAUAAUAUUUAUAUUGCUCCAUAUGACGGGGUGCAAUCCUUGCACCUUUGCCGAGGAUUAGUGUUGAGGUACUAGCUUGGGCCUCGACCAACACUAAACCUCAAUUUGUUUUUAACAAGUCGAGUAGUCACAAAUUUCAAUUUAAGUAUCAAAACUCAAUUUAGGUCGAAUGGCGGGAGCACAAUUCAAGAUAUACUCAACAAUUUCUUGAGACAAGCGGCGUCCACUAAGCACCACAUCAAUAACGAAACUUUUGGAAAAAAAUUAAAGAAAGAAAGAGAGAGUAAAAGUACAAUAAGAAAAAAAGGGAAAAUGUUCGAACGAAAGGCUAAUAAUGAAAAGAAAGGGGAUUAAAAAAAAAAAAGCAAGACUUCCGCUUCUGGUUUCCCAAAGAAACAGUGAUUUCGAUUCUUGCGAGCGAAAGUUGAGAUUGAAGGAAUGAAUCUCUUUCUUUUUUCUUUUUUUUUGGGGGGGGGGGGGGGGGGGGGGGGGGGGGGGGGCCGCCCGGGGGUUUUUGUUUGUUUGUUGGUUGUUUUCAACCUUCGCAGAUCGCCUACGGACACUUCUUGGAUCAGUUUUACAUAUGAAAGGCUUUACUAUUCUGCCAUGGGCCCAUGGCUGUGGUAGGAUUGGCCAUUGCCGCCACAGCUGUACCUUUAUCACAUAUGCUGCGUCGAUGGAGAGGUGCUCUCGAAUUUGCAGGCUGAGUCCAACCUUUUCUGCAUCGACCCAGUUCAGUCGGUUGCAAUUCGCAAUUUUGAUAAGGAACACUAAAAAUUGUAUUUUAUUUUUUUGGUCGAAAGGGAACACUAAAAAUUUGAAAAAUACUUCCUACGCUCGCGAACAUAGCAAUAAACCAAAAAAAGAAAAACGUUCAGGAGGAAGAUGUAGAUGUCUACGCUAAGGCAACGACAUCAUCCCCCCCUUUUUUUUCUGGUCUGGUUUCGCCUUCUAUCAAGGAGGAGCUUUGCAAUAGUUCCCAAUAAAAACCCCAUGUUUUUGUUCUUUUUCCCCCCUAUCAUCCUUUUCUAUUCAUUUUUUUUUAAUUUUAAAAUUUUAUCUUUUUAAAUUUUCGAUUUCUUUUUUCUAAUGUGGCACUUGAUAGAUGCAUGUAUCUUAAAUAAAAUAAUAAGCCAAAUUGAACUGAUUGGUGAAAUGACCUAAUUGUAUCAUUUUGACAAAUCUUAGAACUCAAUUACAUUUUUGCGUCAAUGAUCACGCAUAAUGUCCGUGACAAGGCAAUCAAAAUUUCCUUAAUUAGGUUUUCAUCUAUUAUUAGUCGGUGGCUCGACCCAUAAAAAUAUUCUAAAUUAGUAUGUGCAUAUCUACAUGCCCUCAAUGGGUUUAUAGAGACACACACUAAGCAUAAUUAACCUCAAUCUCCAUAAUCCACAACCAAAAUCAAAACCCUUCUCACAAUUUAAGUUUAAUAACCAAAUCACAACAUUUCACCAUUCAAUAAAUAUAUAUAUAUAUAUAUAUAUAUAUAUAUAUAUAUAUAUGGAUGUAUAUAUAUCAAAGCGCCUCAAAAACCACAUUCAUAAAUGAUAAACUUUUCGUGAUUCUUUCAUAAAAGGUUUCACGAACCAUUUAGAAGCAAUCGGUUCAAACUGCAGUUAAAGGAUGACUCCCCAUUUUAAACAAACAAAACGGUAGUAAAUGUUCAAUCCUAUUUUAUGCAACAACAGAUGCAAUUUCUUAACAUAUCGUUUUCAAAAUAUAAAAACACAAAAGAAGAAAUAGUAUCACUUAUAUGGGAAAGCGAAAAACCAGCGGGAGUAGUCCCCGCACAGGACGCCGCAUACUUAUUUGUAAUUAUAAAGGGAAAACCAUUUGCUAGUUGAACUAGAUACACAGUGGUUUUGUUCCUUUCGCUUUAUCCGUUUUGUCCUUAUCGAGUCUCUGGUCCUAUAAAUUUCUGGCUCGAUCGACCAAACCCUUCGACAAUCAUCAGCAUUUCCGCUCCCUGAUUGAACAAAUACAUGCACAACAGUUUCAGCACGAUGGCUCUCACCUCCCUCCUCCUCCACCUCCUCCUCCUCCUCUCUUCUCUCCAUGUCAGUAAUUUGUCAAGCUUUCACUCUCCAUGCGUACCCAACUGCUCAUCUCUCUCUCUCUCUCUCACUCUCUCUCUCUCUCUCUCUCUCUGUGUUUUCAUGCAAAGACAGGGCUAUAUGUUUAAUUCGAUAUCUCGCCCUUAAUUAGUAUAUACUUCUUACCUAAGAAUUGCUGAAAAAAUUUUGCGGCCAUUUACUCCAUUGGCAAUUACUUCUCAUCCAUUAUUUGUCAACCCAAUCUCUCUAUACUGGUUUAGAGUGCACAGGCUAUCGGAUCAAAUGGGGAACCCAGGCUUCAUAAGAACUAUUCGAUUUAAUUUACGCAUGCAAGAAGCUAAACAUAUUAGUUUGUAUCAAAAUUAAACCUCAUAAUAUUAUAUAUAUCUUCAUACCAAAAAAAAAAUAUAUAUAUAUAUAUAUCUCAUUUGGGUUAUCUUAACGCAUGUUAGUAGAUCAAUUGUGUUUAUGUGUUCUUUAGGCUAACAAAGAAAUGUGAAUGAAACGUAGAUAAUCAAGGGAACAUAUAAUGAUUUGAUAAUAUGAAAGCAUGUAAGUUGCAAAAGUCAUUUUAAGUGAUUGAGCAUGACGUUACUACUUUUAGACACAAGUAUCAAAUAACAUACAUUAAUGAUUGUUAGGAAUAAAUUGUUGGGUCAUCCAUGUUCAUUGUAAAGAUAAUUCCGAUGAUGCUAUUAUGCGGUUCUAAUUUCGUGUCACGUGACUUGUACCUUUUUGCAUGUUCAUUACAAUUUUCAGUAUGUCUAUUUUACUUCCAUAAUUAUGUCAUUGCACAGUUACUUAAGUCCAUAAUGUCCAUUCUAAUCGUGAUUAUAUAAACUUCUAGCUCACAGUCACUCUUUGAUUUUCUUCUGUGGAUUGUCCUGCGAUAGGUCCCCAGCACCGUCGCUAGGGCCACUCCCGAGGCCGACUUCCUCGCCCGCGAGGCUAACUCGAUCUCUCCCAAAGCAUACCUUGUCCAUUACUGGAACAAGCAAAUCACCAACAACCUUCCCAAGCCACCAAUCCUCUUCUCCAAAGCGUCACCUCUGACGACCGCGUCAGCGACCAUCUUCGCCGAACUCGUUGCCAAAGGCGCCAUCUCUGACCACCUCCUAUCGUUCUGCGAGGAGGCGCAAUUGCUCUGCUUCAUGAACUCAUCAUCUGAUGGGGUCGCAAGGACAAAUGCACAGGUGUAUAGUUACACAAAUUGCCCCCCUCCCCCCCCAGCCGAUACAAUUGUGGCAACUGAUGACAAGAAAGUAAAUGGCGGCGUGGAGGAGGGCGCGUUUUUUCGAGAGUCGAUGCUGAAGAGCGGGAAUGUGAUGCCAAUGCCCGACAUCCGGGAUAACUUGCCCAGAAGGUCAUUUUUGCCUCGCGGCAUUUCCUCCGAAAUGCCGUUCUCAACCUCGAAGCUCGCUGAGCUGAAGCAAAUCUUCCAUGCCACUGAAAAUUCCGCGAUGGAGAAGAUCAUGGCACAAAUACUAGGCCAGUGCGAGGUUGCAGCACUCCAAGACGAAACCAAGAGGUGUGUGGCCUCCAUCGAGGACAUGAUCGACCUUGCCACCUCGGUUUUGGGUCAUGACGUCAUGGUCCGAUCCACGGAGAGCGCCGGAGGGUCGAAGCAGGAGGUCUUGAUCGGGGUGGUCAAGAGGAUCGACGGCAGCGAAGUGAGCAAGCCCGUGGCCUGUCACCAGAUUCUAUUUCCUUACGCUGUCUAUUACUGUCAUGCAUUUCCAAAUGUCCGGAUUUACGAAGCAGACAUACUAGAUCCCAAAUCCAAGGCUAAGAUCAAUCACGGUGUCGCCAUUUGUCAUAUGGACACAUCAGCUUGGGGCCCUACUUACGAGGCAUUUCUGUUGCUUGGAUCGGGUCCUGGCCAGAUCGAGGUCUGCCAUUGGAUAUAUGAGAAUAACAUGAUAUGGACAAUUGCCAAGUCAUAAUGGAAGAACGAAGUGUGGUCAAGAUGGAAUAAACAUGGGUUCGGCCUGGUGAUCAAGAUAGAACUUGGUCUUUAGCUACCUCCAACCGAAAGCCUCUCUUGCUUUGCAUUACAAUCUAAUAUAGUAUCUGAAUCUGAUAUCAACAAAAACGUGUUUGUGUUUGGUGUGAAACAGUUGUCAUGGUCAGUAAAUGUCAAGUGUUUUUUUUUUCUUGUGAUUUGAGUACAUGUUCAAGUCUUUUGCAUUCUCCUGUCCUUUGUGCUUAGAGAUCUUCCUAUCUCUCGAUUUGCGUUACUAUCUUUGAGAAUUUUCUUCAACUUUCGACGAGGACCAAUAACUAUUUUCACAGUACUGUUAUUAUAUAAACGAGAGACAGAUAAGAAUGCAGUUGUUUUAUUCUUACCUUUUACCAAAAAAAAGAAGAAGAAUGCAAUUGUUUUUGAUAAAAGAAAAAAAGAAAAAUAGUGAAAAGCUGCAAAAAUAGUUCAAGUGGCCCAGUGGUUGGGAGUCCCAACGUGAUCAUUUUGAUACACUUGACAUUGGGCCCGUCUAGUUCGGCUUUGGGAAAUGCCAUUGGGAGAAUGCAAAUACCUUUGAGGUAAAUGUGUUUUUUGAAAUGCUAGACUGUUUGGUAAACUAUAACUGAAAAGUGAUUUAGGAAAAUGCAAGACCGUUUGGUAAACAUAUAUUUAAAAAGCCCUUUAGUGUAACCAAAUUAAGUUUUUUAGUUUUAGUAUUUUUAAAAUUGCAAAAAAGAAAUAAUGACUAUAUAACCUUUUACAUUUUCAUGUCGAAAGUAAUGUAAAAGACAUAUAUUAGCAAAUUUAUUUAAAAAUUAUAUUAAAAGAAUUUGAUUAUAGAUUAGAUGCAAAGCUCAAUUUUUGGCCUAGGGUUCUUUUAGGUUUGUUUUCAACUUUGAAUAAUUUUUUUAAAUUAUUGUAGUAUUAAUCAUCUUCGUCAAUUAAUGAUCAUUCUAGUGUAUUGAUAAAAAAUUGGGCUAUUGAUUGUCAAAAGAUAAAAAUGACAAAAAAAAAAAAGGCGAACCCAACAUUUGCAAAGAGUUUUUAUUAUUUUUUUAAAAUAUAAAAAUAAAAUCCGAUGAAACUCCAUCGCCGAUCAACGGCGGUUGGGGUGUGGGGAAGAUGAUCGGUUUAAAAAAAGAAAAAGAAAAAGAAGUCAACGGAUGAAUAGUAGAGGUGGACUUGUAUUUCCGAAAUGCUGGAAGCUCAAAGUAAGCCCCCAUUUGCUUUGGGCUUUCAGCAUUUCAAAGGCCAGCAUUUGGCCAAGAACACCUCCAAAUGCUGAACCAAACACCUAACUUUUUUCCCAAUGGGUUUUCGAGGCUGAGAGCCCUUUGGGAAUGCUAAACCAAAUAGGCCAUUGAACAACGAGAGCUGCCUGGUUCAAUCUUGAAGUGGCACUUCCCACUUUUUCUCCCCCUGAAUUUUGCUUUUAAACUUUUCUGCAUUUAUCUUUUGUUUGCACUUUCUCGGUUACAUAAACUACAUAUCAUCAGAUCAUUGCUUUCUUUUUUUUUUCUUUUUUCUUUUUGCUUUUUUUAAGCGUUUGUUAUUGGAAAAAGAUAAUUCAAUAAGAACCCCCUAUACGAGAUUAGACUUCUAAAAUCCUAAAAACUUCACAUGAAUGAUUCUGAUAUGAUAAAAAUGUAAAAACUAAAUUUAUUUUUGUUUCGCUAGAAUUACUCUCUUAAUGAAAUGUCUUUUACCAAAAGUUAUUCUUUGGUUUUAUUAAAGAGGACAAGGGUUAUGUGCCAACUCCAGACAAUGGAUAUCUAAUGCAAGAAGGAAUUGAACUUCUUUGGUCCAAACAACAUUGAUUUUAGGUUGAGUCGGAAUUAAUCAACAACAAGGCAAAAAAAAGUUACAAGACCGGUCUCAAAUUAUGUUGGAAUUUAAUCAACAACACAAAUUAGGGAUAGUAAGAUGUGGAGUUGGAAUUUAAUCAACGACACAAACUAAGGAUAGUAAGAUGUGGAAUUGGAAUUUAAUCAACGACAAUAUACCAGGAUAGUAAGAUACAAUACUGGAAUUUAAUCAACGACAAUGUACCAAGAUACAGAAACACGUCGGAAUCUAAUUAACGAUGAAAAUCUAAAAGCUAUAGCUAGGAAAAUUAAAGUUUAGUACAAGAAAGGCAAAUAUAAAAAGAUAACAUUUUGAUUGAUUUAUCAUAUGGCUUCUAGUUGGAUGAUUGGUUGUAUGAUAACCGUUUGGUAGUUACGUCUUCUCUAGUGCCUGCUACUGGCUUUGUCCAUGAUCCUUUAUUCUCAUAGAUCACUUUGCCCAUACUUCAUAUAACUGUCCUAGUCGUGUUUUGAGGAUUAUGCAACUGUCGAUGCCAUUCCAUGACUGGGGCUCCAAAUAGCAAUUGCUUUUUUACAACAUGCGCCUUUGAUGCUAACUACCUUAGUGCCUUAAGUAAUAUUCAAAGUGUCUCCAUUGAAAAAGUUGUUGCUAAAGUUCAUAUGAGGGGCUACCAAUCAUCCGUCAUCAUAUUUCAACAACCGAUUACAUGGCAUUUCUUUAUCUCAUCGUCAAUCAAAGGAUAUCUACUCUACGUCUGUUGAUAAUUUGGCAUACAUCAGACAUCACCUAGCCAUUAUGCACAUAAUUGUAACUUAUUUCUGAAGAGCUACGGCUGAGGUAAACCUCAACUUUAAUAUCAGCUAUAUAGUUCACAAUUUCACGAAAGAUCCUGUAUUUAUGAGAGGACAUGUAACAUUUUCAAUUAAGAUAAAUAUUUGUCACAUGUAUUUCCGUGUUUAUAUAAGUGACCCAAUUUGUCAUGCGAUUGAUAAAUCUCUUCGUUUGUAGCUAUACUUUUAUCUUUUAACAAUCUUAGCCCAUGGACCUACAUUGCUGAAUGGACACUUCUGAUGUAUUCGAUUCGUGGAUGAGUAUUUUUCUCGCUCGGCAGUGAUCGACCCAUGUGGCCACGAUGAAUAGUGGAAGCAAAAUUGACAUUGGCGAAUAGAGCUUAACAGAGAAGAUGUCGAGUCCAAUUGAAGAAAUCGUACAGGAUAGGGGUGGGACUUUGCAUCGAUAAAUUCAGGUUCUUUCAACGUAUUCUGUCGUUGGAAUGCAAGAGAGAUCAUCGAAAAAGUGUAUAGAUUAAGUCCCUAUUAUCUUUUACGAGUUAAGGGCACGAGCAUAGAGGCUCGGUUAUCUAAAGGUUCUUGGAACAUUCUACAAGCCUCAUAAAUCGUUUGAGCCCUAGUUUUAUAAUUGUUGGCAAGUUUGGAUAAAGGUUCUAAGGCUUUGAUUGAGAAGUCAUGAGAAAUCGGGUGGAUAGGUUAUUUGCAUAUGGACAGUUCUAGUAAAAUUGUUGACUCUGGAGAAAUCAGCUUAAGGUUCUUCAUGGGAUCCAAUAACCACAUAGACAUAUAUAUACCAUUAGAUGGUUAUUUUUUUCCACCAAAAAACAUCAUAUGAUAGAAAGUACGGGUUAUACCUAUUCUCUGAUGUAGUUUCGUUUUGUAAAUGAACCAAUUAGUCCUUUCCUCUCCUAAUCCUUGGAAAGUAAGCACACACCUAGAGAUUUCAUUUAUCUCUUGUGGAAGUGAUUUUGAUUAGGUUUACUCAUAAUGGCAUCCAAUGACUUUAACCCUAAUUCAGGAUUAGCUAGCCAAUUACAGAGUGUCUCUACUGGAGUACAUGCGCAUAUAUGGAAAAUCAAAGUUUCACAUCUUAAAAAUUUAUCUAAUCACUAUACAACUUGAUUAAUUAACCGAUAGCUGUCCAAUAUGAGAUACAGAUGGAUGCCCUUUUGUUGUUUAAUCGCAUUAAUACAAAAGACUUGUCCUUUUGCGAAAUUGGCAUUUUGCAUUAAGCCAUUUGUUUUGCAUUAUCAAGACUCACCAUGUCCAAAGCAUAGACGUGACUUACUACCUAAAUAGUUUUUGUCUGUAGCUAAUUCCGAAGUGUUUGUCCUUGUACUCUUCCAGCCUUUCAUCAAUCUCAUGGGCUAAUUCCCAUCACCCUACUUUGUUUUGUGCUAAAACGCAACUGAUGGCAAGUGUAUCUCCAAUCGAUAGAAUCUUUUAGGAGGAAAUUCUAUCCAAAUCUAACUUUUAUUUACACUGUGUCACGACCUAAAUUUCGGGUGUGAACCACCUAAGGUUUGGCUAAACUUACCCAAGCCCAUAUCAAUUCACGACUUAGGUUCAAAUUUUUUAACAUGCAAAUGGAUUUUAUCUAGGAGUUGCCACUAAUCAGUUUACGAUAAGUUGAUUAAACACCUAAGUGAAAUAAAAUAAAAUAACGGGAGAAUUAUUUCACUUCUACGAAUCAGAGAUUUUGGGUACGGGGACUUGGUUACACUAGAUUUCUCUAAUGCCAUUUCGAUACCCUUAUUUUAAUUUCAAAAAUGCUUUUGCAGGCAGCUUAAAUUGAUUUUAAAUCUAUUUCCCUAACAUGUGAGGCGAUCAUGCGAGUGCGCAAACUACCAAUUUAACACCCAAGUAAAGCAGUAAAUAAAUUGUAGGACUUACCUCAUAGCAAUGAAAGCAUCUGCAUUAUUAGAUCAGAAUUCACACAUCAACAGUCCUAGAUAUGAUUACUAAUUAACACGCAAUUUCUUUUUUGUUUUCACUUACUUAACGAAAAUCAUGCAAUAUGCAAUGCAAUAUAACUAAAUGACCUAAUUCUAAUGAUAAAUAAUUUCUAAUUAAAUGGGCCUAGCAACAAUUAUCAAAUCUAGUUCUAUAUGACAUGCAAUGACAUUUUUUUAUUUUUCCUAAAAAAUGCAAUCUAUCUUAAAGAAUGGAACUAAUUUAUUCUAAGACAUUUUUUGCAUUUUUUAUGAAAUUCGGAAUUAGGAAAAAUGUGAAAAUUAUCUAACUAGAUUAAGAUUCUAUUCAAUUUGCAUUAGGAAUUAGGUUAAGUCAAAUCCUAAUUUAAACUAAUAUAUUAUCUUAACCCAAAUAAUCUUAAAAUGCAAUCUAUUUAAGAAAAUACCUAAACUUAUAAUAAAUUAAGAAAAAUAUUAUCUAAAAUUAAAUUCAAUUUUACCCUAAUAUACAAUGACGCACAAAAUAUGCCAUAAUUCUACAUGACAUAUGCAUGAUGAUUUUUUUUUGGUUGUUUUUCCUUUUUUCUUUUUUCCUUUUGUAAUUUCGAAAUUAAUAAUUGCCAAAUAAUAAAACAUGCAAUCCAAAUUAAAAAAGAACUAGCAACCUAAAUUAAUUGAUUUUUUUAAAAUUUUUGAUUUCUGAAAAUUCAAAAUAAAAUUCCUAUUCUGAGCAUGCAAACCCUAAAACUACAAUUUUUUUUAAGAAAAUUAAUUUAAGUAACACCACAGUAAAUCAAGUAAUAUUGAUACCCAAAUUGACGAACCAUAUUUCACGCAUGAGAUCGAGUUGACCAAUUUCACAUAAAUUAGGAAUCGAAUCUCGGGCGGGAGAUUGGAUUGGCGAUUUUUUUAAGUAAUUGCUAGUCAGAUUUCGAACGCGAAAAUCGGACUGACAAUCACUAAUUUCACAGGCUAUUUCAUGUCGAACAUCUCAUCAUCAAAUAAAGAAACAAAAUGAAUAAUAAAAACUUAAUAAAUAAAUAAAUAAAAUAAAAUAAGAAAUCUACCUAAUUAGGGUUUUGGCCUUCCUAAACUAGGGUUAGCCGGCGGCUAGAUGGGUCGCCGUUCGGAGCUCCGGCGAGGGCGGCGGGCGGACCGGCGGUAGCAACAUUGACCAGCGGGCAGGGGCUGCUAUCCGGCGUUUAGGAGCAAGCCGCAAUUGGUUCGUCGCUCGGGCGUGCAUCGGGUCGCCGGGAGCAGCAAAGCGUCGGACCUCGGCGACCGGUCCUGGGUCGCGGGCAGAGGAGCGGCGUCGGGCUGUGGCUGCAGCAGGUGCCGAUUCUGGGUUUUUUGCUGAUGGCGUCGGGUCUUGCUGUAGGGGCGAUCAUGGACGGAACGGCGAUGCGGCGUCCGGCGAGCACGGGAAUCGGGUCGCGGUGCGAGCUCCUGUGGGUCGCUCGUAGACGCGGCAAGGUAGGCUUGCGGACGCGAGAUCUGCGGGUUGCGGGUCGCAGGCGAGGCGGAGCAGAAGCAGGUUAGCGCUGGGCGGCUUCGAGCUGCAGCUUCGGUUAGCGCAGAUCGGGGACGGAGAUCGGCUGAGGCGCGGUGGGUUUCGUCGGGCUGGUCGAACGGCGCCGAAGGCUGCUGCGACUUCGCGGGGGCGCCGGAACUGGGCUGUGGAUCGCGUACGGGGCGGCGAGACAGACAGACGGCGGCUGGCUCUGGAUCUGAUGGCAUCGGGGAAGGCCGACGUCGCGAUGGCGUCGCGGUGCUCGCGGAUGAGCGGCAGGGGUGGCGACGGCCGGCGCAGCGGAGGAAGCGCAGGCCGGUGCGGGAUCUCGCGCGGUGGUGAAGUGGCGAGCGGUGGUGAUCGGCGCAGGCGAGAUCGGCAGCAGCGGUCGCCGGCGGCUUCGCGAGGAAGACGAACAGUGGCUCCCUUUUUCUUUUUUUCUCUCUCUUCUCACGUCUCCCUCACAUCACAUCACCCUCACACGUCUCUCUCUUCUUGCUGCACCCUCUGGCUUCCUCUGUAGACUUUUUCCUUGUUUUUUUAUUGCAGCCGUCACUUUUCUCUCCCUCUUUCACUUUUUCUCUGCUGGCUAUUCCCUCGAAGAAAACCGAGAGAAACGGCCCUCUUAAUGUGGCCGCGUAUUCAAUGUUAGGCCACGGAUUAGGGUUUUAUAUUUCCAAAAAUUUCUUUUUCAAACGUAAUAUUUACAUUUCCAAACGUAAUAUUUACUUUUGAACUGAAAUCUUACAAAGAUAAAUCCGUAAAAUCUCUCCAAAGAUAUGGGUUUGGACCAAUUUGCUCUUUUCGUGGGUUUAGCACAACUCAUCAAAUUAAAGUUUCUGAAGCAUCAAUUCGAAUCUAUCCGUCACCGGCUCAAUGUAAAUGCAAAUUAAAAAAUAAAUACACCUAAAAUUAUAUAUUAUGCAAUUAACUAUUUUUUCAGGAAUAAAAUUAACCCAAAAUUUUUUAAUACAAUAAAUGACUAAAUGAGACACCAAAAUUUAGAUGUCAACAAUUUGAAACAUAUGUGUUUCUUGUGGUACAUAUGCAUAAAUGUAACUUACCCAUCAGAAGAUUGAGCAAGAGGAAAUCAUGACUUUGUUUUAAGGAAAAUUCCAAAUAAAGAUCCGAAAUGGACCGAUUUUCUCAAAUAAGGACCCGGAAUUAACUUUGUAUCAAAUAAAGACCUAAAAUUGACCUAUUGUCUCAAAUAAGGACUCGAAGUUGUUGAAUCAAUUCCAAAUAAGGACUUGAGCUUGAUAAUUAGCCAAAUAUUCGCCGGCUGUCAAGCAUGUGACAUUUCCAACGACUGGAGUUUGGGCAAUUUUGUCCAAAAAAAAUUAUAGGGAAAAUUAACAAAUCCUAAAACAAAAAGAAAAAAAAAAGCCUAGGUUUUCUACAGUCUCUUCGUUCCUUGUACCCAUGCUUUGCAAAGUCAAAGACCGAAGUUCUCCUCAUUUACCCAUCUUCUGCAAAGUCGAAGACCCAAAUUCUCCACCGGUUGAGGCACGAAUUCAAAAACAAGAAGAAUACCAUAUGCUUCUUUCUUUGUUUGCGGAGACCCAAAUUCUCCGUCGGUUGAGCAAGGUGAAUUGAGUCGCAACGAUGACCGGGCAGCGAUUUGGUUGAGGAGCAGCAAGGAAGAAGAAAGAAGAAAACGUAAACAUCUAAAUAAAUAAUCUAAACUUAAUUAAUUUAGAUUUUUCCUCUUUUUUUUCCGAUCACAAAUUUCCGACAAAAUUGCCCCUAUUUUAAUCAUUGGAAAAUGUCUGCCGGUGAGCUAAAGUCCUCAAUAGAGAUUAACUUGAUCACUUCGGGUACUUAUUUGACAUAAAAUUCACUUCGGGUCAUUAUUUGAAACAAUGAGUCUACUUCGGAUCCUUAUUUGACACAAAGUUUAUUUUGGGCCCUUAUUUGAGAAAAUAGAUCCACUUCGAAUCCUUAUUUGAAAUUUUCCCUUUUUUUAUAACAAAAAGAAGGCAGCGAAUAAUCGAUAUGAUACUUAUUAAUUGCAAGUUAUAUUAAAAAAAAACUAAUUAAGUUUUAUUUCUUCCGCUUGGCAGAGAACAUUUGAUAUGAAACUUUAAUUAACUGCAGAUUGUAAAACUAGUGGUUAAGAGUCCCAACUUGAUAGUUUGUGUUAUAACGUUUGACAAAAAUUUUACGAAACUAAUAGGGGUGGACACACAUUGCGAUAGGAACACCCCCACCUCCGUCCCAGCCUAACUAGCCCUCAUUACCGUCGAAUCUGUCAAUUGACAAUUGGAGCAGAUUCGAGCCCUUUGAUCGGUCUAAUCAUAUGAUUGAGAAAUCUCUAUGUUCAUAGCUAUACUUUUACCUUUUACCGAUUUUCUCCAAAAUUUUUAUUACGUAUGGAAUAAUGAACGGCCUAUAAUUAUUUGAAAUUGCCGCGGAAACGGACGGGAUCUUUCUAGCAUCACCUUACUACGAAGACUUUGUUGUGGGCUAAGAUUAGCGCAGGCCUUGGGCCUGCAUUGCUUGUGAAUGGCACUCACGAUGUCCUCGUUUCUUGGAUAAGCAUUUAUCUAGCUUGGCAGUGAUCGACCCAUGUGUCCUGGAUGAAUAGUAGUAGCAAAAUUGACAUCAGCGAAAAGGGGUCAACAGAGAAUAUGUCCAAUCCAGUUAAAGAUAUCAUACACAUCCGGGGUGGACCCGCCUUUGUCCAUGCGAUCCCAAACUUUAUGGACUGUGCACCGAUAAAUACAGGGUCUUUAGAAGUAUACUAUCGUUGGGAUGCAAGAGAGAUCAUCGAGAUCGCAUGGGGACCAAGUUAUUAUAUUUACGAGUUGACGGCAUGAGAGCAGAGGCUUGGUUACCUGGAAGCCUAUAGAAAACCCUGCAAGCGUCAUGAAUAGUCCAAGUGGUCUGCGCAGGUGGUUUUGACUAGAGCGGCUUGUACACGGUUAUUGGAAUACAAACAAAUGAACUCCAAUUUCUGACUUACCAAUCUCUAGAUUUGCAAUAGGCAAAUUGUUUCCCAUUUUAUCCAGUUCACUGGGUCAAGUUACAAAGAUAAUCUAAUUCGUUUGGAUAAAAGUUCUUAGGCUUUGAUUGAGAAGUCACGGUGAAUCGGGUGGAUAGGCUAUUUGCAUAUGGAGAGUACUAGUGAGAUUGUGGACUAUGGAUAAAUCGGCUUAGGGUUCUUCAUGGGAACCAAGAACCACAUAGAGAGAUAUAUCCUAUCAUAUGGUUAAUUAUUUCCAUCAAGAGAUAUAUCCUAUCAUAUGGUUAAUUAUUUCCAUCAAAACAUCAUAUGAUAGAAAACGUGGGUUAUGCAUAUUCUCUAAUGUAGUUUCAUUUUGCAAAUGAACCAAUUAGUCCUUUCCUUUCCUAAUCCCUGUAAAGUAAGCACACUUCUUGGAGAUUUUGAGAUUUUUAUUUAUCUCUUGUAGAAGUGAUUAUAAUUAGGUUACUCAUAAUAGCAUCUUAUCACAAUUACUUUAACCCUAAUUCAUGACUAGUUAGCUAGUGACACAGUUUAUCUAUUGGAGAGCAUGCACAGAGAUGGAGGCAGCGGGGAGAAUCUCAUCUACACGUGAAAUCACAGUUUCCCAUCUUGAACAUUUAUCAAAUUACUGUACAAUUUGAUUAGUUAACUAGGGCAGGUCCAAUCUGAGAUAUAGAUGGGUGCUCUUUUCUUGCUUAAUCACAUUAUUAGGGAAGAGUUGUCCUUUACGAUAUUGGCAUAUUGCAUUAUUCCAUUUGUUUUUCAUAAACUAAGACAUGUCCUAUAUGAGGCAUAUAUGGAUGCUUUUCUUUAAUCAAGUCUUUUUCAUGUAAUUUGAUAUAACUUACUACCUAAGUAGUUCUUGUCUUUAGCUAAUUCUCAAGUGUUUUUGUUUUUUUUUCCCUAUUCUAUUCCAUCCUUUCACCAAUUAUGUGGGCUUUCCCAUCACCUUCCUUUAUUUUAUGCUCAAACGCCUUACAGAUUCCACGUGAUGAUAGAAUGACUAGAGUCCAACAAAAAUCUAAUGCCUCGCUCUUUAUUAUUUAGAACUUAGGAGUUCCCCACAGACCAAUUUAUUUUUUGAGCUUAGGAGUCCCUAGACACCGACUUAUUUUUUAUAUUUUAUAUUUUCCUUUAUAUCAUGCUUUUGAUUAGUAGGUCAUAGCUUAUGGACAUCAUUCAGAUGUGUACUCAAUUAAAUUUCAAUAAGGGCAAUAUCCGUAUAUGUAACUAACCAAUCAUAAGACUGAACAAGAGGAAAUCAUGACCCUUUUUUUUUAUAACAAAUAGAGUCAAGGGAUUGCAAUGAUAUACGUCACUCAAGCCUUAGGUUCAAAUCACCCCAUUUGUGCAAGUACAAGCCUAUGUAUCAACAGUAAUUACUCGAUUGGUGUUAUAGAUUUGUCCAAGAAUCAACCGGAAUAUGAUACUGAUUAAUUGCAAGUUGAACUAGACUAACUAUUAAGUUUUAUUUCUUUCGCUUGGCAGAAAAGAUUUGAUAUGGAAACUCCAAUUAACUGCAGAUUGAACUAAAACUACAACUUUUGUUUCUUUCGCUUCAUCCAUUUGUCCUAGGGAAUCUCUCUCUCUCUCUCUCUCUCUCUCUACCAUCAGUCCUAUAAAUUUCAUGCUCAAUCAAGCGAACCCUCCAACAACAUCAGCAUUCCCUCUCUCUAAAGAAAUGAGCGAGAUCAGUUUUAUCAAAAUGUCUCUCGUCUCCCUCUUCCUCGUCCAGCUGUUGUCAAUCCAUGUUAGUCUUCUCAAGCUCUCUUCCCUCCCUUUCCACACACCAUAAUCACUGCUCAUCCUAUUUACGAACUUCGCAUGCAUUAACGCUCAUAGUUCGUUGAUCUUGUUUAUGUUCCUAUUUAUGUUAAAAGAGACAUGCAAAACACAAAUCACGAAGUGAAAGACAUAUAUAAUGCCAGAAUGUAUAGGAGGUUUAUGUGUUUGCUUAUUUUUAUAAUAUAGCGUCUCCAUUACUUAUGCUAAGCCAGAUAUGAUGUAUUGAUAAGGAAAAAAAUGACUAUUGUCAUUCAGAUUAUGGACAUAAGUUGAAGGAUUGGUCAGGAAUAUUUGUCAUGCUAUCUAUUCUAUUCUCAAAAGUUGAUUUCAUUCUUGUUAUCACGCGAGCAGAACUUCUUGCUACUUUGCUUACGACCAUUUGCACGUUCAUUGCAGUUUCAUCCAUGUCCCAUGUAUAUGCUGCAUAAAUAUUUGACCAAGUCUGCUUGGCAUCGUACUGCGAUUGUGAUGUAGCCUUGUUUGUCUUAUGACUGAGUUGUAAAUUGAAUUUUAGGGCUCGAUAUCUUUUAAACUGGGUGAACUAUCCUAGGUCGGUCGCAUUGUGCUAGCUUUCUAGUUACUUACUGAUUUUCUCUUUUGUCCCGCUAUAGGUUGUUUCCACCAACACGAGAACCGCCACCAACGCCAACUCCCUUGCCGGCGAUGCCAACUCAAUCCCUUCCAAAGAAUACCUUGUCCGUUACUGAACUGAACAAAUCACUAGCAACCCUGCCAUACCACCACUGCUCACAUCCAAAGUUUCACCCUUAACUGCUGCACAAACAACCCUUUUUGCCCAGCUCGUGGCUAAAGGUGCUGUUGAAGAUCACCGCCUCUCUCUCUCCUGGAGUUCUCUAGAUCUUUCUCUAGAGUUCUCCAUAUCUCUCUUUGGAUUUCUCCAGAUUUCUCUCUCUCUAUUGCUCUAGAUUUUUCUCUCCCUCUCUCUCCAGAUUUUUCUCGGCCAUUUUGUUCAUGGACUCCACCGACUUUGGCUCCUAUAAAUAGGGGCUGUUGUCUCUUGAAGUGUAAGUGUGAGGGGUGUUGUGUGUGUAAGUGUGUACGUGAGUGUGUGGGUGGAGUAGGUGGCGUGAAGUGUAGAGAAAUAGAGAAUAAGUGGGUGUGUGCGAGAGUUGUGUCCGUGUGAGGUUUGUGAGGGAGUGGGUAAGCAAGUACAAUGAGUUGUUGUGAGAGGAUGAUAAAAUAGAGAGUUGUAAUAUUGUUCUAUAAUAAAAGUAAUUAUUUUACUUGUACAUCCACUUGCUUCUCAACAAUUGGUAUCAGAACAGGUCGUCAGAGGCCGUGUGAAAACAGUGGUCGGGGACCAUUGUAAGUGAGCAAGGCGGUUAGGGAUCAUCGAGCCAAGGAGCGAAGAAGCGAAGGACGUCGGAGUUCUGCAUGUGCACAAUCUGGGAUUGUGAAGUCGGUUGGUCCGGGACCAGGCUUACUUGGUAUAGUGCGGGGCAUUAUACUCAAGUCACGAUGGCGGAUUUCUUGAGUUCGGUAAGUGGCAUCGAGAAGCUCAACAAAUCAAAUUAUAAUAAUUGGAGUACCCGCAUACAAUAUUACUUGCUAGGACAAGAUUUGUGGGAUAUUGUUGGCGGGAGCGACACCACCCCACCCACGAAUGAUAGCGAAUUAAGAAAAUGGAAUAUAAAAUCGGGUAAGGCUCUUUAUGUGCUUGCCGUGACUGUUGAAGAUGAAUUACUGCAACACAUAAAGAGUGCGACGACCCCGAAAGAGGCCUGGGAUAACUUGGCGACACUGUUUGCAACGACAAACGAUGCGAAUUUACAAUGCCUGGAGAACAAGCUCCUCUCAAUCUCGCAACAAAAAAUGACGGUGAGUCAAUACUUUUCUAAAGUUAAAUCUAUUUGGAAAAGAAAUUUCAAAAUUAGAUCCUGAGAAUGCCAUCUCUAAAACAAGAAUAAGAUGAAUAACGGUAUUGUUACAGCCACCCGUGGAUGGGCAAAUGAGCCAACUCUAACAGAGUUGGAAAAUAUAUUGGCCAAUCAAGAGGCCUUAGAUAAACAAAUCCCUAAGGUCUCAAUUAAGGAGGAUGAGAGUGCCCUCUUUAGUAAUAAAAGAGCGUUCAAGGGCCAAAAUAGAAAUAGAGUAGGUGCAAGAGAUGGCAAACCAUGGAAAAAUCAUGGAGAUUGGCAAAGGCAACCAUAAGAGAAGGGUUAUCAGCCAGGGGGAGCUCGUCAAGAUCGCGACGACGAUGACGAUGAAGACAAGAGCAACAAAAGGCGUAGCAAACGGUGCUACGUUUGUGGCAAGAUAGGACAUAUUGCCAGAUUCUGUUGGUACAGGCAAGAAGAAGGAAAUGUCGUCACUUCUUGCAAGAAGGAGAUUGAAAGUGAAGAAGAAUGGGACUUUCAAGAGCCUGUUGCAGUGAAGGAACGAGAAGAGCUUGCAACCGCUUGUAUAAUUGAGUUGGAUAAUUCGAUAGGUUCUAUCACAACCCCGAAUAAGAGCAAGCCAAGGGAGAACUUGAAGAAACAACUAACAAUGCCAACAAGCAGUCGUGAAAGGAAAUUGCAAGAGAUGCAGGAGAUGAUAAAGAAGCUGAAAGUUGAGAAGACAAAGAUGGAGAAUAUGUUGAAGAAAAGGGAUAAGAUGAUAAGGCAGAAGGAUGGAGAGCUCAAGGCAAAAGAAAGGGAGCUAAAGAAGUUCCGAUGUGAGUUCAAGAAGCUAUAGAAGCUUCAGGAUCUCAAGCCCGCUAUGAUGUUCCCAAUUGGUCAUACUAAGAGAGAUAUCAAACACAUGAAGGAGAAGAAGAACGGUUUCUUUGAGGAAAGGAGGCCAUCUACACCUUACAUCUCGUGUAAGAAUCGGUGGAAUAAAAUCGAGGGGAAGAAAUUUUAUGAGGAAAAGGAUCAAGAGGUCUACAUUGAAGUGCUUCGGAUGGGACUGAAUCGAUUGAAGCACGAAAUGGAAAUCACAAAUGAGAGGCUUGAUCGAAUGAGUUCCAAUCUCACAAUUCUUAUAGGAGAUAUGUCGAAUACGAAGACCAAGUUGAGUGAGAAGAAGGAAAAUGAGACUAAAGGUCAGAAUGAAUUGGCAUUGCAAAAAUUUAAGGAUCACAAAACUCAAUGGAAAGUCACAGCAAGAGAAGCAACUGAAGAUGGAGCCAUAGAGCCAUCCACGUACGAGGAAGCUUCACAAUGUGCUGAAUGGAAGAAGACAAAAGCAGAUGCCGAAAAACAACUUGACAUGGUGUUACAUCCAAAAGAGAGAGCAGUCGGUGAGGGGGAGUGUUGAAGAUCACCACCUCUCUCUCUCUUGGAGUUCUCUAGAUCUUUCUCUAGAGUUCUCCAUAUCUCUCUUUGGAUUUCUCCAGAUUUCUCUCUCUCUCUAUUGCUCUAGAUUUUUCUCUCCCUCUCUCUCCAGAUUUUUCUCGGCCAUUUUGUUCAUGGACUCCACUGACUUUGGCUCCUAUAAAUAGGGGCUGUUGUCUCUUGAAGUGUAAGUGUGAGGGGUGUUAUGUGUGUAAGUGUGUACGUGAGUGUGUGGGUGGAAUUGGUGGCGUGAAGUGUAGAGAAAUAGAGAGUAAGUGGGUGUGUGCGAGAGUUGUGUCCGUGUGAGGUUUGUGAGGGAGUGGGUAAGCAAGUACAAUGAGUUGUUGUGAGAGGAUGAUAAAAUAGAGAGUUGUAAUAUUGUUCUAUAAUAAAAGUAAUUAUUUUACUUGUACAUCCACUUGCUUCUCAACAGGUGCCAUCUCCGAUCACCUCUCAUCUUUCUGCAGGGCAGCACAACUGCUCUGAUUCCCAGCCUCACCACACUAUCCAGUUGGCUACACUGUCGAAAAUAGUGCCACGACACCGGUAGGUGGCAUGAAAGUGAACAGGGGCGUGGAGCCUGGCAAAUACUUCUGGGAAUCAAUGUUGAGGAGUGGGAAUAUGAUCCGGAUUCUAAAUCUUCGUGUCAAAGCUCCCAAAAGGUUGUUUUUGCCUCGCAGCAUUUCCUCCGGAUUACCAUUCUCCAUCUCGAAGUUCGCCGAGCUGAAGCAAAUCUUCCAUGCUGGGGACGAUUCCAAUAUGGAGAAGAUCAUGGUGCGCACACUCAGCCAGUGCGAGCAAGCGCCAAUCCAAGGUGAGACCAAGCGAUGUGUAAGCUCUGUCGAGGGCAUGAUCGACUUCGCCACCUCAAUACUAGGCCACGACAUCCAGCUUCACUCCACGGAGAGCGUCGAAGGGUCGAAGCGUGAGAUCUUGAUUGGACGAGUGAAAAGGUUGGAAGGGAGUAAAUCGAGUGCGCCCGUGGCAUGCCACGAGACUAUAUUUCCUUACAUGGUCUAUUACUGCCAUACAUUUUUGACCCUUCGAGUUUACGAAGCGGAUAUACUGGAUCCCGUGUCCAAGGCCAAGAUCAACCAUGGCAUCGCCCUCUAUCACAUGGACACGUCGAUUUGGAGUCCAAAUCACGAGGCGUUCCUUGCGCUCAGGUCGAGCCCUGGUCAAAUCGAGACAUGCCACUGGGUCUUUGGGGAUUAUGGUGUUUGGACGAGGACCAAUUAGUAAUGGAAAAAAAUGAAGCGUGGAUCAAAUUGAAUAAUAUAGAUUGGACGUAGAGACCGAGAGAAAUCAUCCGCUAGCUCCAUCCUACGCCAUCGUUCACUUAAAAGUAUUGUCUAAUAUGGUAUUUGCUAUCUCAUAUCCACGACCUUAGUAGUGGUGUGUAUAUGUAAAUGUCGUUGUGGUUUGUAAAUGUCGAGUGUUUGAAUAACUUUGAUCUAAUAUAUGUAAUUAUUGUGGUGCGAAUGUGAAAAAGUUUAUUUGCUAAUAUUCAUCUCUUUCUAAAGCAUAACACAACACCAUGUCUCAAAUUCUUAAACUGUACCUUGCUAGGACAUGAUGGUGAGAUGAUUACAAGGACUAAUUCUUAAACUGUACCCGAAAUGUGUUAUUGCACCAUAAUGGACAUGAUGGUGAGAUGAUUACUAGGACUAAUUUAUCAGGUUUUCUGUUGAAGGAAAUAGCUCAAUAUGUAUUAAAUCAUAUUUCUAUCAAAUAUGUUACAUUAACUUGUUUUGAGUUGUGGACCAAACGUAAGCUUGAUUUGAAUCAUCUUAAGGUUUAGAGUGUCCUGCAAAAGUGAGUUUAUAUAAUCUAACAUUAAGUAAGUUAGAUUGCAGAACCACUCGGUGUUAUUUUGUAUCUUACCCAAGUCAUUUGAAAGGAUAUCGGUUUUAUGAUCCCAAUGGAGAUACAAAAAUUGUAGAAUCACAGACAACAGAGUUUCUGGAAUUCGACACAGCUGUAGAGAAUAGUUGCUCUUAGACUAUUAAAGAUAAUAGGACGGUAGGAACCACUAUGUCUUUGUCUUUACCUAUACAAAUAAUUAUUGAGUCUUUUACACCAUAAACUGCGCAUGUUGAGGUUCAGGAUACUAUUAUUAAUACAAUUCCUGAUAAAGUUUGUCAAGCCUCUCGCGUGCAAGAUGAAGUGGUUGUAGUAGCUCCACUUAGGAGAUCUACUAAGGAAAGACGUUCAGUUAUAUCACUAGACUAUAAAUUCUAUUUAUGAGAGCAUGAUUACAACAUCUACUACGUGGUCAAUCUAAUAACUUAUAUGAAUGUUGUUUCUUGUCCUUGGUCAAAUAUGUGGUUAGAUGUGAUAAAAGACGAGAUGCAAUCUAUGAAACAUGAUAGUGUUUGGAAGCCUGCCGAAUUGCUUGAUGGUUGCAAGCCCAUCCGCUGCAAAUGGGUGUACAAGACUAAAAGAGACUACAAAUGAAAUAUUAAGAAAUUUAAACUCAGACUAAUAAUAAAAGAUCUCACUCAAAGAGAAGCCUAGUCUUUUCUAAAGAUUCUUUCGAAGUGAGCAUGGGAUUAGUAGCCCACUUUUUAUAUGGAAUUAUGCUCUAUGAUGAUUAAAACUACGUUUUUCAAUGGAUAUUUUGAUAAAGAAAUCUAUAUAUUUUAACCCGAAUGUUUCAUAGCAGAUGAUUUAGGUAAGCUUGUGUGUAAACUGAAAAACCUUAUUAAUGGCCUAAGCAAGUUUGUAGACAAUAAUGCUUGAAACUUCAUAGUUUUGUCACUUCAUUCAGUUUUGUUGAAAAUAAAAUGGAUCGGUGAAUAUACUGCAAGGUCAAUAGGAGAAAAUUUAGUUUUCUCACACUCUAUAUAAAUGAUAUCUUGCUUACAAGUAGUGAUAUGGGAUUACUUCAUAAAACAAAAUAGAUAUUGUCAAGGAAUUUUGACUUGAAGGACCUUGAUCAGGUAUUUUUUGUCAUUAGCAUUGAGAUCUAUAGAAAUCGUUCUCAUCGUAUGUUAAAUUUAUCUCAGAUUGUAUAUCUUGAUUGUAGUUUGAAAAUAUUCAACAAGUCGAGAGUUGCUCCUGUCGUUCGGACUAAUAGAUUGAGUUUAUUGCAGUAUCCUCAUUCAAAUUUCAGAAAAACCUAAAUGAAUGAUAUACUUUAUGCUAGUGCACUUAGAAGUGUCAUGUAUGCUCAAGUUUGCACUAGGCUAGAUAUUGCUUUUGCGGCAAGACUUCUAGGUAGAUAUCAAUCAAGUCUAGGACAUGAUCAUUGGAUUGCUGCUGAUAAUGUCUUGAGAUACUUAAAAGGACAAGAAAACUAUAUGCUGACAAACAUGUUCAGGAUCUAGAGCUAGUAGAGUAUUCAAAUGCAGACUUUACUAACUGUUAGGAUGACAAGAAGUCGACAACAUAAUAUAUUUUUAUAUUAGCAGAAUGUGCUGUAUUAUGACAAAACGAUAAGCAAAAAUUCAUAUCUUCCUCUACUAUGCAAAUGGAGUUUGUAGCAUGUUCUACAGCUGUUACUUAAGAUAUUUGACUUCAGAACCUCAUUAAGAAGUUGACCAUAUUUGAUUUUGUGAAUAGACCCAUACAGUUAUAUCGAGAUAAUAACUUUCCAAUGUCAUUUAUCAACAACAAUAAAGGUCUCGAGAUAUGGCGGUCAAGUUUUUUACCACAAAGAAACGACACAUAAUAGUGACACUAUAGUAGAGCAUCUUUCCAUAGAUAAUGUAGUUGUCGACCCACUAACUAAAGAUUUUCUCCCUCGUGUACUUGAACAACAUAUCAUAAACAUGGACUGAGAAGUAUAAUUGAAUGCUACUGUUUAGUGGGAGCUGUUUUGAUUUUUGCUCUAAUAAAACUUAUAUAUUACCCAUUCAAUAAAGUGUUCAUAAAUGUGUUGUCACCAUAAUUAGUUGAUUACAUAUAAUAGAAAUUUGAAGGUAUCGUGUAAACCUUGAGUGAAAGGUUAGAGCAUUUGUUUAUUGGCGUUGAGUAUAUGUAUUGAUUACACAUAAAAAUGUGUUAACCAUAAAGAUAAGACAUAUGUGAGUUCAUUAGAACCAUAAAAAUAUUCUUUUAUGACACAUUCGGUUUUCUAUGACACUUAAGACAAGAGAAUAAUGACCGAUAAAGGGGAUGACACAUAAGGUAUUACUCUUUAUGAAGUGUUAUUCAUUUGUAACAUGAUCAUAUUGAAUCCAUAUAAGUAAACCCGUGACCAUGGAAGGCUCUGUAUAAGUACAUGCAAUUAUCGUUAUGAUUCGGUGUUUGAGACUUUAUAGGAUAGGAUUGACUAUUACGAAUAGUCACUAGACCAACAUAAAGGUGCACACAUUUCGUACAGCCUCAAUUAAUAUAACCCAAGUGGAAGAAUGUAAGAGUUUUCUUGAUGUGAAUUACAUUAAUUGAGAUUGUAAUUUAUAGUUUUAGGAGGUUGGUCUAAUAAGAUAAGACAUAAGAUUUUCUUAAUAGUUGAAUAUGGGCCUGGCUUAUGUGGGCCGAGUUAGGCCCGGCCUGUGAUGAGAGAACCUGGCUAAAAACUCUAUAAAUAGCGUUAAGGUCCCUUCUCUAACCCUCAUUGUUCUAUGAACAUUCUCUCACCUCACAUAAGGAAGCCAUGAAAGGCGGACUCAUCAUGCUAGGAUCCGAGGGCCAUAGAGGAGAAGAACCUGAGCGUUGAAUAGUUGUCAUUCCACAGAAAGAACGAUGAAUUCCAAAUCAAGUAUGCAAAUCCUCUUCUUCUCCUCAAAUAUGUUCAAGUUUCUAGCUAUGUUGAUCUCGGGAUGCCGCUUCGACAGCCAACAUUGUUGUCUUGAACUGAUAUGUAAAUUGCACUUUAGGGUUACAACAUUUUUAAACUAGGCAAAACUAUUGUAAUAUAUUCUAUUAUUUUAAAUGUGAUCCCAAUAUUGUAUUUCCAAUUAAUUCCGAUUUAUUGCCCAAUUUAUUAUCCGCGUUUAUUACGUGAUAUUUGCUCGUUAAUAUAUUACCAUAACAGUCUUCAUGGAAGACAUCGAUAAUGUAAGAAACGGAAUAAAAACGUCAAAUCGUCUAAUUCAAAUCCUAUCAUUACAGAAAACACACAAUCACGUUUGAGAGAUAUUAACUAGUGGAACAUGACGUACAAAUCUGGUGAUCACAUAUCUGUAGAUCAAUUGUGUUUCGUGGAUCCGUCCAGGUUUUAGGAUUUUCCGCAUUUGCAAAUUUUCAUCAAUGGCUGGAGGUAUGUCAAUCUUUACAUUUCUGCAAAUCGAUUCUGAAUUAUGCACGUAAUUGUUUGAGAAUGAUAGAUCGAGAUCAUCAGGUUUUAUUCAAAAUUAGUCUUACAAAAACAUCCUAGCUCGGUUGCGCAAUGCUAAUUUUUUAGUCACUCGCCGAUUUUCUCUUUCAUCCCACUAUAGGUUGUUUCCACCACGGCUGGAACCACUACCAAUGCCGACUCCUUAUUCAGCGAUGCCAACUCAAUCCCUCCCAAGGAAUACAUUGUCCAUUUACUGGAACGAACAAAUGACCAACAACCUCGCCAUACCACCACUGCUUAUAUCAAAGUUUCAUACUUAACUAUGCAUAAACGGCCCUUUUAGCCCGGCUCGUUGCUAAAGAUGCUAUCUCCGACCACCUUCCAUCUUUCUGCAAGGCAGCACAACUGCUUUGCUUCCCGGACUUAUCAUCCCAUCAAGUUGGCAAGGACGGUCGUGUUUUCUACAAUUUCAUUAAUGGUGCCACAACACUGGCCGGUGGCAUGAACGUGAACAAAGGCGUGGAGCCAGGGAGAUACUUUCGGGAGUCGACGCUGAGGAGUGGGAAUGUGAUCCAGAUGCCGGAUCUUCGUUCCAAAACUCCCGAAAGGUCGUUUUUACCACGCAGUAUUUCCUCUGGAUUACCGUCCUUGACCUCGAAGAUCGCCGAGCUGAAGCAAAUCUUCCAUGCUAGGGACGAUUCGACUAUGGAGAAGAUCAUGGUACGCACACUUGGCCUGUGCGAGAAAGCACCGACACAAGGUGAGACCAAGCGAUGUGUUAGUUCUGUUGAGGACAUAACAGACUUUGCCACCUUGAUAUUAAGCCACAACAUCAAGCUUCAUGCCAUGAAGAGCGACGAAGGGUCGAAGCGUGAUAUCUUGAUUGGACGAGUAAAAAGGAUAGGCGGGAGUCAAUUGAGUGCGCCUGUGGCAUGUCACGAUAGUCUAUUUCCUUGCAUGGUUUAUAAUUGUCAUGCGGUUCCAACACCCCAGUUUCACAAGGUGGGUAUACUGGAUCCCGUGUGCAAGUCCAAGAUCAACAAUGGCGUCGCAGUCUAUCAUAUGGACACGUCGAUUGGGAAUCCAAAUCACGAGGCAUUUCUUGCGCUCGGGUCGGGCCCUGGUCGAAUCGAGGCCUGCCACUGGAUCUAUGGGGAUUAUGCGGUCUGGACUAGGGCUAAUUAGUAAUGGAAAAAAAUGAAGUGUGGAUCAAAUUGAAUAAUAUAGGUUGGACCUAGAGGCCAAGAAAAAUUGGCCGAUAGCUCCAUCGCAAGUCAUCAUUUGCUUGAAAGUAUUAUCUAAUAUGGUAUCUACUAUCUAAUAUACACGACUAUGAUCGUGUGAGUGUGCGUGUGUGUUAUUAUGGUUAGUAAAUGUCAAGUGUUUGUGUGACUUUGAUCUAGCAUUUGUAAUUAUUGUGGUGUGCAUGUGAAAAAGUUUGUCAUGUGAAGUACUUACUAUUACCCAUCUCCUUCCAAAACAUAACAUGACUCCAUGUCCCAAACUGUAAUAUACCAUCGUUAGAUUUUUCUUCUUUUUUAAAUUUAAUUUUCCAUCUUAUAUCUCUACCAUCAAUGCCUUGACAUCAAAUCAAAUGGAAUUAGAAGAGAUUAAUGGGCAAAGAGAGAGUAUAUUCACUUGUGAACGAACUGUUUAUAAUAAGGGAGAAGGAUCCCUAUUUAUACAAAUGCGGGUCACAUCUCAACUGUUGAUCGUCCCUCUGAUCCAAUGGUGUAUUUCAAAUCCGUAUCAUCAUUACAAGGCUACACGGUAGGCUACUCGAAGGCUGCUCGAUGGCUACACACAGUAGGCCCUUGGGAAGACCAUGGGCGUGUGUUAGAAGCAAGAUUAGGUUUGCAGGGUCAUCUGACACGCAAGCAGCCGAACGGUCACGGGCUGUACAUGGGCUAAUCAAAUCUUGCUCAUGGGUCGUUCCUAGGCUACGCAUGGGCCUUUGCUCAUGCCACUCAUGGAUUGAUCAUGGGUAGGUCGUGGGCGGCUCUUGGGCAGCCCUUUGUGCGUGACACGGCCUAUCACGAACGGUCUUGGAUCAUGCUCCGUCUGUGGGCUGUGUCACUUGUCCCAUAAUGCUUAAUCCUUGAAAUUGGGAGCCAUAUAAUUCAUAAGCACCCCAGAUUUAUCAUUAUUGCUCUAAAAUAGGGAUAAAAAUGGUAGGAAUCUCAAAACUUUCGUAAAACUUUCGUACAACGCUCACUUGAGUGCCAAAACUUUUUUUUUUUUUCGCUCAAUUGAGCGUCACAAAUUUGAAAAUUCGAUCACUUGAGUGCCCAUUUCGAUUUAUCUCACCGGAAAAUCCGACAUGGAUGUCAGUCAUCCGUCAUGACUUCAUCAACACUGAUGUUGACAGUUUUUUUAUUUUUUAAAAAAAAUAUUUUUAAAUAUAUAUAUUUUUUUUUUGCUUUUUUUUCUUUAAGAUCAGUGAGGGUCUCCAGCAACCCUCAUCAACCGUGACAUCCUCGCCCUCAGCCACGAGGCCCUAGGCAAGGCCAUCGGGGCGUCCUCAAACAUUGGUGAGGGCAAUGCCGCACAGAGCUAGCAAGGGCCCUUGCCUUCUCACUUGCCACCAGCAAGGUCGCGAUGCCCUUGCGUAAGGCCUUUGCGGCCAAAUCUAGGUGAAGGCCGCCUCCCAUUGCCAUAAGGCCUUGGGUGAGGGCAUUGCAGCCUCACUGAUUGUUGGCGACACCGGUCAAAGUAGGUGAGGGCAUCAUGACCUCGCCAGCUACAGGCAAGGCCGCAAGGGCCCUCGCUUGCUCUGGAUGGCAUCGCCCACAACCACCCAGACUUGGUGAGGGCCCUCGUGGCCCUACCAGCAGCUAACUAGAUGACCCUCGCCCAAAUUGGGGGAGGUUUUCAUGGCCAGCGAAGGUCGUUGGUGACCACUGACCCUAAAAAAAAAAAAAAGAAGCAAAAUAAAAAUAAAAUUCAAAAAUUCAAAAAUUUCACGUAGGACGAUUUGCCGAAAUUGGCACUCAAGUGAUCGAUUUUACUCCGAUAUAGCACUCAAGUAAGCAAAUUUUUUUUUUUUUUUAUACUCAAAUGAGCGCCGUACGAAAAUUUUGGCACUUCUAGUUUUCUUGUCGAUCUUAAUUUGACAAUUGGAGCACUUCCCACCAAAAAUGAGGAUGUUGAUGUAAAAUUAACACCCCAAAUAUUUAGAAGUAUUGAACACAAACCUCAAUCGUUCCUUUUCUGAUAUUUUCUAGCUAGCAAUAGGAUAAGUUCAAUUAAACAAUGCUAGGACAGGUGGCGUGCAUUCACAUUUCAAAUGAAUGCACAUGUGAACUUAAUCUAGAGAUAUUUUCUCUCCAUUAGCUUCGCCCACAUCUACACCAGUUGCACUAGCACUGGCCUCCACAACACCGCCAUCGAUCCAAGCAUCUCUCUCUCUCUCUCUCUCUGCACAAGCUUUGUCCCGUAAUCAAACCAAGAGUAGUAUUUUCUAAGGAUAAGUGUACUAAAAUUUCUAAAAUUUGUCGAGAAAUGCAAUUGAAUCAUAAAAUUUUCAAAAAGUGCAAUAAGUUCUUAGAAUUUGUCAAAGUUGUGUAAUCAAGUCUCUUUGUCAAUUCUAUGUAAUUUGACUAACAUAAAUCCCGACAUGAUUAUUUUAACUACUUUUGUUAUGACCAAAGCAAAAGCUACGACGAUAUUAAAUUUGAGAAAAUUAAAAAAAAAAAAACAGAAAUUUACUUGGAAACUAUGGAAAAAAAAAAACUACAGGGAGAAAAGAAGCAAAAUCUACUAUGGAAAUUCAAGCAUUAGCAAAGGUGGCUUGAAAAACCUUAAGACUCUUUUUUCACAUUUUUUAAACCUAAUAACUUAGGAAAAAAUAAUAUUUAUAUUGCUCCAUACGGCGGGACGCAGUCCCCACACCUCUGCAAAGGAUUAGUAGUGGGCUAGUGGUUUGGGCCUCGACCAACACUAAGCCUCCAUUUGUUUUUCUCAAGUUAGUGGUCACAAAUUUUAAUUUGAGUAUCAAAACUCAAUUUAAUUCCUUUUAACAAAAUUCAAGACAUGCUCAACAAUUUCUUGAGACACGUGGCAUCCCCUAAGCACCACAUUAAAUAAUGAAAUUUUUGGGAAAAAAAUUAAAGAAAGAAAGAGAGAGCAAAAGUAAAAUAAGAAAAAAAUUAUAAUGCCGAACAAAAUGUUAAUAAUGAGGGAAGAGAGAGAGAGCAAGCAAGAUCUCCACUUCUGGUUUCCCAAAGGAACAGUGGUUUCGAUUAUAGCGAGCGAAAGUUGAGAUUAAAGGGAAUGAAUAUAUUUUGAGGGGGACUUUCAAUUUUCGCAGAUCGCCGAGGGAGACUUCUUGGAUCGAUUUUAAAUAUGAAAGGCUCCACUAUUCUGCCAUGGCUGUGGUAGGAUUGGCCAUGGCCGCCAUAGCUGUACCUUCAUCAUAGAUGCUGCGUCGACGGGGAGGUGCUCUUGAAUUUGCGGGCUGCGUCCAACCUUUUCUACAUCGACCCAUCGGUCGGUUCCAAUUCACAAUUUUGAUAAGGAACACUAAAAAUUUGAAAAAAACUUCCUACGAUCGCUAUCAUAGCGAGAAAAAAAAAAGGGGGUUUCAAGAGGAAGAUGUAGAUGUCUCCGCUAGGGCAACGACAUCAAUCCGUUUUUUGUCGGUCUGCAUCUGCCUUCUCCACAUCCUUCAAAAUGAAGGAGCAGCUUUGCAAUAGUUCCCAAUAAAAACCCCAUAUGGGAGGAAAAAGGAGAAGGGGAGUCAUCUUCACGCAAGUGGACGGUCUUGCGCCGGGGCCUACCGCCCCCCUCCCGAGAAAAUAUUGGGUGGGUCUUACUCUCCACGUAGGCUUAGGUAAGACCAUUCAGCGAUCGACACGUGGCUCCACGUAGGCGACGGCAUCAGAGGUUUAAAAUUUGCGAGCGCCGCUCCUGGGGCCCACCACUCUGACGCUCUCUCUCCUCUGCUCUCCUGUACGAUCUGUCCACUCGUCCUCUCUCUCCUCUCUCUCUCUCUCUCUCUCUCUCUCCGUUCUCCCCGUUCUCCGUUCCGUUUUGCGAGAGAACAAAAGUCGCAGGGCUUCUCUCCGAAUGCUCUUCCCCUCCUCUACUCUCUCUCCUCCGCUGGUUGCCUGGGACGCAGACGCCCUUUCCACCUUCGCCGACGCCUCUGCUCUCCUCCGCUGGUUGCCCGCAACGCCGACGCCGAUGCCUCUGCUCUCUCUCCUCCGCUGGUUGCCUGCGACGCCGAUGCCGACGCCCUUUCCACCUCCGCUGACGCCUCUGCUCUCCUCCGCUGGUUGCCCACGACGCCAACGCCGACGCCCUUUCCACCUCCGCUGACGCCUCUGCUCUCUCUCCUCUGCUGGUUGCCCGCGACGCCGACACCGACGCCUCUGCUCUCUCUCCUUCGCUGGUUGCCCGCGACGCCGACGCCGACGCCGACGCCCUUUCCCCCUCCGCCGACGCCUCUGCUCUCUCUCCUCCACUUGUUGCCCGCGACGCCGACGUUGACGCCCUUUCCACCUUCGCCGACGCCGACGCUCUCCUCCGCUGGUUGCCUGCGACGCCGACGCCUUUGCUCUCUCUCCUCCGCUGGUUGCCUGCGACGUCGACGCUGACGCCCUUUCCACCUCCGCUGACGCCUCUGCUCUCCUCCACUGGUUGCCCACGACGCCAACGCCGACGCCCUUUCCACCUCCGCCGACGCCUCUGCUCUCUCUCCUUUGCUGGUUGCCCGCGACGCCGACGCCUUUACUCUUAAACUGUCAGUUCCUCAUGCUAUAGUGUGAAUGUUAUGUUUCUGUUAUGCUUCUGUGUUGAUAUUUUUUGUUUAUGAACAUAUGCACAACAAAAUUGCUAUGGAUUCCGACACCUUGAAAUGCGAGGAGGAGGAUCUAAUUCUUAAAGACAGCGAGUGUUUGGAGGCAAGACGUUAUCUAUUGAGACUUGUUAUCCUUAUAAUGUGGUGAAUUUAGUCUCAUCCAACCAUUUAAUGUAUGGAGUUCUUCCAAAUUUUUGGGGGCUUUAGCUCAUUUGCUUCAAUCUGUAGUCAGGCUUUAACUUUCUGCUAUGAUUGUGGCAGUUAUUAGAGUAAAGCAGGAAUUUCUUGUAUAUCUUAUUGUAAGGUCUUUCCAGCAGUUACAGAAGGGCAUUUCAAUGAGAGAAACUAGGAGCUUGGAUACAGUCUCGAGCAUUAUUUUUGCCUGUUGGUUUUAAUUCCUGUUGACGAUAGGCUGAAGUUCUUUUUAACUCAUCUUCUUCGUGCCAAGUGCUGCCUAAAGUAAAGAUUGAUGCUUAAUUAACUUUUUUCUUUAUAUUCAGGAACGCGUUAAGGAACGUUCUGUACAUCCCAGUGACACCCCACAUGGAACAUCCAGUGCACCUUCUGUGGAGGUAAAUCUAGCUGUAGCGCUGAUUAUCCUUCUUGGAUUCUUAUGAGUUUCUCUGUGAAGCCAUUAAGUGCUAAAUUUUUUAUGUUAAAUUCUGCCCAGGCUGCUAGAAAUAGGAGUGCUGCAGGAAUAGGAAGCACAGUUUCUUUUAGCGAUGAUGAGGACACAGCAGAGAUACUUGGCUCAAACUCUGCCACCAGAGGCCGGAAAGGAUCAUUGGGAGUUUGUAGAUCCUCCCGUGCUACUUCAGAUCUAGGAAGAGGGAAAACUUCUACAAGAGGAAGGGGCAGGGGAAGAGGAUCUGCUAAUUUGAAGCAAACUACUCUUGAUUCAGCUUUGGUAUCUUGCCGUCGUGAAAGGUUAGUAGCGGAUGUAGUCAUGAACUCAAGCUGGUUAAUGGCUGACAAACUGGUUUGAUUAAACUACGUCUCAAAAUUGUUCUAAAGUAAUCCUACUUUAUUUGUAGGAAGAAACAGAAAGCUGCAAGGUCUUGCUGAGGCCAUGGUAAAAUUGUGGGGGAGCAGUGCUAUUGCAAAAAUAGCAAUUAAAUGCCGCGUGCUAAAUACUUACAAUGAUAGAAUAGCUGAGGAACUGAAGGUUGGACAAUCUACAUAUGUUGACUCUUUUUUUAGCAUAUAUGUAUGAGCUAAUUAUAUUGUUGAAAAUGGGUGUUCUGUUGCUUUCAUCGAGCACAGAACCUUUCAGACUCUGUACUUUAUUUGAUUUGCCUGACAGAAAGAAUUACCAACUAUUUGCCAUAGAGUGGUAGUGUGACUAAAUCAUCAUCCUUCAAGCCCACAGUACAAUGCUGAAUUUUCUAUUUCAUCUCUGACCGUGGAAUUUAUAAUGUUUAUCAUAAUGGUAAAACUCAGCCAAGAUUAGUGUGUCACCAUUCUGGGACAUACUUGUGUAGUGUUGUGAAGGAUUGGUUAUGCAAGUUCUUAUCUCUCCGAGCAUUUUGUUCCAAUCUUAAUGUUCUGGCAUUAUGAUAAUAUCAACUUCUGUUUAGUGUUGCAUAUUCCGUCCUUUUUCUUUAGGUAAGGAAAAUUUGGUGCUCUUGUUAUUGAUUUGUGUCAUUUUGAAUGCAGAAUUUAACUGGGGGAACACUACUUUUUAGGAACAAAGAUUAUAUUGUGUUUUAUUGGGGCAAUGACUUCUUGCCUCCUGUGGUGGUAGAAGCACUGAAAGAGAGAAAAACUAACAGAUGUGCAGGCAAAUGAGAACGACCAAGCACGUCAGAGGGCCUCAGCUGCAAUUGAAUCAAAAUUCAAAGCUUCUAAAAGCCCACUUGUUGCUGGCACUCUUACUGAAACUCUGGCUGCCACCUCUCGGUGGGGGAAUGAAAUAAGUAGCAAAGAUGUUGAGCAUAUGCGUUGAGAUGAAUCACUCAAUAAGCACGCUGCACUCUUGAAAUAUCUUGAGAAGAAACUUGCUCUUGUAAUCUUCUUGAUUGAACAAACUUAUGCUAUAAAAUUCUGCUCCAUUUCCUUAAUUAUUUAUCACAUUUUCCAUUUAUAUUUUCCUCUUCUUUCCAGGCUAAAGGGAAGGUCAAAAAGGCUGAGAAAGCUCUAGCAAAAGUGCAGGAGAAUCUUAGAUCAGCAGACCUUCCAGUUGAUCUGGAAACCAUAAGUGAUGAGGAGAGAUCUUUACUACGUAAGAUUGGUCUGAGUAUGAAAACCUUCCUGCUUAUCGGUAAGAAUAGCUGGAAGUCAUGAGUUUAUGAGGUCUUGGUUCUUGUCAUUGAGCCCUUUCGGGGCAGAUGAAUUGAGGGUUGGUUUUUUAUUGAUACGGAUUUAUGAUGACUUAAGCGUUAAGCUGCAAAGUUGCCCUUUUCAUCACCUGGCAAAUGGUUGAGAAACUGAGAUGUUUUGAUGCUUGAAUUUGGAUGAUUUCUGUCCAAAUUCAGCAAUUAUAUCUUUGCCAUCAAAGAACUAUACUCGUGUCUCGUCCGUGCCCAAUGGGAAAUCUGAAUACUAAGAAGCAUGCGGUAGAUCUAAUGAUUUUCAUAGGUGUUCAAGAGCGUAUGAGAAUUACUAAAUCAAAUUUUUAUUCUUUCUGUGGGUAGGUCAAACUCUUUCGGGUGCACGGCAUUCAUGUUUUUGCAGGGCUUGUGAUUGUUAUAUCCUUCAAAUGCCAACUGUCUCAUCCUUUUUUCCUAUUCCUAUUAGUUUAUUGUUCUUUGAAAUUCUCUUGAAUAUGCAAAAUUUACGUCGGAAUCUGAUGUUGUUGAUGUACACAGGUUAUGCUUUUGAAUUGGCUUUCUGUUUUGGCUUAUUCUUUGGCUUUUGUAUUUUAUAUCAUCCCAAGGGUGUAAUAGAAUAAAACAAUAAGUGGACUGGAAAAUUUUCUUGUCCUUUUUAUCAUCUACUGGUGUUGUAACUCAUUAUUUUUGUUACAAUUGAAGUUUUAAAAUGUAAGACUGCCAGCUACUUGUUUAUGAACUUGAUGCAUGAGGUCCCUUCCCUUUGUAGAAGCAAGAUCUUCCAACAUCUGGACCUUGAUAAAAGAUCAAGCAAAUUUUUGUUUUGGCUUGAUGCUAGGAACUUUGGCUCUGCUGCUGUUAAUAUAAGAUCAGCAUAUGCCCGUAAUAUAUGGGCUACUACUAAAUGGUCAACGUGAUUUCCAUGUCUUUUUUAUUGUUUAUGUCAUUUUUCAUUCAACUACUUUUUCUUGAAGAUUAUAUGGUGGGAAUUUAGUAAUUAUUGGGAGAUUUAGGGCCUUAAACCGAAGAAUUUGAUCUUGGCUGCACAUGUUAUGUUUUUUCCCCUUAGGAAAGCAACAUACGUUUUCUUGUUAUUCUUUCUUAGACAACAAGGUUAAAUGUGGAUCAUAGUAUUGACUAUUUGUAAAGUUACUCGAUAACUGUUGAAGUAAUGCCUCGUUAUUCUUAAUAAUCGAAGGACAGUUAGAAGAAGAUGAAUGUUCUUGAUGAUUUUGCUUCUGAAUCAAUUUGAUUCAUAAACUGAGUGAUUUGAUUCUUGAUCGUCUUGUCUUACGCAGAAUGAUGACAACCAAAGAGAGACUUCUGCAACAAUGCUCAAAGCAGGACAGGGUGCUCGUUUUGCGAGGAUGCUAUAACUAGAAUCUCUCUUCUGUACGAUGCACCUCAUCGGAAUGCCUGGCUAUAUGUGCUUCUGGUUUUUACUGAAGAUGGCUUGAUUACACAUAAAAUCCAUCGUUUGGAGGUAGAUAAUCCACAUGGAAUACAUUACACCUAUUUCGGAAUCUCGUGUUCUUGUACUACACUUCCGUUUUUUCAAUCGGAAGGCAAUAACAUUGAGCUAUGUAUGAGCUUAUGCUGAACUAGAAAGCCCAUGAAGAUAUGGGUUUCAAUUUACAUUACAUGUAUGCACGAGUGACUCUCAGGAGUUUCUUCCGGAGAUCAGAUGUAAUACAUACUUAUAUUUUGCUCGCUUGGUAGUCCUGAAUAUACAGAAUCAGUAGAGAUUGCCAAUCACAUUUCUAUUGAGGCAAUCCAAACAUGGUUAAAGCCAACAGACAGAACUAUGUAAACUUUCUUUCAUUCUUUGCGCAAACUUUGGUGCAGAAUAGUACAACCGUGACUUCCUAUUAUUGAGAAGGGGGACCCUUUCGUGGGUAAUGCCAUGCACAUGCAAGAAACGAGUAGGUAGAUAAUUGAUCAAGAAGCUGUCGCCUCAAAAGAGUGCUAUGUAUUUCUUCCACCAUGUUUGAGUCCAUUCCGCACUCACUGUUCGAAUAGGCUCAUGCCGACUCUGCAUGCACCGACUUUGAGAGUUUCUUAAAUUUCCAAGUCCAAUUCACGCAACAAUGACGCCUUAAGGAGUUGUUACCCUGAAAUUCUAUCGCAGACAAGAUAACAAGAUCUGCCAAACAAAAUCAUUUACACACUGCUGGUAGCACAAAAUAUCGAACUCCUUUCAGAUGAUAAGCCUUAUGGAUACAAUAAUAGAAGUAACAAUUUAGAAGCACUAUAUCCAUUAACAUAUCACACACCCCUCAUCUUUCUAUGGCACUAGUACAAAAUGGAGUUCACUUCGAUGUCGCAGAAGCUUAGUCCACUUCCUCCAUUUUGCUCUCCUCAGCACCAUCCUAUUCCAAGGCAGGCAUGUCAACAUCAUCACCAGCAGUCUCAUCCUCGUCAAUGCUCAGACCCAGCUUCAGCAUCCUGUGAAUCCUCGCUGCGAAAGUGUUGGGGUCAUCAAGACUGAACCCGAAUGUUAAAAGAGCAGUCUCAAACAGCAACAUCACCAAGUCCUUCAUGGACUUGUCGUUCUUAUCAGCCUCAGCUCCUCCAUGAUGCCAUUAUCAGGGUUGAUCUCCAUUGUCUUCUUGCUUGACAUGUAAGAGCUCAUGCUGUUGUCCCUCAGAGCCUGAGCCUUCAUAAUCCUGUCCAUAUUUGCAGACCAUCCAUAUUCUCUCGUCACCAAACAGCAGGGAGAGUCCACAAUUCUGUCCGAUACCACGACUUUUUCUAUUUUGUCUCCCAAAAUGUCCUUCAUUGUCUUGCACAAGUUCUCAAAGGACUUCUUUUUCUCCUCCUUCUUCUUCUUCUCUUCCUUCCUUUCAUCAUCAAGUUUCAGGCCCUCUUUGGUUGCAGAGACCAACUUCUUUCCAUCAUACUCCUUCAAUUGUCCUACAGCAUACUCGUCAAUUGCGUCCACCAUGAAAAGCACCUCAUAGCCUUUUUCUUGAGCCGCUCCAAGAACGGAGAGUUCUCUACAGCCUUCUUGCUUUCACCAGUGAUAUAGUAGAUAUCCUUCUGACCCUCCUUCAUCCUCGUGACAUAAUCCUCCAGACUUGUCAUCUCGUCCCCACUCUUUGUCGAGUGGUACCGGAGGAGGUCUGCAACUUUAGCUCUAUUCUGGCUGUCUUCAUGGAUACCCAAUUUCAAGUUCUUCAAGAAGGCCUCAUAGAAUUUGUUGUAGUCCUCCUUGUUCUCUGCAAUCUCAUUGAACAUCUCAAUGCACUUCUUGACAAGAUUUUUCCUGAUGACCUUCAGAAUCUUGUUCUGUUGCAGCAUCUCACGAGAAAUGUUGAGGGGCAAGUCAUCAGAAUCAACAACUCCUUUCACGAAUCUUAGAUACUCUGGAAUGAGCUCCUCGCAGUUGUCCAUAAUGAAAACCCUCCUAACAUAGAGCUUGAUGUUGUUCAUCUUCUUGCGAGUAUCGAAGAGGUCGAAUGGAGCACGUUUUGGGACGAACAAAAUAGCCUUGAAUUCAAGCUGCCCAUCAACAGAGAAGUGCUUCACGGCAAGAUGGUCUUUCCAAUCAUUGGUCAAGCUCUUGUAGAAGGAAGCAUACUCCUCCUUGGUGAUCUCCUCUGGCUUUCACAGCCAGAUGGGUUUCAGUUUGUUGAUGAGCUGCCACUCCUGAGAAACCUCCUUAAUCUUCUUCUUCUUGGACUUCUUUUCUUCCUUCUCCUCAUUGACGUCCUCAACAUCUCCUUCCUCUUCCUUCUUGGGCUCAUCGUCCUCAUCAUCACCGAUCUCUUUCUCGGUUGUCUUCUCAGUCCAUCGAUAGAUGGGGUAGUUAAUGAACUCGGAGUGCUUCUCCACAAGGUCCUUAAUCCUUCUUUCUUCCAGAUACUCCAGCUGAGGAAAACAGAGACGUGACGCUGUUAGCAUCAUGUAUCAUCCAAAACCAAUGCAAAUCUUCUCCACCAAUUCAUAAAAGCAACCAUAAUUGAACUCACCUGGUCCUCCUAAAGGAAGAGGGUGAUCUUGGUCCCUCUGCCGAGUUGCUCCCCACUCACAUCUCUCGUAACGGUGAAGGAACGACCGGCCUAGGACUCCCAGAUGUACUGCUCAUCAUCAUUGUGCUUAGUAGUCACAAUGACUUUCUCAGCCACCAAAUAAGCAGAGUAGAAACCGACAUCAAAUUGACCGAUCAUGCUCACAUCAGCUCCCGCCUGCAAUGCCUCCAUGAAUUCUUUCAUCCCUGACCUCCCAAUCGUACCCAGGUUGUUAGAACUGCAUAAACUCCCGGAAUUUCCGUGGCAAUGAAAGUGCCGUUUACAAAAUUUUUAGUUUUUCCCUUGUAUACACAAGUUUACAUGUAUGCCAAAAUACUCUAUAAGGUGGUAGGAUAAAGUAAAGGAAGUACCUUGACAAUAAGUAGACACCCCAUUGGACCAGUUACAGCUCGGAUGCCCUGAAAUAUAUACAAUAGAGCAAAAUGAAUCUCAUAGACAAGGAGACAAAACAUAAAGCCUAACUGAAACUGAGCUGUUGGAGAUGGGAAUUUAUUCUCACCUUCCUUAACUAACCAACACAAAACUAAUCAAACAUGAGAUACCAUUGUUACCUUAGCAGAGAGACAAGACACUGAAGCGAUCCGGGAUCAACAAAGGCAUGUAUUUGCAGCAACUGCCUGAGAGCAGGCCAAUAAAUUGCAUUGGCUGCAAGAGAUUAAGAAAGUUACAUAGAAGCAUGAUGAACAAACAUGUAAUCUUACAGCAGCAACACAGAUAAGUGAAUCCCAUUUGCUCCAUCUUUCCACAUGAGCAGAAACCCAUUUUAUCAUGAGGCAACAGAGCUGGGGUAAUAAAAUGGAAACUUAACAUCUUACUAUAGAGGCAAACCUGUCCUGAAAACAAAGAGCUAGUGGUGUGUUUACUAAACACUUAAGCAUCAUCACUCAUAAUCCCGAUGCAGUACAACACACUGAAUACAAGAAAGCAUCUCUUUCAACUCACAUUACUUGAGUACCUUCAAUCGAUAAUUAGAAUGGGACUAAGAGAGUUAAGGGGGAACAAAAAGGCAGGACCGACUUCUUUUGCUGUUUGACUCUAAUUUAUAAGUCAAAACUUAAAUACUUUUGAAGUCAUUUUUGAUUCAUCAUUGUUAAUUGCAAUUAAUAUAACAUUUUGGGUAUGGACAAGCCUUCAAGCAAACCGAGACACGCACAACUUAUGAACAGAAGCAAUAGUUAAUGCCCUAUCCAUUUCAUUAGUAAUGUGUCAAAAAGUAUGGGAAUAGUUGCAUACCGUAGAGGGAAAAUUAGAGACACCGCUAAUCUCCACUGCAUAAACAAGCCACUGUCUUUUAAUGCUUCCUUCAGCACAUUGUAAAGUUGCUACAACUUCAACAAGCACAUUCCAUGUGUCUGCAAGUCAAAUGUUAAAAAAAAAACCCAUCAAACAAAUCUAGUAACUUCUAUUUUGAUCACCACUGCAUUCACAAGGUUAUAGGUCAUCUUGAACCAUAUGUUGGACAUGUCUUCAUUUCGUUCUAUUCAAGAAUUUAGAGUCUCAACAACAGAAAGUACACCAACAAGGGAAAAUCAAACACUUCAGAAAGCAAAAUAUAAGUUGAUUUUGUGAGUCCAUGAUAACCACUUCUGACUAAAGUUUUACAGUGAGUCCUUCAUCAGAUAUAGAGUGACAUAAACUUUCAACAUGAAGAAUUCUGAAACAAGAACAAUAAAUGGAGCUCAUCACCUCUGUAUUUGGCCUAUUCAUCUUUGAUGAAUUCACAUUCGUUAACCAUGAGCAGAGUUUAAUGACUAUACUGUCAUUGGAGAAACUUUGAGAAGCAACUUCUGAGACAGUGGUAUCAGUCUGAAUAUGAUCAUCCGAAUUUACUUCCUUGGACCACAGACUAUGUCGAAGAAAAGAAAGUGCCCACCAGAGUAUUGUUGCAGCUGAUUAUCUUCAGAAUGUUGAGCAACAAGAAACAUCUCUUGUAUUGAUGAUGUUAACAAAGGCUUGCAGACAGGACUUGAAAGAAGCGCACGCAUUAUAUGAGAAGAUUCCUGCCAAGAGAACAUUUCACUGUAAGAAACAAGGACCACGAAAAAUGAUUAGAAGGCUUAGUUGAGGGAAAAUCCUCAAUCACCUUCAGCCUGUAACGACCGUAAUUGGAGGAUAAAAGAUGAAUUAGAACCAACCCAGCUUCUGCACCCAAAGAAUUAACAAUUCCAAGCAUCCCUCCCAGAUAAGUGGAGGGAGGCUGAGGAUUGGAAUAAUAUCUCCUCAACAAUUCCAGUAGCUCUUUCAGACAUCCAACUUCAAUGGAAUCUAUGCCUUCCUUCACAACACAGGCAAGGAGACUCCCUGCUCCAGCACAUGAUUCCAUCAAAAAGCUCUGGUGGAAUGCACCUGACUUUUUAAUAGACAAUAAUUCAGAUAUAAGUUCUCUAUAACUAUUCAUCAGUUGGUUUAGUUCACCAACAUCCAUCAAUUCUACUCUCUGGCAGAAAGCCACAACCAUGGGAAGUGCAAGACAAGAUCCAACAGAUAGAAGCAUCUCAGAUCCUUCGUUGCAGGAGUUAGAGCUCCAAACAAAUGGCUCCGUGUGUGGAAUCCAUGAAGUUAUCAAGUCCUUUAUCUUCAGUGUCACAUCAAUUUCCCCACUUCGGUAAACUGCACUAAUAGAGCUGCCCAAAUUAAGAACAAGUCCAGCAAGACCCCAAGUGUCUUCCUCCACAAGAUCACUGUCCUCAUUCAAGAAAUGAGGAUUCUGAUAUCUACCAUUCUCACACAUGUCAUUGGGAAAAUGUUCACACAGACUUUGAAGAAUCUGGGAUGUUGAUUUUGUAAGUUCCAAGAUCGUGAUAGAUAAUGACCUGAUAAUAUUCCCUACUAAUUCAACUUCAACCAUCUUGUAGGAAUCUCUGUCAGCAUUAUCAGCAGCUUCAGUCCUAGUUAGAAGAUCCUGGCAUGAAAAACCCAAGCCAACUCCACAGGCUCCUUUCACAAAGGUGCUUUUGCUACUAGACAAAACCUAUUAGGCACACAUGAUCAGUAAAUAAACACAAUUAUCAGUGAGAAAACCAGCACUUGUUCCGUUAUUAUUCUUUAAUUGGGAACAUUAAGAAAACAGAAUUAUCAUGGGCAACAUGGUGACAAACCUCAAAUCUACAGAAAAAACCCACCAUGCAAAGAGGAAACUCAAGUGCAAACCAAAGAAACUAAACCAGCUAUCAUAGCAGGUACAUGUUCCCACUCUAGGAUUUGACCAUUUGAACCAUUAGCAUUUGUUAAACAUCAUACCUUACGGUAUGAGACUAACCUUCGUGCCGAAAGGACUGACAGGAUAGUAACAGCAAUCUUCGGCAGGUCGUCAAUGUCCCUCGCGGAGGCGGAGGUGGAGGCGGAGGCGUCGGAGUCGGGGGCGACGGAGGCAACCGGCUUCAGGGGCGUGGGAGUCGAGGGCGAUGGAGGCAAACGGCGGAGGGGCGUCGGCGUCAGAGUCGGGUUCAAGGGCGGAGGCGGAGGCUGCGUCGGCGUCGGUGUCGGCGUCGGAGUCGGAGUCGGGGCGACGGAGGCAACCGACGGAGGGGCGUCGGCGUCCGAGUUGGGUUCAGGGGCAUAGGGGGAGGCUGUGUCGGCGUUGGUGUUGGCGUUGGCGUCGGAGUCGGGGGCGACGGUGGCAACCGGUGGAGGGCUGUCGGCGUCGCGGUUCACUGGAAAGGGCGUCGGCGGAGGUGGAAAGGGCAUUGGUGUCGGCGACGCGGGCAACAAGCGGAGGAGAGAGAGCAGAGGCGUCGGCAGAGGGGGAAAGGGCGUCGGCGUCGGCGUCACGGGCAACCAGCGAAGGAGAGAGAGCAGAGGCGUCGGUGUCGGCGUCACGGGCAACCAGCAGAGGAGAGAGAGCAGAGGCGUCGGCGGAGGUGGAAAGGGCGUCGGCGUUGGCGUCGUGGGCAACCAGCGGAGGAGAGCAGAGGCGUCAGCGGAGGUGGAAAGGGCGUCGGCAUCGGCGUCGCAGGCAACCAGCGGAGGAGAGAGAGCAGAGGCGUCGGCGUCGGCGUCGCGGGCAACCAGUGGAGGAGAGCAGAGGCAUCGGCGGAGGUGGAAAGGGCGUCGGCGUCGCAGGCAACCAGCGGAGGAGGUGUCGCGGGCAACCAGCGGAGGAGAGAGAGUAGAGGAGGGGAAGAGCAUUCGGAGAGAAGCCCUGCGACUUUUGUUCUCUCGCAAAAGGGAACGGAGAACGGGGAAAGAGAGAGAGAGAGAGGACGAGUGGACAGAUCGCAGAGGAGAGCAGAGGAGAGAGAGUGUCAGAGUGGUGGGCCCCAGGAGCGGCGCGCGCAAAUUUUAAACCUCUGACGCCGUCGCUUACGUGGAGCCACGUGUCGAUCGCUGAAUGGUCUUACCCUAAGCCUACGCCGUCGCUUACGUGGAGCCACGUGUCGAUCGCUGAAUGGUCUUACCCUAAGCCUACGCGGAGGGUAAGACCCACCCAAUAUUUUCUCGCCCCCCGGGGAUUUAUCAUCAUUGCUCUGAAAAAUGGACAGUAAUCCUUGUACACGCGUAAAGUGACAAUUGACAAGGAAAGGUCUAAGACGCGUGAUGGAUUUGUAUCUCUCCAAAAAUGUCUUACUAUGUACAGUGCAAUCCUAGAUGCUUGUGCCAUAGUGCUUAAUCCUUGAAAUUACGAGCUACAUAAUUCAAAAGCAUCGAUGGAGAUAGAUUUGUAUCUCUCUAGACACGUCUUAUUAUGAUCAGUGAAAUCCUAGAUGCUUGUCCCAUAACGCUUAAUCCUUGAAAUUGCGAGCCAUAUAAUUCAUAAGCAUCUCCGAAUUUAUCAUUAUUGCUCUAAAAUAGGGAUAAAAAUGGUAGGAAUCUCAAAACUUUCAUACAACGCUCGCUUGAGUGCAAAAACUUUUUUUUUUCACUCAAUUGAUUAUCACAAAUUUGAAAAUUCGAUCACUUAAGUGCCCAUUUCGAUUUGUCUCACUGGAAAAUCCAACAUGAAUGUCGGUCAUCCGUCAUGACUUUGUCAGUGAUAAUGUUGACAUUUUUUUAUUUUUAAAAAUGUUUUAUUUUUUUAUUUUUUUGCUUUUUUUGCUUUUUUUCUUUAAGACCGGUGAGGGUCUCCAGCAACCCUCAUCAACUGCGACAUCCUCGCCCUCAGCCACAAAGGCCCUAGGCAAGGCCAUCGGGGCGUCCUCAACUGCUAGCGAGGGCGAUGCCACACAGAGCUAGCAAGGGCCUUUACCUUCUCACUUGCCACCAGCAAGGUCGCAAUGCCCUUGCCUAAAGCCUUCGUGGCCAAAUCUAGGCAAAGGCCACCUCCCUUUGCCAUAAGGCCUUGGGUGAGGGCAUUGCAGCCUCACUGGUCAUUGGCGACGCCAAUCGGAGUAGGUGAGGGCAUCAUGACCUCGCCAACUACAGGCGAGGCCUCAAGGGCCCUUGCUUGCUUUGGAUGGCAUCACCCAUAACCACCCAAAGCUGGUGAGGGCCCUCGUGGCCCUACCAGCAGCUAGCUAGAUGACCCUCACCCAGAUUGGGGGAGGUUUUCAUGGCCGGCGAAGGUUGCUGGUGACCAUCAACCCUAAAGAAAAAAAACAAAAUAAAAAUGAAAUUCAAAAAUUUCACGUAGGAUAAUUUGCCAAAAUUAGCAUUCAAGUGAUCGAUUUUACUUCGAUGUGGCACUCAAGUGAGUAAAAAAAAAGUUUUGACACUCAAAUGAGCGCCAUAUGAAAAUUUCGGCACUUCUAGUUUUCUUGCCAAUCUUAAUUUGACAAUUGGAGCACUUCUUGCCAGAAAUAAGGAUGUUGAUGUAAAAUUAACACCCCGGAUAUUUAGAAGUAUUGAACACAAACCUCAAUCGUUCCUUUUUCGAUAUUUUCUAGCUAGCAAUAGGAUAAGUUAAAUUAAACAAUGCUAAGACAGGUGGCAUGCAUUCACAUUUCAAAUGAAUGCACAUGUGAACUUAAUCUAGAGAUAUUUUCUCUCCAUCAGCUUCGCCCACAGCUACACCAGCAUCUCUCUCUCUCUCUCUGCACAAGCUUUGUCCCAUAAUCAAACCAAGAGUAGUAUUUUCUAAGGAUAAGUGUACUAAAAUUUCUAAAAUUUGUCGAGAAAUGCAAAAGGUGUAAUAAGUUCUUAGAAUUUGUCAAAGUUUUGUAAUCAAGUCUCUUUGUUAGUUCUAUAUAAUUUGAAUAACAGAAAAUCCCAACAUGAUUAUUUUAACUACUUUUGUUAUGACCAAAGCAAAAGCUACGACGAAAUUAAAUUUGAGAAAAUUAAAAAAAAAGAAAAACAUACAAAUUUACAUGGAAACUAUGGGGAAAAAAACUACAGGGAGAAAAGAAGCAAAAUCUACUAUGAAAAUUCAAGCAUUACCAACGGUGGCUUGGAAAACCUUAAGACUCUUUUUAUCACAUUUUUUAAACCUAAUAACUUAGGAAAAGAAUAAUAUUUAUAUUGCUCCAUACGGCAGGACGCAGUCCCCCCACCUCUGCAAAGGAUUAGUGGUGGGCUAGUGGUUUGGGCCUCGACCAACACUAAGCCUCCAUUUGUUUUUCUCAAGUUAGGUAGUCACAAAUUUCAAUUUGAGUAUCAAAACUCAAUUUAAUUCCUGAGAACAAAAUUCAAGACAUGCUCAACAAUUUCUUGAGACACGUGGCGCCCCCUAAGCACCACAUAAAAUAAUGAAAUUUUUGGGAAAAAAAUUAAAGAAAGAAAGAGAGAGCAAAAGUAAAAUAAGAAAAAAAUGAUAAUGUCGAACAAAAUGCUAAUAGUGAGGGGAAAAAGAGAGAGAGAGAAAGCAAGCAAGACCUCCGCUUCUGGUUUCCCAAAGGAACAGUGGUUUCGAUUCUAGCGAGCGAAAGUUGAGAUUAAAGGGAAUGAAUCUAUUUUGAGGGGGACUUUCAACCUUCGCAGAUCGCCUACGGAGACUUCUUGGAUCAAUUUUAAAUAUGAAAGGCUCCACUAUUCUGCCAUGGCUGUGGUAGGAUUGGCCAUGGCCGCCAUAGCUGUACCUUCAUCAUAGAUGCUGCGUCGACGGGGAGGUGCUCUCGAAUUUGCGGGCUGCGUCCAACCUUUUCUACAUCGACCCAUCAGUCGGUUCCAAUUCACAAUUUUGAUAAGGAACACUAAAAGUUUGAAAAAAAACUUCCUACGAUUGCUAUCAUUACGAAAAACCGAAAAAAAAAAAAAUGUGGACGGUCUUGCUACGGCGCCGCCCCCCACACCACACCCCGGGGGGGGGGGGGCGCUGGCGGGGGGCCUGGCGGCGUUUUUUCAACUUUUUGUUCCUUUUUUCUUGAUAUGAUCCUUUUCUAUUCAUUUAAAAAAAUUUAAAUUUUUUCUUUUAUAAUUUUAAUAAAAAAAAGCGUUAGCCAAAUUGAAAUGAGUUGAUGGAAUGACUUAAUUGUAUCAAUUUGACAAAUUUUAUGACUUAAUUGAACUUUUGCAACAAUGGUCACGCAUCAUGUUCAUGAUAAUGCAACCAAAAUUCCCCUGAUUAGGUUUCCACUUAUUAUUAGUCAAUGGCUUGACCCACAAUGAUAUCAUAAAUUAAUAUACAUAUAUCCAAAUACCCUUCAAUGGGCUCACAGAGAUACUCAGCAUAGUCAAUCAACCUCAAUCUCCAGAAUCCACAACCAAAAUAAAAAAACCAUUUCACAAUUCAACUUUAAUAACUACAUCACAACUUUUCACCAUUCGAUAAAUAAAUAUAUAUAGGUAGGUAUAGGCAGUCGUUCCAACUAAAGAGGCAGCAUAAAGAGGGAGGGCUGGUUCAGGAAAGGAGUAGGCCACAAUCAUUUCACAAUUCAGUUUAAUAACCAAAUCACAACUUUUCACUAUUCGAUAUAUAUACAUAUAUAUGUAUAUCAAAGCAGCUCAAAAAUCACAUUCAUAAAUCAUAAACAUUUUCAUUAUUCUUUCAUAGAAGGUUUCACAAACCAUUUACAAGCAAUCGGUUCAAACUAAAGUUGAAGGAUGACUCCCCAUUUCAAACAAACUAAUGAAACGGCAGUAAAUGUUCGAUCCUAUUUUGUGCAACAACAAAUGUUAUUUCUUAAGUUAGAACAUAUAUAAUCCAUAUCAUUUUCCAAACAUAAAAACAUAAAGAAUAAAUAGUAUCACUCAUCUAGGAAAGCCAAAAACCAACUUCGAUGGUUACUACAGCUGAUGCACUUAUUCCUAUUUUCUAUAAUCAUCCAUAUGCAUAAUGUGUGGAUAGCUCCAAGGGCCAAUUUCGAACGAAACACUGUAAUGUUGAUUCCAACGGGAGUAGUCCUCGCACACGACGCCAAAUACUUAUUUGUAAUUAUUAAAGGAAAACCAUUUACAAGUUGAACUAGAAACAGUGUUUUUGUUCCUUUCGCUUUAUCCGUUUUGUCCUUAUCGAAUCUCUGGUCCUAUAAAUUUCUGGCUCAAUCGACCAAACCCUCCGACAAUCAUCAGCAUUUCCGCUCCCUGAUUGAGCAAAUACAUGCACAACAUUUUCAGCACGAUGGCUCUCACCUCCCUCCUCCUCCACCUCCUCCUCCUCCUCUCUUCUCUCCAUGUCAGUAAUUUGUCGAGCUUUCACUCUCCAUGCGUAGCCAACUGCUCAUCUCUCUUUCUGUGUUUCCAUGCAAAGACAGGGCUAUAUGUUUAAUUCGAUAUCUCGCGCUUAAUUAGUAUAUACUCCUUACCUAAGAAUUGCUGAAAGAUUUUUGCGGCCAGUUACUCCAUUAGCAAUCACUUCUCAUCCAAUAUUUGUCAACCCAAUCUCUCUAUCCUGGUUUACAGUGCUUAGGUUAUCGGACCAACUGGGGAGCCCAGGCUUCAUAAGAAUUUAUUUACGCAUGCAAGAAACUAAACAUGUUAGUUUGUAUCAAAAUAAACCUAAAAAUAUUAUAUAUAUCUUCAUACCAAAAAGAAUAUUUUAUAUAAUAUAUAUUAGUAUAUAUAUAUAUAUAUAUAUAUAUAUAUCAUUUGGGUUAUCUUAAUGCAUGUCAGUAGAUCAAUUGUGUUUAUGUGUUCUUCAGGCUAACAAAGAAAUGUGAACGAAACGUAGAUAAUCAGGUCAACAUAUAAUACUUUGAUAAUAUGAAAGCAUGUAAGUUGCAAAAGUCAUUUUAAGUGAUUGAGCAUGACGUUACUACUUUAGACACAUGCAUCAGAGAGCAUACGUUAAUGAUUGUUAGGAAUAAAUUGUUGGGUCAUCUGUGUUCAUUGUGAAGAUAAUUUCAAUCAUGUUAUUAUGCAGUUCUAAUUUCGUGUUACGUGACUUGUACUUUUUUGCACGUUCAUUACAAUUUUCCAUAUGCCUAUUUUACUUCUAUAAUUAUGUCAUUGCACAAUUACAAUUACUUAAGUCCAUGAUGUCCAUUCUAACCGUGAUUACAUAAACUUCUAGCUCACAGUCACUCUUUGAUUUUCUUUUGUGGAUUGUCCUGCCAUAGGUCCUGACUGCCGUCGCUAGAGCUGCUCCCGAGGGGGACUCCCUCGACGGCGAGGCUAACUCGAUCUCUCCCAAAGCAUACCUUGUCCAUUACUGGAACAAGCAAAUCACCAACAACCUUCCCAAGCCACCAAUCCUCUUCUCCAAAGCGUCAACCCUGACGGCCACGUCAGUGACCAUCUUCGCCGAACUUGUCGCCAAAGGCGCCAUCUCUGACCACCUCCUAUCUUUCUGCGAGGAGGCGCAAUUGCUCUGCUUCAUGAACUCUGAUGGGGUCGCAGCGGCAAACUCGCUCGUCAACUACCCCAUCCCCCCACCUGUCCGCCGCCUCACUUAUACCCAUGGUGUCGAUACAAUUGUGGCAGCUGAUGACAAGAAAGUAAAUGGGGGCGUGGAGCAGGGCGAGUUCUUUCGAGAGUCGAUGCUGAAGAGCGGGAAUGUGAUGCCAAUGCCCGACCUCCGGGAUAACUUGCCAAAAAGGUCAUUUUUGCCUCGCCGCAUUUCCUCCGAACUGCCGUUCUCAACCUCAAAGCUCGCUGAGCUGAAGCAAAUCUUCCAUGCCAUUGAAAAUUCCACUAUGGAGAAGAUCAUGGCGCAAACGCUAAGCCAGUGGGAGGGUGCAGCACUCCAAGACGAAAUCAAGAGGUGUGUGGCCUCCAUCGAGGACAUGAUCGAUUUCGCCACCUCGGUUUUGGGUCAUGACGUCUUGGUCCGAUCCACGGGGAGCGCCAGAGGGUCGAAGCAGGAGGUCUUGAUCGGGGUGGUCAAGAGGAUCGAGGGCAGCGAAGUGAGCAAGCCCGUGGCCUGUCACCAGAGUCUAUUUCCUUACGUUGUCUAUUACUGCCAUACAUUUUCAAACGUCCGGGUUUACGAAGCAGACAUACUAGAUCCCAAAUCCAAGGCUAAGAUCAAUCACGGUGUCGCCAUCUGUCAUAUGGACACAUCAACUUGGAGCCCUACCCACGAGUCAUUCCUCUUGCUUGGAUCGGGUCCUGGCCAGAUCGAGGUCUGCCAUUGGAUAUAUGAGAAUGAAAUAUUAUUGGAUAUAUGAGAAUGAAAUAUUAUGGACAACUGCCAAGUCAUAAUGAAAGAAUAAAGUGUGGUGAAGAUGGAAUAAACAUGGGUUCGGCCUGUUGAUCAAGACAGAACUUAGCCUCUAGCUAGCUCCAUACGAAGUCCUCUCUCGCUUUGCAUUACAAUCUAAAUAUAGUAUCUGAAUCUGAUAUCCAUAAUGACGUGUUUGUGGUUGGUGAGAGACUAUUGUUAUGGUCAGUAAAUGGCAAGUGCUUUUUUUGUGAUUUGAGUACAUGUUCAAGUCUUUUUGCAUUCUCCUGUCCUUUGUAUUUAGAGAUCUUCCUAGCUCCUAUCUCUCAAUCUGCGUUACUAUCUUCGAGAAUUUCCAUCAACUUUCAACGAGGACCAAUAACUAUUUUCACAGGAGAAGUACACUAUCAGUGCCAUAAGUUGUGUACGGCGCUCACUUUGGUGCCAAAAAUUUUCGUCAGAUCACUUAAAUGCCAAAAAGUUUGAAAAAUGAUCAUUUUGGUGCCAACUUCGAUCAGAUUGACCGGAAAUCCGAUGUGGCACUUUUUUAUUAAUUUUUUACGCUGAUGUAGCUUGCCGGAGAGUACAGUCAGCAUGUAAACCACAAAAACGACGUCGUUUGAUGUCUCUCCCCCAAUUUAAAACCCUAAACCCUAAAUCUGCUGGAUAAUCUUGGCUACUGCCGCCCUCUUCGUCCUCUUCUCCUCCCUUGCCGUCCUCUCUGCCGCCGCCCAUGGCACCGCCAAGCACCACCACCUCCUCCACUACCUCAACGAGUUCGGCGACUGUAGCAAGCAAGUCACUGUCGACCCCUCCGCCUCCUUCGAGAACCCGUGCCUUCGUAAUGCCUACGUCGCCCUCCAUGCCCUAAAGCAAGCCAUCCUCUCCAACCCCAACAACUUCACCGCCAACUGGGUCGGCCCCGACAUCGGCAGCUACUCUAACGUCUUCUGCUCCCCCGCCCCCAACAAACCCGGCGUCCACACUGUCGCUGGCGUCAAUGGUUUUCCCUCCUCCUCCCCCUUCAACCACCCACAUCCCUCGCCUCUGCCUCCAUUGGUGAUGGGCCAGUCGCCAUCCUUGACGGCCCUCGUGCUCGGCGGCCGCGGCUCCGACCCCGACCCUGACCCCAACCUUGACUUGGCCACUUGGCGGCCAAGUUGAAGGCCGUGAUCUUGCUCAAGUGCAAACCUCACGUCGCCAAGCGACGGCGGCUGAGCAAGCUAGGUCGACAGCCGAGCGACGGCGGCCGAGCCAGCUAGGUCAGCGGCCAAUGAGGAUCGGAAAACCUAAUUUCAAUCUCCAAAUAAAAUAUAAAAAAAAUCCCAAAAUGAGUUGUGUGGCGUCAUUUUUGUGAGACCAUCCACUUAGAACGGCAAAACGAUGUCAUUUUCUUAAAGAGGACGGAAAACGACGUGGUUUCUCAAGCCAUGUCGAUUUUUUUUUUUUUUAAAUAUAAAAGCCACAUCAUCAUUUUGGCCGGAAUCUCUCGCCGGUGACACCAAAGUAAUCAUUUUUUCUCUGAUUUGGCACUUAAGUGAUCCGAUUAAAACUUUUGGCACCAAAGUGAGCGCCGUACACAACUUAUGUCACUGAUAAUGUACUUCUCCCCUAUUUUCAUGAAACUAUUAUUCUAUAAACUGGGGACAGAUAAGAAUGCAGUGUUUUUCGAUAAAAGAAAGUGGCCCAGUGGUCGGAGGUCCCAACGUGAUUGUUUUUAUACACUUGACAUUGAAGAGCAAGAGUUGCCUGGUUCAAUCUUGAAGUGGCACCUCUCACUUUUUUUUUCCUUUGAAUUUUGCUUUUAAACUUUUCUGCAUUUAUCUUUUGCUUGCACUUUCAAGGUCACAUAAACUAUAUGUCAUCAGAUCAUUGCUUUCUUUUUCUUUUAUUUUUUUAUUUUAGCUUUUUUUAAGCGUUUGUCAUUGGAACAAGAUGAUUCAAUAAGAACCCAUAAUAUGAGAUUAGACUUCUAAAAUCCUGAAAACUUCACAUGAAUGAUUCUCAUACAAUAAAAAUGUAAAAACUAAAUCUACUUAUGUUUCGCUGGAAUUACUCUUACAACGAAAUAUCUUUCAUUGAAAGUCGUGCUUCAAUUUUAUUAAGGGGGACAAGGGUUAUGUGUCAACUCCAGAGAGGGGAUAUCUUAUGCCUAAAGGAAUUGAACUUCUUUGAUCCAAACAACACUAUACAAUCUUAGACUAAGUCGGAAUUUAAUCAACAACAAGGCCAAAAAUAAAAUAAAAUUACAAGACUAGUGUCAAACUAUGCCGGAAUAUAACCAACGACACAAGUUAAGGAUGGUAAGAUGUAGAAUUGGAAUUCAAUCAAUGACAACGUACCAGGAUAGUAAGAUACAGCGAUGGAAUUUAAUCGACCAAGAAUCAAAUCGACCACGGGAAUCUAAAAGUUAUAGCUAAUGAAAUUAAAGUGCAAUACAGAAAAAGUAAAGAUAGAAAGAUGACAUUUUGAUAAAUUUGUCGAUGGCUUCUUGUUGGAUGACUAGUGGUAUUUAUAGUGAAUGUAUGAUAACCGUUUUGUAGCUGCAUCUUCUCUAGUAAUUGCUAUUGGCUUUAACCAUGAUCCUUUAUUCUUGUAGAUCACUUUGCCCAUACUUCAUAUAACCGUCCUGUUUGUGUUUUGAGGAUUAUGCAAUUAUCAAUGCCAUUCUAUGACUGGGGCUCCAAAUAGCAAUGGUUUUUUUUUUUUUUUUGACGACGUGCGUUUUUUAUGCUAACUACCUUAGCACCUUGAGUAAUAUUCAAAGAGAAAAAGUUGUCGCCAAAGUUUAUACGGGCAGCUACCAAUCGUCCAUUGUCAUAUUUCAAUAAUUGGACACGUGGCAUUUUUUUUUAUCUCAUCGUCGAUAUCACUGGAUAGCUGCCCCUACUCUUGUUGAUAGUCCGGCAUACAUCAAACAUCAUUGUGCACAUGACUAUAACUUAUUUCUGUCUCAAUGUUUUGUAUUUUUCACCCUGCAGCAGGGACGAGCCAACCGGAUCAAUUAUGAAUGUCAACAACCUCAUAAAAUAAUGACACUCCUAAUAUGGUAGAGAGGGUUUUCUUAUUCGUGUGGAGUAACAUAGAUAAUUUGCAAUAUUCCUAAAGUGCUACGGCCGAGGUAAAUCUCAACUUUAAUAUCAGCUAUGUAGUUCACAAUUUCAUGAAAGAUCAUGUAUUCAUGAGAGGACAUGUAACAUUUUCUUUGAAGAUAAAUAUUCAUUAUUGUGUAUUUCCUUGUUUAUAUAAAGUGACGCAAUUUGUCAUGCGAUUGAUAAAUUUCUUUGUUUGUAACUAUACUUUUAUCUUUUAACACUCUUAGCCCAUGAACCUGCAUCGCUGAAUGGCCACUUCUGAUGUAUUCGUUUCUUGGAUGAGCAUUUGUCUGGCUUGGCAGUGAUCGACCCAUGUGGCCACAAUGAAUAGUGGAAGCAAAAUUGGUGAACAGAAUUUAAAGAAAAGAGUCGAGUCCAAUUGAAGAAAUCGUACAAAACCGGGGUGGGACCGUGCAUCGAUAAAUCCAGGUUCUUUCUACAUAUUCUGUCGUUGGGCUGCAAGAGAGAUCAUUGAGAAUGCGUAUAAAUAAAGUUCCUAUUAUCUUUUAUAUGCCAAAGGUACGAGCGUAGUCACUCAGUUACUUGAAGGUUCAUGAAAUACUCUACAAGUCUCACAAAUCCUUUGAGCCCUAGUUUUGUAAUUGUUGGCAGGUUUGGAUAAAAGUUCUGAGGCUUUGAUUGAGAAGUCAUGGAAAAUCGGGUGGAUAGGCUAUUUGCAUAUGGAGUAAAAAUCAGCUCAGGGUUCUUCAUGGGAUCCAAGAACCACAUAGAGAGAUAUAUACUAUUAUAUGGUAUUUUUUCCCCCAAAAAAAUCAUAUGAUAGAAAAUGCGGGUAUACGUGUUCUCCGAUGUAGUUUCAUUUUGUAAAUGAACCAGUUAGUCGUUUCUUUUCCUAAUCCCUGGAAAGAAAGCACAAAUCCUAGAGAUUUCAUUUAUCUCUAGUAGAAGUGAUUGUAAUUAGGUUUACUCAUAAUGGCAUCUAAUUACUUUAACCCUAGUUCUAGAUUAGCUAGCCAAUUACACAGUUUCUCUACUGGAGUACAUGCCCAUAUAUAGAAAAUCAAAGUUUUGAUCUUAAAAAUUUAUCAGAUCACUGUACAACUUGAUUACUUAACCGAGAGCUGUCCAAUCUGAGGAACAGAUGGAUGCCGUUUCAUUGUUUAAUAGUAUUAUUACAAAAAAACUUGUCCUUUUGCGAAAUUGGCAUUUUGCAUUAAGCCAGUUGUUUUUCAUUACCAAGACCUACCAUGUCUGAAGCAUAGAUGACUGCUUUUCUUUAAUGGCGUUUUAAUCAAGUAGAUUAAUAUGACUUACUACCUAAAUAGUUUUUGUUUGUAGCUAAUUCUGAGGUGUUUGUUCUUAUUCUCUUCCAUCCUUUCAUCAAUCUCAUGGGCUUUUUUCCCAUCACCUUCCUUUGUUUCGUGCUCAAACGCAAGACUGAUGGCAAGUGCAUCUUCAAUCGAUAGAAUCUUUUAAGAGGAAAUUCUAUACAAAUCUAACUUUCAUUUACACUUUCCCUUCAAAAUGUGAAACAUAUGUAUUUCUUUUGGGUGAUAUCCAUAAAUGUAACUUACCCAUCAGAAGAUUGAGCCGGAAGAAAUCAUGACACUUUUUUAUAACAAACGAGUUAAGGAAUUGCUUAAGUGAUAACCAUAAUUAUAUACCUCACUCGAGCUUUGGGUUCAAAUCACUGCACUUAUGCAAGUACAGGCCUAGGUGUCAACAAUAAUUACUCGAUCUGUGCAAAAUUAGAAAACUGUCACAACUAGUAAAGAUUAGAUGAUUUCUCAAAUUAGGAAACUGUCACAACUAGUAAAGAUUAGAUGAUUUCUCAAAAAGUCACAAUUACCCCAUUAUCAUUAGAAAAAAAAAAACCGACUAUUAAUUUAUGCGACAGCAAUGAGACGAAUUAUGUGUGUGUGUGUGUGUGUGUGUGUGUGUGUGAGAUAAUCAAACAGAAGGCAGAGAAUAUUCGAUAUGAUACUUAUUAAUUGCAAGUUAUAUUAAAAAAAUUUAAUUAAAUUUUUUUUUUCGCUUGACAGAGAACAUUUGAUAUGAAAGUUUAGUUAACUACAGGUUGCACCUGUAAGGUGCAAAAUUGGUGGUUAAGAGUCCCAACUUGAUAGUUUGUGUUAUAAAGUUACAACAAAAAACUUACAAAACUAAUAGGUAUGGACACACAUUUGCGAUAGGGAUAACUCAGCCUCCGUCCCAGCCUAACAAGCUCUCACUACCAUUGAAUCUGUCAAUUGACUAAUGGAGCAGAUUGGAGCCUUCUGAUCGGUCCAAUCAUAUGAUUGGGAAAUCUCUAUGUUUAUAGCUAUACUUUUACCUUUUACUGGCUUUCUCCAAAAAUUUUAUUACGUAUGGAAUAACAAACGGCCUAUAAUUAUUUGAAAUUGCUGCGGAAACGGACGGGAUCUUUCUAGCAUGACCUUACUACGAAGACUUUGUUGUGGGCUAAUAUUAGAGCAGCCCUUGGGCCUGCAUCGCUUGUGAAUGGCACUAACGAUGUACUCGUUUCUUGCAUGAGCAAUUUUCUGGCUCAGCAGUGAUCGACCCAUGUGUCCUGGAUGAAUAGUAGAAGCAAAAUUGACAUUGGCGAAGAGGGUCAACAGAGAAGAUGUCCAGUCCGAUUGAAGAUAUCAUACGCAUCCGGGGUAGACCCGCCUUUGUCCAUGUGAUCCCAAACUUUGUGGACUGUGCAUCGAUAAAUCCAGGGUCUUUUGAUGUAUACUGUCGUUGGGAUGCAAGAGAGAUCAUUGAGAACACAUGGGCACCAAAGUCACUAAAUUUACAAGCCAACGGCAUGAGAGUAGAGGCUUGGUUACCUGGAAGCCUAUAAAAACCCUGCAAGCCUCAUGAAUAGUCCAAGUGGUCUGCGCAGGUGGUUCUGACUAGAGCAGCUUGUACACGGUUAUUGGAAUUCGAACAAAUGAACUCCAAUUUCUGACUUACCAAUUUCUAGAUUUGCAAUAGGCAAAUUGUUUAAACAUCUUCGUGGAAAAUAAAUAUUUUCCAUUUAUUAAGUUAAGUGAAAGCGAUAAUUUUACAAAAAAUAUUUUUCAAAUCAUUCAUUUUCUAUCAAACAAACAAAGCCUAGGUAUAACGGUGAAUAUGAACAUCUUUAUGCGUAAAUGUUAAAUCCACGAGUUUGCCAAGGUGGAUUUAUAGCUGAUAUGAAAAUGCAACUUCAGGCAUGUUGGAAGGAGGGUUAGCGUUAGGGGAAAUUUGGGGCUUGAAUUAAAGUUUGGGAUUUUCUUAGAUAAAAAGUUCGGGGUUUUUUUAGAGUAUUGAAUCAAUCAAAAGUGACCAAAUUUUGAUUAUUAUCGAUGAGAACAAAGUUUGGUUAAAACAAAAAUUAUCAAUAAACUGAACAGUAAACGAAUUGAAAAAAUUGGAUAACUUACCGAUAGAGUUAUCAAUAGAAAAUUAUGCAUAGAUUAUCGCUGAGAUCCUUCACUAUAGACAAAUUGAAGGAGAUCGAUAAGCCAUCAACAACAAAUAAUUACCACAAGUAAUCGCAAAUUUCCAGUGAAAUAUUGAGGCUGUGUAAUUCAUGACCAAAACAGAGGUUUGCCACGAAUACAUCAAUAGGCAAAUACGGUGGAUUCACACCAACACUUGAUCAUUAGGUGGUUAUGCCUAUAACCAUGGAAUUUAUGACUUCUUCUGGAUAAUCACUAUUGAAUGAUAGAGGAUAAUGUUUAGUCUCAUAAAGCAUAUGUAGUACUUUAGCUUUAGCUGGUACGUCCAUGAUGGGGUGCGAACAGAACGCACUGUUUCGUCUUGAUGCGUUACGAUGGAAAGUCACUAAUGGAGGGGUACGAAGGGAGACGUAUAAAAUCCUCCCGAACACAACCGUUGGAAUGGUUGGCCAUUCAUUCGCACCAAAUUUUCUCUGCAUUUCCAUUAAAGAAGAUCAAGGCAUUCCAUUUCAUCUUUGCAAGAACAAUCGGCAUUUACGCCGUGGAAAUCGGGUGUUUUCCUCGUGAUUGCAUCCAGACUAACGUGAGGUAGUGUUGUUCGUGAUUUCGUUGGCAAUUCAACGUUCGUUCCGGGGCUAUUUGCUGUUUGCACAUCGGAAUCAGGUAAGUCGUCUUCCGCCGACUUAAAUUCCAACAUUGGUAUCAGAGCCCGAUCGUGAUUUCUGCCUUGUUUUUCAUCGAGUUUUCACAUUUACCAUUUGAUAUUGAGAUCAAGAGAUAGUAUUCUACACUGUUUGGAUCUCUGAUAGUCGGAAUUGCCCUAUGAAAAACUCGAAAUUGAACCGGAGCGAAGAACGGGUUCGAGGUCGUGUGCACCCGUGAGGUUUUGGCCAUUUUUUGAAAUAAUUUUUUGAUCAAAAUUAAUUUUUGAAUAUACCGGGUGAAAGAGCUCGUCGAGACGAGUCCGGCGGUGGGUCGAGCGCCGCCAGGCGACGCCGGACGCGCCCACACGCGCGGCCAGAAGCCGUUGCGCAUGGGCGCCACGCGCCUGAAGCGCUGGCACAGCCAGCGCGUCCGCCACACGCGCUGGUUAGCGAACCGGCACGUGCGGACGCGCGCCAGCCGGCGAACCGGCGCGUGAUGACGUCACCAUGACGUCACCCAACGGUCGGUAACUACUGGGAUGACGUCAUCAAUGACGUCAGCGCCAACGACAGUUGGCCGGCCGGCGACCCGACCCGACCCGACCUGACCCGACCCGACCGUUGACCGGUCAACGGCCGGACCGGUCGGACCGGCCAGGAGCCGUUUGGCUCGCUGGCGCGUGCGCCGCACACUCAGGCGGCGCAUGGGGGUGCGUGCGAGCUCCGAUUGGAGCGUGGUCGGUCGUGUUUGGUUUGUAUGAGUGUCCUCUACACAGUGGUAUAAUUAUUUUAUACUUUUGAAUUUUAUAAAUGCAUGAAAAUGCGUAGGAAACCCUAUGUACGCGUAUUUUUGGGGUUUUAAUGCAGCUUAUUCAUUUGUAGCUUGUAUUUUCUUGUGAUUAGGGAAAUACAGUAGCUAGCCUGUGUGCAAAUGAUGUUAUAUAUGUUGUGUAGAGCUUGGUUCAAUGAUAUGAUGUAUAUAUUUUAAUAUACUUGCAAUUUUCUAGUUGCUAGAAAAUUAGAACAAUGGUAGGAAAUCCAUUACAUGUUGAAUUGCAAUUUUAAUUAUAGUUGAAGCAUGAUUGUUGUUUAUACGUUGGUUAUUAUCAUGCUAUGUUUUUUGUGUUAAGGAAAAAUGUAGAAAUUACAUAAGGUCAUGUAAUUAUUUUUCCUAGUGGGAGUUCGUAAGUUGGUAGAAUUGAAAGAAGUUCUCACCUAGAACUCAAAAUUUGUGCAAAUUAAACUAAUUAAUGAUAAUAGAACAUUUGUACAUAGAAGUUGAUUGGGAACAUAGUGAACUUUUGCCUCUGUGUCUUUUGUUGAAUUAUCAUUAAUUUAGUUUGUCUUUGCUGCAAAUUAAAUAUGUGUGUUACUCUGUAUAGUGUGCUAGUAUUGAUUUUGCGUUUAUUAUGUCAAUGUGUUAUAGCAAUGGCAUCGGCAUCCAAGACUAUUGUGGCUAACCUCAAUAAGGGUGAGAAGCUGAACGGUGACAAUUAUGAUAUUUGGCACCGAAAGGUUCAGUACAUCCUUGAGGAGCAAGAGGUUUUGGAAACCCUCAACCAUACCAUGGAUGAACCUGAGUAUGGAACUUCAGCUUAACACAGGAGAGAUCUGGAAGCUUCUCAAGCUUGGAAAAAGAAAAAUAGCAUUGCUCGCAUCACGUUGCUGAGCUGUAUGCAAGAUGAUCUCAUCUGUGAGUUUGAGAGUUAUGACAAAGCUCAAGCUAUGUGGGUUGCCUUGAAAGAUAAGUUUGGGGGUACAUCUGCUACUAAGCUGAGGAGACUUACCAUCAAGUUUGACACAUUUCGAAAGCGCCCAAAUGUAAUGAUGAGGCAGCAUCUUCGGGAGAUGUCAAACAUGAUCCGUGAGCUGAAGUCGGCAAGUCACUCCCUUACUGAUGAACAGUAAGUUCAGGCUGUUAUAAGGUCUCUUCCUGAUAAUUGGGAGCAUAUGAAGAUCAAUAUGACGCAUAAUGAGAAUAUUGUCACUUUUGAUGAUAUUGCGCGUCAUUUGGAAUUAGAGGAUGAGCGCCUAGAGGCUGCAAGAUCCUCUACCCAUGCUUAUGUUGCUGAAUCGAGUUCGCGCAAGGCUUCAGGCUUCAAGCGCAAGAGGAAUCUUCAGUUCAACAACAAAGGGAAGAUGACUGAUCAGGGACCCAAGAGGGCUAAGACCUUCCGACGCAAGAAGCGUGGUGGGAAGAAGGACAAGGCCAAAAUGGAGUGCCACAAUUGUGGCAAGAUGGGUCACUUUGCUCGUGAAUGCACUGAGCCGAAAAAGGUACCCUAUUACUCCAUUACUUUGAGUAAUGCUUUUGUUUCUAGUACUGUAAUGCUUACUGAAUCUCAUCCAAUGUUGACUGUAGACUCAGGAGCAACAGACCAUGUAGCUAGAGACCGAGAAGCAUUUGUGGAGUAUCGUCGGAUACUGUCUGGAAGAAGAUGGAUAUAUGUUGGGAAUAAUUCAAGAGUUGAAGUGAAGGGUAUCGGCACAUGUAAAUUAAUCUUACGUGGUGGUCGAAACCUGUUCCUGCAUGAUGUCUUUUAUGCUCCAGAUAUUCGACGAAACUUGGUCUCUGUAGUUGUUCUUCUUAGCUUAGGUUAUGUAUUGAAUUUCCAUGGUGAUUGUGUUGACAUUUUGUAUGGAACAGUUUAUUAUUAUUCAGGUCAUGUAUCGAAUGGUUUUAUGGUGUUAGACAUUGACUAUGAUUAGUACAAUGUUAAUGUUGAUGGUUGUUUUUCUUUAAUUGCGUCUUCUAACAAUGUUGAGAUUGAUGCAAGUACUUGGUAUGCUAGAUUAGGUCACAUUGGAUUGCAAAGAAUGCAAAGAUUAGCUAGAGAAGGCCUUUUAGGGUCACUCACUAAUGUUAGUCUAUCCGUAUGUGAACAUUGUUUGGCGGGAAAAACAACUAGAAAACCAUUCGGUAAAGGGACUAGAGCUGAAUUUCCAUUGCAUCUCAUACAUUCUGACAUUUGUGGUCCUUUGAAUGUGAGGGCGAGGCAUGGAGCCUCAUAUUUCAUCACUUUCAUAGAUGACUUCACACGUUUCGGUUAUGUCUUUCUGAUCUCCCAUAAGUCAGAAGUAUUGGACUGCUUUAGACGACAUAUAGCGAUGGUAGAGAAUCAGUUGAACAAAAUAAUAAAGGCAUUGAGAACCAAUCGUUGACGUGAGUAUCUAUCAGAGCAAUUCAAGGCUCUUUGUGAUGAAAAGGGAAUUGUAAAACAAUUGACUAUUCCUGGUACCCCACAACAAAAUGGGGGUAGCUGAGAGAAGGAAUAUAACCCUAUUGGAAAUAGUUAGGUCUAUGAUGGCGCAAGCAAAUCUACCUAUCUCCUAUUGGGGAGAUGCGUUAUUGACUGCUGCCUAUAUACUUAACCGUGUGCCCUCAAAAUCGGUCACUUCCAUCCCUUAUGAAUUAUGGACUGGUAGGAAACCAGACUUGAGUAGUCUACGUCCAUGGGGAUGUGCAGCUUAUGUUCAUGAUUCUUCCCAUAAACAUGGAAAAUUAUGUCCUAAAGGGAAGAAAUGUAUCUUUAUAAGAUAUUCCGAACACUCCAAAGGGUACGUGUUCAUGGGUGAACAAGCUGAUGGAAGUGUGACCAAAAUGGAGUCACGAGAUGUCACGUUCUUGGAGAACGAUUUUCCUAAUAGAGGUGAGAUUGAUAAGGACUUCCAAUUAUAUGAGAUGGAAGAUCCUAAUAACACACCCACUGAUGUUGUAGAGGGAAAUGUAGAUUUACCUCAACAUACAAGACCUAGUGGGAGUGUUGCAUCGCCUGAUGAAUUGAAUUCAAGAGAAAUUCAAUUGCGUAAAAGUGAUCGUAAAAGUAUUCUUCGUCGUCGUUUUGAGAUUGAAGGGGAAGCAUUUAUGAUUGCUCAAAAAGACGAUGCCGAGCCUAAGACUGUUCAAGAGGCUCUCUCAUCCUCUGACAAGGAAGAAUGGAGAAAAGCUUUUGAAGAUGAGAUGGAGUCAAUGAGGGCAAACCAUGUUUGGGACUUGGUUGAUAUACCACCCAAUCGUAAGGCCAUUGGAAACAAAUGGGUCUUCAAGAUUAAGCGUAGGGCGGAUGGAUCCAUUGAAAAGUAUAAGGCUCGCCUUGUGGCAAAAGGUUAUACUCAACAAGAGGGUAUAGACUAUGAGGAAACUUUUUCACCAGUUGUAAGGUUUGCCUCAAUACGCCUUAUUCUAGCCAUCGUUGCACAUUUGGAUAUUGAAUUACAUCAAAUGGAUGUAAAGACAGCAUUUCUCAAUGGAGAAUUAGAUGAGGAAAUCUAUAUGAAACAACCAAUAGGUUUCAUAGCUAAAGGUCAAGAGCAUAAAGUUUGCAAGCUUCAUCGCUCAAUAUAUGGCCUUAAGCAAUCAUCUAGACAGUGGUAUUUUCGUUUUCAUCGAGCAAUAAUAACUUUUGGUUUCACGAUGAUCGAAGAAGAUCACUGUGUAUAUGUCAAGCGGUCCAAAGAUAAAUUUGUGAUUUUAUCACUUUAUGUGGACGAUAUUCUGCUGGCUGGAAAUGACAAGGUUUUGGUUAUCACCAUAAAAGAAUGGUUGUCCUCCAAUUUUGAGAUGAAGGACAUGGGAGAAGCUGCUUAUAUAUUAGGAGUUAAGAUCGAAAGAGAUCGAUCAAGGAAACUCCUUACUUUAUCACAAGAGUCUUAUAUUAUGAAGAUUCUUGAGCGUUUCAAUAUGCAGCAUUGUAAUCCCAUUGAUACCCCUGUCAUGCAAGGUGAAGGCCUAAGUACUGAGAUGUGUCCUAAGACUCCAGAAGAAAUCAAAGUGAUGGAAACUGUUCCUUAUGCUAGUGCGGUCGGAAGUUUGAUGUAUGCUAUGAUGUGUACUCGACCCGACAUAUGCUAUGCCGUGGGAUUGGUGAGCCGAUAUCAAUCAAAUCUCGGUCAAGCACACUAGAAAGCAAUGAAGAGGAUCCUGAGAUACUUGAAGGGCACCAAGGACUAUCGACUUUGUUACUAAGGGAAUGAUUUACGCCUAUUAGGUUAUUCAGAUGCCGAUUGGGGUGGAGACCUGGAUGAGCGUAAAUUGACUUCUGGAUAUGCAUUCUUGCUCAAUGGAGGUGCAAUUUCUUGGAAUAGCAAGAAACAGACAUGCACGGCCUUGUCUACGAUGGAGGCAGAAUUGAUUGCAUGUUAUGCCGCAAUGCAAGAAGCAGUAUGGCUAAAACGUUUCUUGGAAAAUUUAGCCACUGUCACUGAAGUUCCAAGACCGGUGACGGUUUAUUGCGAUAGUCAAGCAGCCAUUGCCCAUGUGAAAGAUCCCAAGUAUCAUGGAAGGACAAAGCACAUUGACAUAAAGAAUAACUUCAUCAGAAUUAUUAUAGCGCAGAAAGAAGUGAUCCUGCAAUACAUUUCAACCAAUAGAAUGGUUGUUGAUCCAUUUACGAAGGCUAUUCCUAGAGACAUGUUCUUGACCCAUAGGAUGUCACUAGGAUUGCGUAGAAUGUGAUAUCUGUUAUUGUAGAGGAUAAUUAGUUUAUGUAUUUGUGGACAGAUGUAUUGUACUUGUUUGUUUAUUAGUGAUUUGAUGUUUUAUCAAUAAGUACAAAUCCACUAUGAGACUAGCACAAACACACAUAUAUUAUUGAAAAGUAUGUCAGCAGGCAAUGAUUGGCUCACUCACACGAGCAAUCGCCUCAAGUGCUGUAGUUAGCAUGUUGAGAUGAGACGUUAUGUACAAAUAAAUGCUGAAGAGCAAGUUUGGUACAUAAAAUAUGUCGCCUUGAUUGGAGUCAAGAUGAGGUCUGUGAUUGGUUUAUAACAAGACCGAACAUGAUAGUCCCACAAUCAUGUAUGCCUGAAAGAUGCCGGAUGCGAGUACUUAAUUGGGCGCUAUAGAAAGCGAGCUGAUAUAGCACUCGGGCUAAACAUGAGUACGUGAGAAGCACGUGACUAUGUUUAGGCUAAGAUCUGUAUGGUGGAUAUAUUUGAUAAAUGACAUACGCUCUUAUAGAAAGAGUAAUCCACUAUAGCAUGUAAUUCAUACUACAUGUGCAUUAUACGACCAACAAGGGAAGGUGAGUAAAAUUAUCCCUAUUUACUCAUAGUGUGAGUCCUUGAGGUAAUUUAUAAUUUACCUCAACUUUGUGCCCUAUGUUACUUCUGACUAUGUUCUCGAAGUGAAAAAUCAGUGUUGCUACUUUAGCAUGUUACGGGCGGACAUGAAUAGAUAUGACCUAUGGGACAUGUCUAGGAAAGCAGUUGUUCUGAAAUUGAGAGAGACAUGAGUGCGAAGGAAGACUAUUGUUGUUUUACAUCUAUCACAUGUAUUUACUGGUCGACCAAUUAUAUCGCCCUUUGUGGUUGCGGAUGUAAUUGUAAAUACAUGGUGUUUUUUUUUAGAAUAGUAAAGUAUAGCCUUUAAGGGAUAGGUAUACUUGGACUGAUGUAACAAAAUAUGUCUGGGGCACUGUGAGACAUCCAUUGUUUAUUUCUUUUCGGGGUUGUAGCCAUUAUGUUAUCCCUAACAGGUGCAUAAUUUGAGCUCCCAAGUGCAGGUGUACUCACUGGUCGCACGGCUUAUUUGCCAGUAUAAAUUGUUUUGUAAAGUUGAUGAAUGUUGAAUGCCUUAUAUUCUUGAUAGAGCGCUAUCAAACCCAUCAUGUCCGAGUGGGAGAUGUAGUACUUUAGCUUUAGCUGGUACGUCCAUGAUGGGGUGCAAACGGAACGCACCGUUUCGUCUUGAUGCGUUACGAUGGAAAGUCACUAAUGGAGGGGUACGAAGGGAGACGUAUAAAAUCCUCCCGAACACAACCGUUGGAAUGGUUGGCCAUUCAUUCGCACCAAAUUUUUUCUCCAUUUUCAUUAAAGAAGAUCAAGGCGUUCCAUUUCAUCUUUGCAAGAACAAUCGGCAUUUAUGCCGUGGAAAUCGGGUGUUUUCCUCGUGAUUGCAUCCAUACUAACGUGAGGUAGUGUUGUUUGUGAUUUCGUCGGCAAUUCAACGUUCGUUCCGGGGCUAUUUGCUGUUUGCGCAUCGGAAUCAGGUAAGUCGUCUUCCGCCGACUUGAAUUCCAACAGCAUAAUUGCUCACCAAUAAUUGUAAAGAGUGCUAGGAAAUUAUUCGUGGAUUCAAAUCAAUAACUGCUUGUAAAAACUGCCCCAUGGUAAGAGAUAAAAGCCCCAUGUUAUAAUCAUUGUAAACAAAAUCAAUCAACACCUAAUUUUCUAUUCUUAUGCACAUUUAAUUUCUUCUUUAAUUUUCCAGCAAAUGCACCGUUUUAGUAUCUUCAUAUAUUCGUCCCUUUAAUGAUUCUCGCAACUUUUAAUUUCCGAUACUUGCACUGCAAUUUCUUUACUUCUAUAGUCAUUUACAUUCUUGUCUAGAACCAACAAAGAAUCUAUUUUCUUCAAUAUUCAUCGAUCCGAUUCAUCUAUUGAUAUUUACACUUUUUGGUGAAACACUAGCCUCAUUGUUUGCACUAGUGAAUGUUUGGAGUUGAACUCGUGUCAAGCAUUCUAAUUAUUCCACAAACAUGUGUUACUUUUUAUAUCACUAAAUCAACUCUAAUGGAUUUUGAUGUUAUAACUUCCAAACGAAGAGCGUGUAAAGAGUGGAAAUUAGAGAAUCACAGUUCGCUUACUUUAUAAUUUCUUUUCCAAAAAAAAAAAAUCUGAUCAGUUAUUGCAAGGAAAGAAUUAUUGUGCGACAAUAGAUGCUCAAUUAUUCGAUGGAGAUUAAAUCCUCAUACAUGUGUAAGGUGACAAUCAAUAAGGAAAGGUCUAAGGCACGCAUGAUGGUGAUGGAUUUGUAUCUCUCCAAACAUGCCUAUUUUGUGCACUACAAUCCGACAUGUCUUGUCCCAUAAAGCUUAAUCCAUUAAAUUGUGAGCCACAGAAUUUACAAGCAUCUAUGGAUUUAUUGUCAUCACUCUCAAAGAUCUCAAUAGUUGGAGCACUUCUCUCCAAAAAUGAGGAUAUAUUGAUGUGAAAUUGACACCCUAGAUAUCCAGAAGUUAGUGCAAACAUAAACUUCAAUCGUUCCUUUUCUAAUAUUUUCUAAAUAAUAGUAGGAUAAACUUCAAUCGUUCCUUUUCUAAUAUUUUCUAAAUAAUAGUAGGAUCAGUUAAUGUUAAACAAUGCUAAGCAAGUGGCAUGCAUUCACUUGUCAAAUGAAUGCACAUGUAAAGAUAACCUAAAUAUAUUUACCCUUCAUCUGCUUCGCUCAUAGGGCAUCUUUCUCAUAGGCACGUCUCUCUCUCUCUCUCUCUCUCUCUCUCUCUCUCUCUCUCUCUCUCUCUCUCUCUCUCUCUCUCUCUCUCUCUCUCUCUACGGAGGUAGGCACAAGCUUUGUCUUGUCAUCAAACUAGGACGAGUAGUAUUUUUAUAAAGAAAAGUGCACUAAAAGUUUUAAAAUUUAUCACAUCUUAAGACUUUCAAAAUUGUAAUCAAAUGGUAAAACUUGUCAAAAUAGUGUAAUUAAGUUCUACGUGCUCUAUUAUUAUUUUUCCCAAAAAAGAAAAAAGAUCCAAUCAGUUAUUGCAAGAAAAGAAUUUUUGUGAAGGUGAGUGACGGCAGAUUUUCAAUUAUUCAACAGACAUUAAUCCAUGUACAUGCGUAAGGUGACAAUCGAUAAGGAAAGGUCUAAGACACGCAUGACGGUGAUGGAUUUGUAUCUCUCCAAACAUGUCCUAUCAUGUGCAGUACAAUCCUAGAUGCUCGUCCCAUAAUGCUUAAUCCUUGAAAUUGUGAGCCACAUAAUUCAUAAGCAUCUCCAGAUUUAUAGUCAUUGCUCUAAAAUAUCUCAAUUUACCAAUUGGAGCACUUCUCGCCAAAAAUAAGGAUGCUAAUGUGAAACUGACACCCUAGAUAUCUAGAAGUGAGGGCCCACAUAAACCUCAAUCAGUCCUUUUCUAAUAUUUUCUAGUUAACAAUAGGAUAAAUUAAAAUUAAACAAUGCUAAAACAGGUGGCGCGCAUUCACAUGUCAAAUAAUUGCACACGUAAAUUUAAUCUAGAAAAGUUUUCUCUCCAUUUGCUUCUCCCACAGCUACACCAAUUGCACUAGCACUGGCCUCCAUAGCACUGCCAUUGAUUCGAGCAUUUUUCUCGCAAGCGUAACCACCUCAAUCCGGGCACUGGCCUACACCAGUUCUAAAAAUUUGUCGAAAAGUGCAAUCAAACCAUAAAAUCUUCAAAAAGUAUAAUAAGAUCUUAGAACUUGUCAAAGUUGUGUAAUCAAGUCCCUUUGUCAACUUUCUAUAAUUUCAUUAGUGAAAAAUGCCGACAUGAUUAUAUUAAUUACUUUUGUUAUGACCAAAGCAGAAACUACUACAAAUGAAACUAAGAAAAAUAUAAGAACACACAAAUUUACGUGAAAACUCUCAUGGGAAAAAACUACAGGGAGAGAAGAAGAAAAAUCUACUAUGGAAAUUUAAGGAUUAUCAAAGGUGGCUCGAUAAACCUUAAGAAUCUUUUUAUCACUCACUUUAAAUCUAAUAACUUGGGAAAAAAUAAUAUUUAUAUUGCUCCAUAAGAGGGGGUGCAAUCCUUGCACCUUUGCCAAGGAUUAGUACUGAAGUACUGGCUUGGGCCUCGACCAACACUAAACCCGGCUUUGUUUUUAUCAAGUUGGGUUGUCGCAAAUUUCAAUUUAAGUAUCAAAACUCAAUUUAGGUUGAAUGCCUGGGAACACAAUUCAAGAUAUUCUCAACAAUUUCUUGAGACACGUGGCAUCCACUAAGCACCACAUCAAAUAAUGAAACUUUUGGGAAAAAAAUUAAAGAAAGAAAGAGAGAGUAAAAGUAAAAUAAGAAAAAAAGGGAAAAUGUUUGAACAAAAGGCUAAUAAUGAAAAGAAAGGGGAAAAAAUUUAUAUUUAAAAAAAAAAAAAAAGCAAGACCUCGGCUUCUGGUUUCCAAAAGAAACAGCGGUUUCGACUCUUGCGAGCGAAAGUUGAGAUUGAAGGGAAUGAAUCUCUUUUGAACCCCGCAGAUCGCCUACGGACACUUCUUGGAUCAGUUUUACAUAUGAAAGGCUCCACUAUUCUGCCAUGGCUGUGGUAGGAUUGGCCAUUGCCGCCACAGCUGUACCUUCAUCACAGAUGCUGCGUCGACGGAGAGGUGCUCUCGAAUUUGCGGGCUGAGUCCAGCCUUUUCUACAUCGACCCAGUUCAUUCGGUUCCAUUUCGCAAUUUUGAUAAGGAACACUAAAAAUUUGAAAAAGACUUCCUACGCUCGCGAACAUAGAAAUAAACCAAAAAAAAAAGUUGGGGAGGAAGAUGUAGAUGUCUACGCUUGGGCAACGACAUCAUCCCCCUUUUUUUUCUGGUCUGAUUUCGCCUUCUAUCAAGGAGGAGCUUUGCAAUAGUUCUCAAUAAAAACCCCAUGUGGGAGGAAAAGGGUGAAGGAGAAGGGGAGUCAUCUUCAUGCAAGUGCAAGAUCUUGGCCCCUUUUUUUGUUUUUGUUCUUUUUUCCCCUAUCAUCCUUUUCUAUUCAUUUUUUUUUAAUUUUAAAAUUUUAUCUUUUUAAAUUUUAGAUUUUUUUUCUAAUGUGGCACUUGAUAGAUGCAUGUAUCUUAAUAAAAUAAUAAGCCAAAUUGAACUUAUUGGUGGAAGGACCUAUGUAUCAUUUUGACAAAUCUUAGAACUCAAUUACAUUUUUGCGUCAAUGAUCACGCAUAAUGUCCGUGACAAGGCAACCAAAAUUUCCCUUAGUUAGGUUUUCAUUUAUUAUUAGUAGGUGGCUCGACCCAUAAGUAUAUUCUAAAUUAGUAUGCACAUAUGUACAUGCCCUCAAUGGGUUUACAGAGAUACUAAGCAUAAUUAACCUUAAUCUCCAGAAAUCCACAAUUCAAAUCAAAACCCUUCUAACAAUUCAGAUUUAAUAACCAAAUCACGACAUUUCACCAUUUGAUAAAUAUCUAUACACACACACAUAUCAAAGUGCCACAAAAACCACAUUCAUAAAUGAUAAACUUUUUGUGAUUCUUUCAUAAAAGGUUUCACAAACCAUUUACAAGCAAUCGGUUCAAACUGAAGUCAAAGGAUGACUCCCCAUUUUAAACAAACAAAACCGCAGUAAAUGUUCGAUCCUAUUUUAUGCAACAAUAGAUGCAAUUUCUUAAACAUAUAUAAUUUAUUUCGUUUUCAAAAUAUAAAAACACAAAAAAUAAAUAGUAUCACUCGUAUGGGAAAGCGAAAAACCAGCAGGAGUAGUCCCCGCACACGACGCCAAAUACUUAUUUGUAAUUAUAAAGGGAAAACCAUUUGCAAGUUGAACUAGAAACACAGUGGUUUUGUUCCUUUCGCUUUAUCCGUUGUCCUUAUCGAGUCUCUGGUCCUAUAAAUUUCUGGCUCGAUCGACCAAACCCUUCGACAAUCGUCAGCAUUUCCGCUCCCUGAUUGAACAAAUACAUGCACAGCAGUUUCAGCACGAUGGCUCUCACCUCCCUCCUCCUCCACCUCCUCCUCCUCCUCUCUUCUCUCCAUGUCAGUAAUUUGUCAAGCUUUCACUCUCCAUGCGUACCCAACUGCUCAUCUCUCUCUCUCUCUCUCUCUCUCUCUCUCUCUCUCUCUCUCUCUCUCUCUCUCUCUCUCUGUGUUCUCAUGCAAAGACAGGGCUAUAUGUUUAAUUCGAUAUCUCACCUAAGAAUUGCUGAAAAAAUUUUGCGGCCAUUUACUCCAUUGGCAAUUUCUUCUCAUCCAUUAUUUGUUAACCCAAUCUCUCUAUACUGGUUUAGAGUGCACAGGCUAUCGGAUCAAAUGGGG
rnacentral:lncRNA from 1 species